rnacentral:lncRNA from 1 species
GACCUGAACAAGCACGACUAGGCCCUGCAAGUUUUGUUUUUAGCUUGUUGACUCAGUUAUACAUCUGUAAUUGUAUUGUUUAUUUACGAGCGCUACUCAUUACGAAGACAUGAGAUAUCUUUUUCACUCAUGUACUCUGGCAACACUAGUAGAAAAGGAUGUAUUCCAUAUCACGUUUCCCCGUAAUGCACGAGCUGCUUUUGGUAAUCCAAGGUGUCAUUCUCUGAAAAAAAAAAGAUUAAAAUUGUCAGCAUUUGCUGUUUGUAAAUUGCCUGAAAAUGUAAUUCUGGUCAGUCAAUUUCGUGAGAAGGAGGUGGAGAAGGGGCGCCACGGCAGUGAGCCGGAGGCAGGAAAGCUGCGGUGAACGGCCGCGAGGCACUGGUUGCAGAAGAAGAGGAGGUUUGGAGGGAAAAAACUGGAGGAAGAAGUUCUAUUGUGAUCCAAUGGUUGGCAAAAUCGGCUCACUUUUGCCUGAAGGGAAAAAACUGGAAGAAGUUGUGUAGCGAUCCAAUGGUUAACAGUGUGACUUUGCUAGAGCAGCAUGGUUUGCCCAUCCUUAGUACCUUAGAGCAACUCCAACGGGGCGACCCAUUACGUCCGCCGCCGUCCGUUUAGGUCGGCACGGACAAAAGAGGAGGCCCAACGCGCCGACCCAAACCCAAAUCGAGUCCGCUUCACGUCCGCACCGACGCAUUUGCGGUCCAAAUGCAUCAGCGCAGACGUGAAAACGGACGCCACGCGUGCCUUCUCGGUGUAUGCCGCGGCCCCAUCGGGCGGUUGUCCAACUGGUCGCCACCUACCUGGUCAGCUUAAUUUAUGACCCUGGGCCCACGCGUCAGCGACGACGAUCGUCCUUUUUUAAGCCGACCGUGCGGCGGGGCCGUCCUCAUCUAGCCCCCGUCCCCAUCUAGCCACACUCGCUCCCCCGUCGCCGGCAAACCCUAGCCAACCCUAGCCACCCCAGCCGUGCCAAAUGGGGCUCUUCUCCGGCGCCGGCAGCAGCAGCAAGGCGAAGGGCAAGUCGCCCGCCAUCCCUUUUCCCCCGGAGUUUCUCCCGCCUCCGCCGGUGCCAGCUCGCCGGCUGAGGCAUCGCGUCAACAUGCCGGUGCACAAGGCAGAGUGGCACUGGCAGCACCGCAUGCCUCUCCCGUACCCCGACACCACCUUGCCGCACGGCUGUUACUUGGAUCCAGAGAGGAUCUCGGUGCCGGCGGCCCUGUGUUGGGUUCUACGGUAGGGUGCGUUGACUGCAAAUUAAAAUUUUCCUACGCGCAGAACAACAGGAACGUGCUACGGGAGAUGGAUUACAGUUCGUUACCACUAGACGCGCAGUGCUGUGCAGCGGAAGAAGGGUUGGGGCAGUGCGUCCGCGUGAAUCGUCUCCUCCUCGUCCGAUCUUCCUCGAACAGCCGGUCGCCGAUCCCACGUACAAGUUCGCCGGAGCGGCGCAAGUGCACCGCCUCUAACGGUAUCCGCGCGUGCAGGAGGAACACCGUGCGGCGGACUGCUAGGUUCGAUCACACAGUCAGCGGCGAGUGGAGGUGGCUAUUCGCAACACAUGCAAACCCUAGCGACAACGCCGAACCGAUCUUCUGAAUAAGUGUGGUGCACCUCCACUAUUUAUAGGCAUCUGUCGCGGGCUCAACACUUGGGCCUUGCACGGACCCUAAAGCCCAAAGUCUACUCGGUCACGUUCCAAGUCCAACUCGGAUCACAUCCGACCAGUGUCCUCCGAACCGACCUCAUAGGUUCCUUCCCUUAAGCGCGCGACCCCUUAGGUUCAAGUCGGCUUGGUCACAGUUCGGAUCACCUCCGACCUGCACGGUUGGUAGCGGCCUCUAGCAAGGCGUGCCGACCACCAAGCAGACUAUGAAGCUGGUUAGGCGAACCUGUACAACAUGUCACACUUCUGUUCCCUUUGCCGCACGAUAUAUGUUGUCGGGCUCAAGGCGAGACUAUCAUCCUUGUGCUAGCCCGACAUCUUUCUCGUUCCAAUGAUACCGACCACAAACUGGAUUAUCUCAUAAUCCUUGUCGCAUGGCCAUGCUUAUCCUGGUUGGAUCACACGAGGAGCCCAGAGUAUAUCUCUCCUGAUCGGAGGGGCAAAUCCCAUCUUGCUUGACCAUGUCUCGCAACAUGGCACUGGACAAACCCGAAACCUACCUUUGUAACUACCCAGUCACGGAGUAGCGUUUGGUCGGCCCAAAGCAAGUCUGUCACCAUCCCGAGUACAUGCGCCAGCUCAGGUCUUAGGACAUAGAACGUAUGUUGUACUAGAGACUCACAGAUGACAUAUCGCUGCGUCUCAUAGUUGAGUCUGUCCGACUCGGACCUUAUCUCGACUCGGAUUCGACUACACGAAUCCGACCAGAUCCUUCCGAGUCCAUAUUAUCCGGUUAGCAUCCAAUGCUCCAUGGCUAGUGAGACCAAGCCAUCGACCGUGUCAUAUGCUAGUCUAGUCUGACGUGUGCCCACACGUCACUUGCGAGUAGGGACAAUCUAGGAUGUAUCAUACAACACAAGAUCUCACGGACAAGUCACGUACUAGCCAACAAGUAUCAUUGAUUACAUCCAAGGACUAUCUUUAUUCAUAAACACAUAGGAAAUAUCAUCAUACAUGAUUGCCUCUAGGGCAUAUCUCCAACGGUCUCCCACUUGCACUAGAGUCAAUCAAAUAGACAUCGAAUGCCCAUAGCUCUAACAUGCCCCUCAUGUUUGGGUUGUGGAAGCGGCUUAGUCAACGGACCUGCAACAUUUGCAUCAUCACCAUUCUUUACGAUCUUUCGUAUCAGGUGAUAUUUCCGAUCUAUGUGUCUGACCUUGUGGUGAUUCCUCGGCUCCUUGGCUUGUGCGAUGGCACCAGAAUUAUCACAAUAAAGGUCUAACGGUUUUACCGAGGCUGGGAAAAUACCAUGAUCAUCCAGAAAAUGCCGGAUCCAAACACCUUCCUUUGCAGCUUCACAAGCCGCAAUGUAUUCAGCUUCUGUGGUAGAAUCGGCCACCGUAUCUUGCUUGGAACUCAUCCAGCUCACUGCCCCUCCGUUCAUGACAUACACGAAUUUGGACUGUGAUCGACAAUCAUCUUUGUUAGUUUGGAAACUAGCAUCGGCAUAACCCCUUACGACGAGCUCUUCCUCACCUCCAUAAACUAGGAACAUCCCUUUAGUCCUUUUCAGGUACUUCAAAAUAGUCUUUACUGCUGCCCAGUGACUCUCACCUGGGUUGGCCUGGUAUCUACUUGUUAGGCUUAUUGCAAAAGCAACAUCUGGCCUUGUACAUAUGAUGGCAUACAUGAUGGAUCCAAUUGCCAAGGCAUACGGAAUCCUGCUCAUCCUGCUUUGCUCAUCAGAUGCCAAAGGACUCUGAGUCUCGCUUAGCCUUAUACCAUGUGAGAGUGGUAAGGACCCUUUCUUCGCCUCACUCAUGUUGAACCGCUUCAACACUUUAUCUAUGUAUGUGCUCUAGCUUAAGCCGAGCAGCCUCCUCGAUCUAUCUCUAUAGAUCUGAAUGACUAAAAUAUAGACUGCCUCACCAAGGUCCUUCAUCGAAAACUUGCCAUUCAAUGAAUCCUUGACCGAGUUUAGCAUCGAAACAUCGUUCCCAAUCAACAAUAUGUCAUCCACAUACAAGAUCAAAAACACUAUUGAGCUCCCACUUAACUUCUUGUAUAAACAAGCGUCCUCUUCGCUUUUGAUGAAACCGAGACCAGUGACGACCUCAUCAAAACGAAUAUUCCAGCUCCGAGAUGCCAACCCAUAAAUGGAUCUCUUGAGCUUGCAUACCUUACUAGAGCUAGUCGGAUCAACAAGACCCUCGGGUUGUAUCAUAUACACGUCCUCGGUUAAAUUUCGUAACCGAAAGCUGUUUUGACAUCCAUCUGCCAUAUCUCGUAACCGAAAUAUGCAGCUAUAGCUAGUACGAUCCUUACGGACUUCAGCAUCGCUACCGGCGAGUAAGUCUCGUCGUAGUCAACUCCUUGAACUUGUCCAUAACCUUUAGCGACAAGCUGAGCUUUGUGGAUCUGAACAUUUCCAUCCACAUCGAUUUUCUUCUUAAAGACCCAUUUGCAACCAAUGGCAGUUACGCCAGGUGGUGGAUCAACCAAAUCCCAGACUUGAUUCUCAUCCAUGGACUUUAACUCGGAUCUCAUGGCCUCCAGCCAUGCCUCGGAAUCUGGGCUCACCAUCGCUUCCGCAUACGUGGCCAGCUCGUUGCUUUCUAGCAACAAUACAUCACCCACUCUACGCAAUCUUUCCGACCUUCGUGGUUCCGGUGCCGCUUCCACUACGAGUUCCCUGACUGACUCUGGUAUGAUCUCAUCACCAGCCGAGCCGUCCCCAAGUGGUCCUCGAAUUUCUUUGAGUCGAACCGUCCUCCCACUGGCCUCCUGACUGAGAAACUCUUUCUCAAGGAAAACCUUGUUCCGAGCAACAAACACUUUGUUCUCUCCCCGGUUGUAGAAGCUAUAUCCCAAGGUUUCCCUCGAAUAUCCCACGAAUAUGCAUUUAUCCGAUUUAGGUGUAAGCUUGUCUGACAUAAGUCGCUUGACAAAUGCUUCACAACCCCAAAUCUUUAGAAAAUACAAACCGGGACUCUUCCCGGUCCACAACUCAUGUGGUGUCUUGUCUACGGAUUUUGAUGGUACCCUGUUAAGUGCGAAAGCUGUAAUUUCUAGAGCGUAUCCCCAGAAUGACAAGGGUAAAUCCGAUUUGCUCAUCAUAGACCGGACCAUGUCCAACAAGGUCCUAUUCCUCCAUUCCGACACGUCGUUUCUUUGUGGCAUACCUGGAGGUGUGAGCUGAGGUACUAUACCUCGGCAUUUCAGAUGAUCAUCAAACUCCUGGCUCAUGUACUCACCUCCACGAUCAGAUCGUAGAAGUUUUAUAGUCUUGCCAAGCUGAUUCUCAACCUCGUUCUGAAACUCUUUGAACUUUUCAAAAGUCUUCGACUUGUGCCUCAUCAAAUAGAUAUAUCCAUAUCUACUCAAGUCGUCGGUAAAAGUCACGAAGUACUAAUAGCCACCUCUGGCAGUUGUGCUCAUUGGACCACACACAUCACUAUGUAUAAGUUCCAACAGCUCGGACGUCCUCUCGCAACUCUUUGCGAAAGGAGACUUAGUCAUCUUGCCGAGCAAGCAUGAUUCACAUGUCUCAAACGACUCAAAGUCGGACGAAGUUAGGAGCCCAUCAUCAUGGAGCUUCUUCAUGCAUUUCUGACUAAUGUGUCCAAGCCGGCAAUGCCAGAAGUAUGUCGGAUUUAUCUCAUUAGGCUUAUGCCUCUUGACAUUCACGUUAUAGACCAGUUCCUGUUCUAGAUUCAAUAUAAAAAGCCCAUCAACGAUGGGUGCAUAGCCAUGGAACAUACCAUUCAAAAAUAUCGAACAACCAUUGUCCUUUAAAUUGAAUUCAUAACCUUGACUCAUCAAACAUGAGGCAGAAAUAAUGUUCCGACUAAGUGCAGGAAUGUAAUAGCAAUUAUUCAAUUCCAUGAUGAAUCCGGAAGGAAGCUGGAGCUGCAUCGUGCCGACCUCCAACGCAGCAACUCUUGCUUUGUUACCAACCCUGAUGUCAAUCUCCCCUUGUGCCACACGCCUAGUUCUUACCAGCCCCUGCAUCGAGUUGCAAAUAUGAACAACCGAUCCGGUAUCAAAUAUCCAAGAGCUACUAGGUAUGUCAGCAAGGUAAAUGUCUAUAACAUAUGCAACAAGUGUACCUUUGCCUGAAGCAGCAUUCCCGGCCUUCUUGCCAUGCUCUGCAAGCCACUUGCUAUAGUUCCUCUUCUAGUGACCGGUCUCCUUGCAGUGAUAGCAAACGGUCUUCGAGUCUGGUCCAAACUUCGGCGCAACGGCGGAGGUUACCAUCUCCGUGCCCUUAGCCUUAGCCUUUUUCUUGGACCAACUCUUCUUGAACUUAGCCGAUUUCUGCACCAUCAACACUUGAUGCGUGCCUUUCUUAAUAUCCUGCUCUGCCACUUUGAGCAUCCCAUGCAAUUCAGUGAGCUUCUUAUCCAUGCAUGCAUAUGAUAGUUCGAGAUGAAUGUCCCAUAGCUUGGCGGAAGAGAACCCAGAACUGCAUCAGUAGCCAGCUCAUCCAAGAGCGGGAAGCCCAACCGAUCCAAAGCUUGCACAUAUCCGAUCAUCUUGAUCACAUGUGGGCUCAGUGGAUCACCUUCCUUCAGCUUGCAAUCCAUCAAGGAUCGCCAUACGUUGAACCUUUCGGUCCUAGCCUGUAUCUAAAACAUGCUCUUGAGACUCUCGAUCAUAUCGUAAGCCUCAACAUUUUCAAAAUGCUGUUGCAAAUCGGGCUCCAUACAAGCCAGCAUCAGACAACUGAUCUUCGUUGAUUCAUCAACGAGUUUCUGGUAGGCAUUCUUAGUUGUGGCAUUAGCAUUAUCGGCAUGUUCCUCUGGAAGUGGGUGAAGGAAAUAUGCCCUAGAGGCAAUAAUAAAGUUAUUAUUUAUUUCCUCAUAUCAUGAUAAAUGUUUAUUAUUCAUGCUAGAAUUGUAUUAACCGGAAACAUGAUACAUGUGUGAAUACAUAGACAAACAUAUAGUCACUAGUAUGCCUCUACUUGACUAGCUCAUUAAUCAAAGAUGGUUAUGUUUCCUAACCAUAGACAUGUGUUGUCAUUUGAUUAAUGGGAUCACAUCAUUAGAAGAAUGAUGUGAUUGACAUGACCCAUUCCGUUAGCCUAGCACUUGAUCGUUUAGUAUACUGCUAUUGCUUUCUUCAUGACUUAUACAUGUUCCUGUAACUAUGAGAAAUAUGCAACUCCCGUUUACCGGAGGAACACUUUGGGUACUACCAAACGUCACAACAUAACUGGGUGAUUAUAAAGGAGUACUACAGGUGUCUCCGAAGGUACAUGUUGAGUUGGUGUAUUUCGAGAUUAGGUUUUGUCACUCCGAUUGUCGGAGAGGUAUCUCUGGGACCUCUUGGUAAUGCACAUCAUUAUAAGCCUUGCAAGCAAUGUGACCAAAUGAGUUGGUUACGGGAUGAUGCAUUACGGAACGAGUAAAGAGACUUGCCGGUAACGAGAUUGAACUAGGUAUUGGAUACUGACGAUCAAAUCUCGGGCAGGGUAACAUACCGAUGACAAAGGGAACAAUGUAUAUUGUUAUGCGGUUUGACCGAUAAAGAUCUUCGUAGAAUAUGAAGGAACCAAUAUGGGCAUCCAGGUCCCGCUAUUGGUUAUUGACCGAGAAUGGUUCUAGGUCAUGUCUACAUAGUUCUCGAACCCGUAGGGUCCGCACGCUUAACGUUACGAUGAUAGUUUUAUUAUGAGUUUAUAAGUUUUGAUGUACCGAAGUUUGUUCGGAGUCCCGGAUGUGAUCACGAACAUGACGAGGAGUCUCGAAAUGGUCGAGACAUAAAGAUUGAUAUAUUGGAAGCCUAUGUUUGGACAUCGGAAAGGUUUCGGGUGAAAUCGGGAUUUUACCGGAACACCGGGGGGUUACCGGAACCCUCCCGGGGGUUAAUGGGCCUUAGUGGGCCAUGAGGGAGAAGAGGAGGGCCGGCCAGGGCAGGCCGCGCGCCCCCUCCCCCCCUAGUCUGAAUAGGACAAGGAAGGGGGGGGGGGCGGCGCCCCCCUUUCCUCUUUCCCCUCCCCCCUUUCCUUCUCCACCAAGGCAAGAGGGGGGAGUCCUACUCCCGGUGGGAGUAGGACUCCUCCAGGCGCACCCCAAGCCAGCCGCACCUCCCCCUCCCUCCUUUAUAUACGGGGGCAGGGGGGCACCCCAUAACACAGAAGUUGAUCUACGGAUCGUUCCUUAGCCGUGUGCGGUGCCCCCCUCCACCAUAUUCCACCUCGGUCAUAUCGUCGCAGAGUUUAGGCGAAGCCCUGCGCCGGUGGAGCAUCAUCAUUGUCACCACGCCGUCGUGCUAACGGAACUCAUCCCCGAAGCUUUGCUGGAUCGGAGCCCGGGGAUCGUCAUCGAACUGAACGUGUGCUGAACUCGGAGGUGCCGUACGUUCGGUGUUUGGAUCGGUCGGAUCGUGAAGACGUACGACUACAUCAACCGCGUUGUUAUAAUGCUUCCUCUUACGGUCUAUGAGGGUACGUGGACGGAUACUCUCCCCUCUCGUUGCUAUGCCAUCACCAUGAUCUUGCGUGUACGUAGGAAAUUUUUUGAAAUUACUACGUUCCCCAACAGUGGGUCCUCUAGAACAUGUUCCUUUUUAUCAUGCUUGAGAACAAUUCUCAAAUUUCUAUACCAGGUGGUAAAGUUUGUUCCAUUCAGUUUAUCCUUUUCCAGAAUUGAUUUCAAUGCAAAGUUGGGUUGAGUAGGUGAUGCCAUUGAUCUACAACAGAAAAUAUGCAAUCACUAAGCAAUGUGUUUAUGUAGAGUAAUUCAAGCCUAAACAAAAAUACUCCCACUGAAGUCAGCAUCCCUUUGCAAACUCUCAGUGAUUCAGGAUCCGACUAGCGCAUGCGACUAAUGAGCUUUAGCAUCACUGCUAGCCAACAUACCUAUCCGGUAAGCAACUCAUUGCUAAUCGUAUCUCUAUAUGACUCCUGUCGGUCGGGAAGGUAUCUCAUACCCCAGCUCCCAACCUUCUUUGCCACAAGGCCCGAAACCAUUUUGAUAGCCUUGUCAAGUUAACCUAACGCAGUGCAUGUCCGUGUCUGACACGAACCCUUCAGUUCAAGGACACCCAACAUCACCCCAAUUUUAUGAGCCCACUACUAGACGUACUUGACGUGCGAAGGUGCAACAUCGGGGAUGACAAUUCGCUUGAUAUUCAUGAGGGAUCAUUCUACCAUUCUAACAUGCAUAGAAACAAAGAAGCAUAACAAUCACAAAUAAACACAUAUUGUGAAAUAGUAUGGCUCCUUCAUGGACGUUCUUCCAGGUCGGCUCCGACUCCGAUGACCAUCUACAAACUCCAUCUUGUUUGUCAUGUCGUGACGCUAAGCCACCAACCUGAUCUCUAUUAUCCAACUACUACAACUAGUAAUGAAUUUUACAUAGAGUCACAAGUCGACACGCAGGUCGUUAUACAAUAUAAUGACAGCACUUUGGCUCCUGCCGGCUGACAAACAUGACAUGCAUGCCACGUAUAAAUUACACAUGCAUCACAUACACAUGAGCCAUGCUAUUCACAUCAAACCUGCAAAACAAAGUUAUGCAUAGAAUCGUAUUCUACCGGUUUGUGUGUCGGGUACGAAAUACACGGCGCUACGCACACGGGCGGGGUUCGAAGGGGUAGCACCCCUCGCGGGUGCGGGCAACGCCCGACGUUUUUGGAAAUCACAUAUCACAUCUGAACUCCGAUCACGCUGAAUUUUCUAACCUGACCGAUCUUAUCGAUCAUCACGAGUCCGAUCGGGUUUACGUUUCACUGUUAACCCCGAUGACGGAUACCGACCGGUAGGGGUAGGUUGUGUCACGACCUCAUCGACUCCGGUCAUCAGAAAACAUAGCCUCUUCAACCCCCAUGUGCAAUUGAUCUCAUCAACCGUGCACAUAGCCGAUCUCAUCAAGGACAACAGAUCUCAUCUGCUGCCUCCACAUAUCUAAUAUGCAUACGAUCUGAAUCCAAAUACUAUAGCAGAGGCUCUGAUACCACUGUUGGGUUCUACGGUAGGGUGCGUUGACUGCAAAUUAAAAUUUUCCAACGCAAAGAACAACAGGAACGUGCUACGGGAGAUGGAUCACAGUUCGUUACCACUAGACGCGCAGUGCCGUGCAGCGGAAGAAGAGUUGGGGCAGCGCGUCCGUGUGAAUUGUCUCCUCCUCAUCCGAUCUCCCUUGAACAACCGGUCGUCCGAUCCCACGUACAAGUUCGCCGGAGUGGCGCAAGUGCACUGGCUCUAACGGUAUCCACGCGUGCAGGAGGAACACCGUGCAGCGGACUGCUAGGUCUAAUCACACAGUCGGCGGCGAGUGGAGGUGGCUAUUCGCAACACAUGCAAACCCUAGCGACAGCGUCGAACCGAUCUUUUGAAUAAGUGUGCCGCACCUCCACUAUUUAUAGGCAUCUGUCGCGGGCUCAACACUUGGGCCUUGCACGGACCCUAAAGCCCAAAGUCUACUCGGUCGCGUUCCAAGUCCAGCUCGGAUCACAUCCGACCAGUGUCCUCCGAACCGACCUCAUAGGUUCCUUCCCUUAAGCGCGCGACCCCUUAGGUUCAAGUCGGCUUGGUCACAGUUCGGAUCACCUCUGACCUGCACGGUUGGUAGCGGCCUCUAGCAAGGCAUGCCGACCACCAAGCAGACUAUGAAGCUGGUUAGGCGAACUUGUACAACGUGUCACACUUCUGUUCCCUUUGCCGCACGAUAUAUGUUGUCGAGCUCAAGGCGAGACUGUCAUCCUUGUGCUAGCCCGACCUCUUUCUCGUUCCAAUGAUACCAACCACAAAUUGGAUUAUCUCAUAAUCUUUGUCGCAUGGCCAUGCUUAUCCUGGUCGGAUCACACGAGGGGCCCAGAGUAUAUCUCUCCUGAUCGGAGGGGCAAAUCCCAUCUUGCUCGACCAUGUCUCACAACAUGGCACUGGACAAACCCGAAACCUACCUUUGUAACUACCCAGUCACGGAGUAGCAUUUGGUCGGCCGAAAGCUAGUCUGUCACCAUCCCGAGUACAUGCGCCAGCUCAGGUCUUAGGACAUAGAACGUAUGUUGUACUAGAGACUCACAGAUGACAUAUCGUUGCGUCUCAUAGUUGGGUCUGUCCGACUCGGACCCUAUCUCGACUCGGAUUCGACUACAUCGAAUUCGACAAGAUCCUUCCGAGUCCAUAUUAUCUUGUUAGCAUCCAAUGCUCAAUGGCUAGUGAGACCAAGUCAUCGACCGUGUCAUAUGCUAGUCUAGUCGGACAUGUGCCCACACGUCACUUGCGACUAGGGACAAUCUAGGAUGUAUCAUACAAUACAAGAUCUCACAGACAAGUCACGUACUUGCCAACAAGUAUCAUUGAUUACAUCCAAGGACUAUCUUUAUUCAUAAACACAUAGGAAAUAUCAUCAUACAUGAUUGUCUCUAGGGCAUAUCUCCAACACCCUGCGGUCGGCUAGGGUGCACGCGGAGGAGGUGCGGCGCCGGCGGGCGCUCCUGACGCCGGAGCAGCGCCGCGACCCCGCCUACGCCUCUUACUCGCCCAACUAGGCGCGCUGGUUCGCCUUCGAGUACGAGGAGGCGAGGCGACGUGGCGUCCGCGUAGUCGACCACACCGUACCACCGCCCCCGCUCGUUGUCCGCGAGGAGGACCAGGCGGCGGAGGCCGCCUACCAGGCUGCCCUUGCGGCAGUCUAUCGGGAGAGCGAGGAGGACGAGCGACGCAGGGCGCCAGCGUCCGAGGAAGAGGAGGCGGCGUACGAGGCAGCCAUGGCGCAGGCCAUGGCCCUCUCCACGGCGGGCGACUGCGCCAUGGCCCUGUGAAAGCGGAGCCGGAGCCGUCCCCCAUCGAGCGCUACUACUGGACGGGAGUAGUACGCGAGUGGGUCAGCGCGCCGCGAGCCUGGGUGGGGGCGACGCCGGCGUACCUCGAGCACUGGCGCCAGAUACGGCUGGCCGAGGAGCGCCGCGACGGCGAGUACCUCGAGAUGCUCGAGCGCGACGCCGAGGCCGAGCAGAGCGAGAUGCCGAGAAGGAGGCGCGCCAGGCCGCCGCGGCCCAGGCGGCGGCACAACCCGUGGCGGCAUUGCCCGCGCCCGACAUAAACGCGCUCUGGAACACGGUGUUCCCCUGGGCCGGCCCGGUGCCGACGCUCAUCGACCUCACGGACCCUGAGGACGACGACGAUGCCGCCUAGCGCAAACCCCGUUGCCGCCGACGCCGCCUAGUUUAGUUUGUUUUUAUUUUUCUUAAAUGUAAAUGUGGACCCAUGGACUCCCGCCGGCCUUCGUGACCGGCUUUAAUGUUUAAUUAAUGUUGCUUUUAUUUUAAAUAUGCAUGCAUUCUUUUUUCUAGCGCCGUCAAAGUGGGUCGCGCCAGCAUUGGGCCAUGCGCCGACCCAAACUCGAAAACGAACAUUUGUGUGCGCCUGACCGACCCAAACAGACAAAAAGCAGACAAAUUCGCCAUUCGUUUGGGUUGGCCCGUUGGAGUUGCUCUUAGAAGUGAUCUUUUAACUAAAAAUCAUCUUUCUAUGCGAAGUGUUAUACUAGCCCUGCUUAAUAUGGACCACCCAUUUGCAAUUAUACCCAAUAUUUUCAAUUUUCUAUGGUGCAUAUGGAAGUCCAGAUGUGAUUAUCUUUUUGAUAGGAGGCACAUACUCCCACAUCAGGUACACAAGGCUGCCUUAGCUUCGGACUAUCAACAAAAGUUUCUAGUGGCUUUGGAUGAUCGCAAUGUCAAGAUACUAACCCUCAUACCCCUGUACUAUUAGUUUGCCGCCGCAAGGAUGCACUUUUAAUUCUUAAAUCGGAUCUUGCUGAUGGUGCUAAGAUCUAUUCUGAUACUUCUUUUAGUUUUUUCCUGAGAAACGAUGCUUCUUUUAGGUGUUCAAAAGUUUCAGGUUUACCAAAUGGCAGCGUUGCAGUAGGCAUCGUGUCUAUCUCAACUUCUUGCAGGACCAUAUCACAGGAAUGUCGAAGUACAGGUCCAUGCCUCAGCCCCGAUCACAACCUCGCCCCUUCAAGCAGAAGCGUUGGCUCUCUUUCUUGCUGCCAAGAUUUCCCAACUCUUGCAGGUAUCUCAGCCAACUUUCCUGACGGACAACAUUUCUUUGACAAAGGCGGUGUUGCUGCCGAAUAAGUAAAUUUACCGGAGCCGGUAGCUACCGGCUGGCAAUCCACCGUCAAUCAAUUUCAUCAAGAUCUGUGUUGUUUGACAUAUACAAAUUUGUAAAUCUAUUAUCUCUCCUAUAUCUGGUAAAUACAGCUGACAUGUGCUGACACAUCGUACCAAAGUACAUGCAUGCCAUGGAGGUUUGUCAGGAGAGAGAGAGAAAGUUGGAAUGAAGGGACCGAUGCAUGCAUGAUUCUCUUUCCCCCACACAGAUGACAUUCAUUUUAUUUCAUCCCUAUAUUUUGAAUGAUUGUUAUAUUUCAAACCAAAUGUCCAUUUUUGAAACUUUUUAAAUAUUUGAAAUCAUGUUCACAAGACCUUUAGAACAACAUCAAUCUUGACAAUAUUUGAACUACUUUUUAUUUUAUAUAUUUCAAUUAUCUUUUGAAUCACUUUCGUAAAACAUAAGAUUGUUUCGCUAUUUCAUACAAGUGAUUUUUGACUGUUUUGCUAAUUUCAGAAAUGUAUUUCACUCAUUUACGAAGAACUGAUUUCACUCAUUUGUAAACAUUAAUUUCACUAAUUUUAAAACAUUUGAGAAAACAUAUUUCAGUCAUUUUGUAAAGAUGGAUUUAGGCCCAUUCAAAAUUAUUUCAUAAAACUAACUUCAUUGAUUUGAUUUCACUUGUUACAAAUAACUCAUUUCAAGUAUUUCAAAAAAACUGAUUUCACUCAAUUCAAAAAAAUAUCAAUUCACAAAUCAAAUUUGCUCGCUCAUAAAACAGGUUUUGCUCGUUUAAAAAAUUAUUUCACUCAUGUAAAAAAUGAUUUCACUCAAUUCAUAAAAUUGGCUUCAGUCAAUAAAAAAACCAUUUCAUUUAUUUCAGAAAGAAAAUCAUAUGUAUGCAAAAAAGAUUUCACUCGUUUAAAAAAAAUGAUCUCACUAAAUUCAAAACACCUAUUUCACUUAUUUCAGAAAAAUUGUUUCGUAUGUAUGCAAAACAGAUUUCACUCAUUCCAGAAAACUUGUUUCACUCAAUUUGAAAAACCUAUUUCACUCCUUUCAGAAAACUGAUUUCACUCAUUCCAGAAAACUGGUUUCACUCAAUUCGAAAAACCUAUUUCACUCCUUUCAGAAAACUGAUUUCACUCAUUUCAAAAGUUCAAAUUUAAACAUGUUUGAAAUGUAUUCAAAAGGGAUCUCAUUCUAAAGGUCUUGGUGCUAGGAGUUCAUAUAUAUAAUUUCAAAAACAAAAUUAUGGUUUAGAAAACAUGAUUGAUUUAAACUAGCAUAAAUUGAAUAAAAGUAUGUUUGUUUUGUGGCAGUGACACGGAGAGGAGAGAGUCAGCAUAUUUUAUUCUGCCGUGCAUGCGCUUCUGUGGGGCCUACUAGUUCCUUUUAGCAGAGAAUACGAGAGAUGGGCUGCUAUCAUACCGGGUUAUACAUAUAGAUGGGCCCCACUAUUGCACAAAUCAAGCAUGUGAAUGGUGGAUGCUACGCCGGUACAUCCCUGAACCGGUAAAAAAGUGUUUGCGGCUGACUCCACUCCAUGGGCAAUCAGAGCAUGGCUUGCAGAUUCCUCCAAGACUACGGAUGAUCUCCAUUCAUAGGUGUUUCAUAUUUCUAGGGAGAUUAAUGGAAUUGCUCACAAUGAAGCUCACCCGGUUCUUAGUAGUGCUACUGAACCUAUCUUUAGCUGCUUUGGUUCAGCUGAAGGAACAUGCUUUGCCCUGUGACUUCUAUCCUCUCUACCUUGUCUCGACAGGGCUUUGUACUACAAAGCUGUAUUCUACUACCGAGCUGAAUAUAUUGACUCCUUGUGCGCCUUUCCUUGUUCAAAAUAAAAAUAAAAAUAAAAAUAAAAAUGGAAGGUCUGUGCUGCUCAACCUUGCCAUUAUGUAAAUUAAAUAUGGUCACGCGCAUAUUUACACACUUAUGUAGAUAUUUUGUACUAGCUGUAUUCUGUCACACUUCACAAUGCUGCUGCAUUACUCUACUUACACACAUCAUCAGCCAGAAUGGCAGAUUCACAUGAGAGGGUAGCUCGCGAGCAGAGCGACGCCGCACAGGCCGGUGGGCAUACCGGCGUCGCGCUGCAGGAGCAUGUAGCCGGCCUCGCCCCACCCCGCCCCCCACGAGUUCUUGAUGAUCCAGUACUUCCCCGACGCCUCGUCGCCGGUGGCGCUGGUCUCGCCGUAGCCCACGACGGUGACGCCGUGGUUCACCUGCGCGGUGCACGGCCCCGAGAAGACGCCCCCGCCGUAGAGCUGCCACACGAAGCCCCCCGCGUCGACGGCCACCGACACGGGCUGCGCGGCGGCGGCCCGCAGCAGGUCCGGCUCGCUGUUGGCCGUCACGUUCCGGUACCCGGCGAUGCUCACGGUGGUCUCGUUGAGCUUGGCCGUCUGGCAGACGCCGUUGACGCCCAGGUACGGGUAGCUGGCCUCGGUGGUGAGCCCGUGGUUGUCCAUGACGAACUCGUAGGCCCAGCUCAUGAACCCGCCGGCGCACCCCACCGCCUCCGCGUCGCAGUCCACCAGCUCCUGCUCCGACAGCGACACCAGCUUCCCCUUCUUGAUGUGGUUCAGCCCCUCCAUGGCCGCCACCGCCGCGAACGCCCAGCACGAGCCGCAGCCGCCUUGGUUCUUCACCGGCACCACCGCCCCUUCCUUCCUCCAGUCCACCUCCUUGGGCAGAGUGCUGUUGUCAUCGUCAGCCUCUUUUUCAGGCAUUGUCACCUGCGAAAAAUGAUCAUCCAAGACCAAAACAUUUGUCACAUAAACGCAAAAAAAUCAGUACAUAGACAUCACAAAAUAUUUUUUCAACUUUCAAAGAUGAUCCAAGAAUCAAAAUUCAAAACUAUUAGUAUCAAACAUGUACAUAAUUCGAGAGAAGAAAUCAUCCACUGACGGGGGCAAAGUUCUCUGUUCUCGGAGCGCGCCGGCCGGCUCGUCCCGGAGCGCCUAGGCCGAGCACCUUGGCCCUGAACUCCUCGUUCGUCAGGUCGGCGAACUUGUUGUCGGUCAGCGUGUAGCUGUGGCCGCCGGAGUUGAACUCCUCGAUGAGCUCAACGUUCUUCCUGUACACCUCGAGCCUCCUCUGCUUCUCGCCGGCGUCGGUGUAGGCGCGGCCGUGCUUGCCCAUCCACCGCUCGAACCUCCUCACCAUCGGAUCAUCGUCGGCGACGGAGAGAGCGGCGCAGGCGGAGACGAGCAGCAGGAGAAGCAGGGAGGGCCUGGCCAUUGCUGGAGCUGUUUUCGGCCUUUGAGAGAAUUGAGGUAGGGGUGUGCAUGAGCAGGUCGUUAUGGGCUGUUUUAUAAUUUUAUUUGAUGUUGUUUUCGGCAUUUAGUCCGUUUAUCAUUCGAUGUGUGUGAUUUGGAGGUGGUCUGAUGUGCAAGCAUGCACAACUGCAUGUGAUAUGUGCUGGACAGAGCAACUGGACAGUCACAAGGUUUGGUGUAGUUAUUACAGCAGGAUGUCAGAAAGAGUACCACAACAUCUUCAGUCAGUGAACUGCAUGCAUUGAGUAAUGCUCUCAGGUUCUUCCUGAACUCAUGACAAGCCCUCCAGAAUGUGCACCUCAACAGUUCAUCACUAUCCCAAAUAUCAGAAGGCUAACAAACAGGGAAUGUAGGCUAGAAUGCAUAUGUUUUUUAUGUUCAGUCGAGCAACAAGAAACAGUAUCAAGGAAAAAAUACAGCUCUUCCAAACAAGACGCUGAUCUUGGGUCCUCAACACUGAAGCCGUGAAAGGGUUACCGACGUACGCGCAGAAACAAACAUCGGCUCGAGAUCGUCACAACUGCUCGAGGUCAUGGCAUUGGCGGCAAGGCUCCACGACAUUUAGCUUGACUCUGGAGGGAACCUUUGGCUCAACAUAUGUCCUGAUAGCCGAGAGCCCCUUACGAGCUUCCGCCAAAAAAUCCAAGUGCAACAGCAAGCACUUGCCAGUACUGUUGGAUGAGCAGUUGUCCCAAGGAUGCCCUCGUGUGGUGUCCAAUGUAAGGCAUUCGAGUGACGUCGCGUUCUCAAUGAUAUGGCAUGUCAGCUCAACCAAGCUCUUCGCUGAGGAGAAACCAAUGAUCUUCACUGUCUUAAGGUUAUCAUGGCGGUGUCCUGGUACCUGCCUCAAAUUUGAAUGGUCUCCCACGAUUGACUCAUGCUUCAUGUCUUUCUGCAACACCUGAAGAUAUAACAAGCCAAGAUACUUGGAUUGAUGGAUCCACCAUUGUUUAAUGUGACAUCUUUGCAGGACGAACAGUGACUUACAUUCAAGAAGAAAGUCUCCAAGGAAGGAGAAGCAUCAAAGAAGGAUAUGAGAGAACAAUAGUCAUAGGCCGGCGAAAAUGUCACUGUACAAAAACUGACACUCAAGUACUUGAGGUGUAAGAAUUUGCUAGGCAGCAUUGGUGUAUCGACCACCUACACAAAGAUAUAUCGGAUUAGUUAAAAUAUGCAUAUCACAGCUGGUAUAAGAAUUUGCAUAUUUAGGGUAUACCUCACUACAUGAACUCAGGGAAAGAUCUUCAACAUUUGGCAAGCUCAAUGGGAGAUCAGCACGAGCAUAACAUACAGCACCAGGAUGGGACAUGCCGAGCUUCUUCAAUUGUAAUGCUACUCCAAAUGAUAUCUGUACCUGGUGGGAAUCAUGAAAAUUAAAACUGACGAGGUUUGGAGCUUCUAUCCCUAUCACCUGCAGAGACGUGCAUUCAGACACCUUCAGGUAUCUGAGCUGUUGCAGAUGGAACGGUAUCCUAAGGCAAGUUAGCGGACUGCAUUGCCAGAGUCGCAUCCAUUGGAGAACAAAGCAAUUGUGAAGAAGGCACCCCAGCUGCUCCUCUGUGAUACAGACAUAACACAAAUCAAGCCUUGUCAUGUUUGUCAAUCCAAGUUCAACGCUGGGAGACAAAACACAAUGGGAAAUGCGUAGACGCUGCAUCGAGUUUCCAUUCCCAUUAGCUAAAAGAGACCAUGGGAAGUUGUAGUAUGUUCCCGAUGCUGAAGAUAGCUGAACAGUGAGUUCUUCAAUCCCAGGUGUAAGCUGAACAGUGAGUUCUUCAAUCCCAGGUGUAAGCUGAACAGUGAGUUCUUCAAUCCCAGGUGUAAGCUGAACAGUGAGUUCUUCAAUCCCAGGUGUAACAGCUGUCUGAAGCCACCUAUCAACAUUGCUGACCAUGGCAUUGGAAUAAUGGAAAACAAUCCUGAGUGUCUUCACACCAAUGCGUGAGCGGUUUUUUAAGAUGCGGUCAACUUUUUUGGUGAAAUUUCCUAUUUCAUCCUCGCCACGCAGAUUCAUAUUCAUGCCCAGUGCUUCCAUACUGAAUGUAAGAUUUGGAUGGCAUCUCCAUAAACUUAGAAAGGCACGAGACACGCAAGCAGCUCGGGCAGCAUCUCGCAUUGGUAGUAGGGAAUGUAUAUGACACCAGAUGUCCUACAUGUACAAGCAUGUGAGAAAAGCUGAACAUGGCCAAAUGCUUAUUUCAAAUGGAUAAAAGAAGAACAAGCCAGAGAAGAGCAUAGAACCACGUCCAGAGAAGUACAAGCCACUGCUAAGAGAGGACCUCUAUGAAAUGAGGAAUUAUAUCUAGUCCUUAUUGAGAUAGCAGGGUAGCAGGGGAUCUAACACUCACAACAUGCAUUCUUCUUCGGACAGUUAGAACAAAGCAAAGCUACUGAUGCAGUAGGACUGUAGCAGGUUGCAGCACUAAAGAAAUGUAUGUUUAUACUGUACUUAUUUAGCUAGCACAGGUCAACCAACUCGUGAACAAACAUGCAGUAUAAGUUAUUUCCAUUAUCAGCAUCUCACAACGUACCUCCGGAAGUUGUGGCCCGGAGUAUUCUGUUCUUUCGCCCUCUCUUUCAACCCAUGAACUAAUCGAUCCAUCUGCAACACAUAAUGCAUGAUUAUCAUCAAACCAACAUUAGAGAAGGAAAUAUCAAGGCAUUGUUCGGUUACAUGAGAACAAAUACUCUAGUGGAAAAAAUACACCCCGGGACUGGGUUGAUCCACUGCUGUCACCCAAUCCCCACAGGGAUCAAUCCCUUCCAACUACCUUAAACCCCGCCACCUCAAAUUUUGUUUGGAUAGUGUAAGAGGAACAGGUUCAACAAGUCUAUUCUCGUUUGCCUUAGGCUAAUUACACUUGUGUGGGUAAAUGACAUAUUUGGCGUAGAAACAUGAUGCACCUUGGCAAACCAAGACUACCUUGACAAUGAAAACUUUAAGUACACUCUCUUUUUUGCAUCCAAACUGAUUCUCCAUGGUCCAUACAGAUCAAACAGAAAUUGAGAAAGCGAGUAAAAUAAUUGCUAAAAAAAAAAUACACUGAUAUCUGGCAGAACAAAAAUGAAGCCUAACAAGACUAUAUGAGCAUAGUAACUUCAUCUGCUGGAAUGGAAGUCAUAAAGCAUUUCUACACACCCUCAACUGGUCGAAUAGGAAGCACCAUGUGGCAGCGCUGGUCUCUUCUUUCACCCUCAGCUCAUCUGAAUCAGUAAAGUUACUACGAAUUAAUAAGGUUGGCAAAAGCAAAAAGGAAACGCAGUACUGGAAGAUGAAAAUUCAGACUAUUUUAUAAUUUGAUAACAGACCAGCGAUAUGUAAUCAACAGGGGUAAAUUGCCAUGAUUAAACUGGAAAGAAGUAUGUGCUUCUUCAUGACUUGUUGAGGUUCAAGAAUAUGCCGAGCUAAUAAUAAUGAAUGUCGAUCCAAUUAUCCAACAUUAAAAAGCAGCAGCUUACUCCUAGUUCAAUCCACUCUUCUCAUAUUCAUAUUAACAAUUGUAAAACAGGCAACUAAAUCACCUUACCAAGUCAAUCAAAACCUUUUUUUUUCUUUUCCUACUAGGAAAGUGCUAAUCAAAACAACAAGAUAAAAACAGCAAUUAAGACAAGAUAAUAGCUACAAGAUUACAGGAAACAUGGUCCUGACAUAUCACGGCUGUCAGUUCGCUCACACAAGACCUAGCGACCAGCCGCCAGUUCGCUCGCGACCCGCCAUCCGUCGCCCUUGCUGCUAUGCUAUGCCGCGUUUCCUCCUCAUCCGCCGCCCUCCAUUGCUGCCCCAAGGUAUGGCAAGCUUCUCCCUUUCCCUUUUCCUUUUCCAUGGAUUUUGUCUGGUUCCUAUGGUAGAAACCCUAGCUACUGAGGGAGAUUGACAUGAGGAUUUGAGUGGGAGGGAUUUGAUGUGCAAAGGGGUGUGAUUGAUCUGAAAAGGCAACAUCAUAUUCCCUUGUUUUAGUUGAUGUAUUCAUGAGUUUUUGUUGAUGCAAGUCCAGUUUUGUUUUCAUUAGCAGCUAACUGACAGGAUAAUAGCGCAAAGGGGGCCAUCAGCAGAAGACAUGUCGCAACGGGGGGGCUCAGAGCAAGGUGAAUGAACAAAGGGUAAAAGAUAGAUGUGCAGCGCACAGGGGGGGUUAAAAUCAAUUCUUCCCAUUCGCAGCUCCACGGGAAAAAGAACGAACACAGCCUGGAACAAAAUCACACGGGGCGCUUCACACGAAAAUCCGGCGUAGGAACCAGGAGGCCUAGGUGAUUUGGGGAGCUUACCGGAGCCGAGACUGGGGACGGGCGGAGAAGGGAACAAUGGAGCAUUUUGGUGGAAGGAAACACACGACAGGGAGGGGGGUGGAGACCAACCGGAUGAGCUGGCUCCAGCGGAGAUAGAACCUUGCCGGAGAGAGGGCGGCAGUCGUCGUCGCCGGCAGCGGCGGCACCGCGGGGUCGCCGUUUCUUCUUGCGCCGCUGCCCUCGCCUUGUCCUAGAGGUAGGAUUUUUUUUUUUUGAAAAUUGAGGUAGGGUUUCUUGCGCCGUCGCCUUCAGGAGGGCAGCAGACGGUUUUUUUGGCACGAGAUGAAAAAAAAGGCAUCCAACAGCAAAUUUUUUUUUCAAAUUUUUGUUCGUCAGCCCUAAAAUACAGCAUGACGUACUACAAACAUACUAGUGUAGUGUCAAAAAAUGUCUUACAUUAUGAGAUGGAGAGAGUACAACAUUUUGGUUGGGUCCCGAUGUGCCGAUCAUCUCCGAGACUAGUGUGCUGGCGAUGGACUUUUCAAAUGUCAGCUUUGUUCAUUGCGGAAGAGAAAUCAAUCUUGUUGCUAAUUGUUUAGCGAAACACUGCUUUAGUCUUAGUUUAUCUGAAUUUUAGGACUCCAAUACCCUGACUUUAUCUUUUCACAUAUUGUAAAUGGCAUGGCUAUCAUAUGAGGAAUAAAGUUAUUUACGUUCAAAAAAUAUAUAACACUUCAGUUGCAACACAUAAUGCAUGAUUAUCAUCAAACCAACAUUAGAGAAGGAAACAUCAAAAGGGAGCACACAGAUGAGCAUGCAGAAACGCAAUUAGUUUCUCUCAUCCAACUUUUGGUCAAUAACAUUGGCGCUUUUAGAGCUAGAAACCUACUUGUGUCAAUUUGAGGAGAAGACCUAAUUAAAAUGACCAUAGAUAGUUGUAAAAAAUACCACCCAGGCAUAUCAGCAAUGGAGCUCAAACAAAUGUUAACAAUCGACUUUGUUAACUCCUUUGCCCUCUCAACUCCCAAGGCUUGCCUGGGACCUCAUAAGGCCUUAACGACUAGGCAAGGCAGCCCCUGCUACUUAGAGCAUUUCUAACCGAUCCCCAAUAAAUAUAGGAUGAUCCGGCUGAGUUAACCCUUAGUGAAGUAUAUGUAGGAACGAAGUAUGUCUACUAGAGGGGAGGGGGUGAAUGGGAGUUUUAAAUUUUCUUCGGAAAACUUAAAUCUCUCAGAACCCAGCAGCGGAAUGAAUGAAAAACAAACUACAGUGAACUAGAACAGAGUACCGAAGGAGAACUAAGACAUGCAUCGAAGUAAAUCAUACGAAUGAAAAUGCAUCGAAGGUAAACAUGAGUGACAGAGAUAACCGAUGAUGCUCGAUGGCGACAAGGUAUUUGUUCGACCAGUUCGUCCUUCUGCACAAGGACUACGUCUGGUUGGAGGGGUUGUGACUUAACACGAAAGAUAAACUCUCUUCACCCUAUUGUCCUCAACAAUCAAUUCGUCAACCGAUGCCGAUCACUCAUGGUAGAUACUUGAAGGCGAUCUCCGAACCUUUACAUACUUCUUCUUCGAGAACCACAAUCACUCUUGGUCUCUGAAGAAAUUUACACCUAACCGUCUAGAGAGUUUGCAGCUCUCGAGAGUAAUAGGCGGAGCAUACUAAACUUAGAUUCCAAUGACCCCGAACCACUAUCUAAUUCUUUGACUCUGGGGUUUUUCUCUCGGUGGAUUUUAAACUCAAAUCGCUCAGAGAGUGGGUUGCUCAACAAUCUUCUCAGAAUCAAACGGAGUAGCUACCUGACAAAGCCGGCGACGGGGGUGGGGGGGUGGGGGGGUGGGGGAUGGGGGUAUUUAUAGCCGCAGCCUUCCCAGCUGGGAAAUGACCAUUUUGGACACAAGGUAUAGCCAAUGGCCAACCGACACGUUACAACAGUCAGUUUUUGGAGCAACGGUAACAUUACUUGAGGAACAAGUAAUGCUAACUCCUUGGUCUGAGUCAACUCUCUCGCAGCAAAGAAGAUCAUAGUCUCUUGCUGGCAAGUAUUUGCUCGGAGCACAAAGAUAUUUCUCUCAUAGCUUUCACAGGAUUUGGGUUUAGCAUCAGAGAAUCAAAGCUUCGAAUGCUACACCCUUCUUAAUAGUACGGUGGUCCUAUGACUCACUAAAAGAAGAAGAAGAACGAAACAAAUACUACGUCUUCACUUUGUCUUCAUUCUUUCCUUGAACGCAGUCAUAUGCUUCGAACAGACACCGAACCACUUGCUUGAACUUCAGCAAUUUUUAGGGGUCACUCUUGUUAGCUUUAUCUUCGGUGAUAACCUUCACUGCCAUGCAGGGAGAUUAUCUUCAUCGUUUGCAUCAAACUCCUCGAUACUUCAGGGACAUGUUACUCUGUGUGCACUAGUAAACACAUAAGUCCCACACUAUUUAUGUCAACAAACUCCAAAAACACAAGGGGCCUAUCAUUGCACCAACAAUCUCCCCAUUUUUGGACAGUUGUUGACAAAACAGAUAAUCAUCAAAGUGAAGAUAGAUAGGAAAUGUAAAUCGAACAAGAGUGAACUUGCGUUACUUGACUCGUUGAUGAAAUAUACUCCCCCUUGAUGUAUGCAGGGUCAAUUGAUAUACAAUGAAAUUCCUUGCAAUUUAAUCACGUAUAAGGAGGUUUUUUCAAUCAUAUGAGGUAAUGAUUCACACUGAUGAAAGAUAAUCCAACAAGAAUAUAGUGCAAUCAUUCAUGACUUCUGAUAAUAAUUCCACCUGCAAAACAAAUGCUACGAGAGAAUAUAGUGCGGCAGGCGGGGUUAUUAAUAUUACAGCCCAUAACAGAAGUUUUACAACAAAGCACAUGAAGCGGCAUGAACAGUCUCAAAAGAUAGAUCAAAUAAACACAAAGACCAAAUCCAACAAAGCAAAUAUAUCGAAACUCUCAAUGUAAUUCUCCCCCUUUUUGUCAACUAGUGUCACAAAGGUGACGAAUGACAUGAGUGCGGAAAAGAUGCAAACGUGAUUCACUCUAAGGCAUCGCCCGAAGAGGUUUCUGACUCGGAGGUGGCUGGUAUAUCUUCAUCAUCAUCAGCAGCAGAUCCUUCAAGCCUGGCUUAGGGCUGAGAAGAUGAAGGCACAUUGGGAUCAGCCUGUUGGGUCUUGCGAGACAGAAUAUUUUCUUCAACAGGUUUCUAAGUGCGUGAAGUGGCUUUUGACUCGUCGAGCAAUUUGCGUAGCUGAAUCCAAAGUAAAUUCGUUGUUGGUUCACGAGCUAUCAAAGGCGGAGUAAUGCGGUCUUGAAAGUCUUCAACAGUAAACCCUUGAUCAAUAUACUCAUAGAGUUCUUUGAGAUGGGAGUGGCUCAAUUGCUUCUUUGAGAAGAAUUUCCAAAGGAAUUUCCAUAAACUCUUCUUAUUUUCUGCUGUGAUCAUGUGCACAACUUUUGUUCGGUUGUGAAUUGCAUUAAGUUCAACAGCCAGAUGCUCUUUCUCUUGAUGGUCUGAUGUAGGGUGGAACCCUAUGGGGCCGAUCUUUCACGUUUGGAGAGGAUCCUACGGGGAACACGAAGAACACGCAGAAGAACACGAGGGAAAUCACGAGGGGAAAAUAAGAGAAACACUCAACCGACACAAAAUUGAUCACACAAGUGCUAGAUCAUCGAGGCACAAAGUAACACGAGAUCCAAAGUCAACAAGGGACGAUACAAGAGUAACCGUUCUUCUCCGUGAGGAGGUCUUGAGUGUUUUCUCUGGAUGGAGGCCUUGAUUCCGGGUGGAUCUUCUCCGAAGAGGUGGGGUCCCUCACGAGGAGUAGAUCCGGUACAGAUGAGCAAUGCUCUAUCUCAAAUGAGCUAUCACAAUGCUAACCCUAAAACGUAGGCAGGAGAAGAGUAUAUAUAGUUUACGGGGCGAAAGGGUACAUGGGCCUCGGCCCAAGUGGCUGCGCGCAGGCCGGGCCGGAAGUUCUGGGCGCCGAAGGUUCCGGGAAGGGUCCGGCCUAACUAGAGAGUUGGCACGGGUGGAGCUGGGCUGGCGUCCGGGGACCGGAAGGUCCGGGCGGGCCGGAGGUUCCGGGGACCAGAAGGUCCGGGCCGGGUUCCGGGCAGGUUCCGGGCUAACCCGAGAGUUGGCAUGCCCGGGCUGGUCGAAGUCGACGGAGGCCGGAAGCUCUGGGUAGGACGGAAGGUCCGGGUGCCGGAAGUUCCGAGCUCUGAUCGGAAGUUCCGAGCUGUCCAGAGAGUUGACGCUUGUCAUUUCUUCUCCAGCUCUCGGCUCCGUGGCUUGAGCAUUGUACCUGAUCACACACAGCAUCUCGGACUUAGGAAGUAGCCAUGUCUCACUUGAAGAAGGGAGAAACUCAAGUAGGAGUGAUGUCACCUUGGAUUGAAUGGCACGAGCCCUUUCUCUUGUCAUGGGUUCACUUGGAGCUUGGAUAGUCGAGGUGGUGUCCAUGGGGAUGAUCACGGGAUGCCCCGCAUCAUCUCCCCUCCCUUGGGAAAGAUCCGACCUCGGAUCGAGAUCCUCAUCAUCAUGGUAUGGCGAAAGAUCUUUGACGUUGAAGAUGUCGCUCACGUUGUACUUGUCGCGCGGGGGGUCGAUCUUGUAAGCGUUGUCGUUGUAGCGUGCUAGCACCUUGAAGGGUCCAUCGGCUCGAGGUAGAAGUUUGGACUUGCGUUCGUUGGGGAAGCGGUCUUUGCGAAGGUGUAACCACAUGAGGUCUCCGAUGUUGAAUAUCAUGGGUUGCUUGUUGACGUUGAGCUUGGUCGCUAGUCGUUGUACUUGGCGCUCAAUGGUGUGUCUUGUAUCCUCAUGCAUCUUCUUGAUGUAGCUUGCCCGUGCACUCGCAUCCAUGUUGGUGCGCUCUUGUAGAGGAAGAGGUAGAAUGUCCAAUGGGGAUAACGGGUUGAAGCCGUGGACGACCUCAAAAGGGGACUUGCCGGUCAUCGAAUGUCUUGCAUGGUUGUAGGCGUACUCGGCGAUGGGUAGACAUGCCUCCCACUCCUUGAUGUUUUUCUUGAUUAACACGCGAAGUAGAGUGGAGAGCAUACGGUUCAUCACCUCCGUUUGGCCGUCGGUUUGCGGAUGGUAUGUGGACGAGGACAAGAGCUUGAUUCCGAGCUUGGCGCAUAGCGUCUUCCAAAAGUAACUCAAGAACUUGACGUCACGGUCGGAGACGAUUGUGUUUGGUACUCCAUGGAGGCGCAAGAUUUCCCUACAAAAGAGAUUUGCAACGUGUGAAGCAUCGUCUAUCUUGUUGCAAGGGAUGAAAUGUGCCAUCUUAGAAAAUCGGUCCACAACAACAAACACAGAAUCCUUUCCAUUUUGAGUUCUAGGCAAACCAAGUACAAAAUCCAUGCUAAUGUCUUCCCAAGGUUGAUAAGGAAUAGGAAUAAAGACCAUGGGAUUGAGCUUUAGACUUAGCUUUGCGACAUGUAGAGCAUCGGUUGGUGAAGCGUGAGACGUCACGGAACAUCUUGGGCCAAAAGUAGUUCUUGUAGAGCAUGGCAAAUGUCUUGUCGCGUCCAAAAUGUCCCAUGAGUCCGCCUCCAUGAGCCUCUUGCAAAAGGAGCAAACGAAGAGAAGGCUCGGGAAUGCAAAGUUUGUUAGCUCUCAUAAGAUAAUCAUCUUUGAUGUAAUUUUGUUCCCAAGAAGUAUGCGCCAAGCACUUAGCAUAAGGAGUAGCAAAGGAAGGAUCAUUUGCAUACAAUUCUUUUAUAUGCUCAAAACCAACAACAUUCAACUCAAGUUUAGUGACAAGCGUACAUAUGUGUGAAAGUGCAUCCGCAACUACAUUUUCCUUACCCUUAAUGUACUUGAUCACACAGGGGAAAGAUUCAAUAAUUCAUUCCAUUUGGCAUGACGCUUGUUUAAUUUAGUUUGACCCUUUUAAGUACUUAAGCGUUUCAUGAUCGGUAUGUAUGACAAACUCAUGAGGUCUAAGAUAAUGUUCCCAAACAUGUAGCACACGCACUAAAGCAUGCAAUUCUUUGUCAUAGAUGGGAUAGUUAAGUUGAGCACCGGAGAGUUUUUCACUAAAAUAUGCAAUGGAUCGUUUUUCUUGCAUCAAAACUCCGCCAAUUCCGGUACCACUUGCAUCACAAUGAACCUCAAAAGUUUUGUCAAAGUUGGGCAAAGCAAGAAUCAGAGCAUGAGUAAGCAAAGACUUGAGCUCAUCAAAAGUGGUAGAUUGCAAAGAUCCCCAAACAAAAGGAGCAUUCUUCUUACUCAAGGCAUGCAAAGGAGCGGCAAUAGUGCUAAAAUUCUUCACAAAGCAACGAUAAACCCGCAAGGCCAAGAAAGCUACACACUUGUUGCAAAUUGGUGGGUUGGGGCCAAGUUUCAAUUUCUUCUAUUUUAGAUUCGUCAACAUGGACACCCUUGGAAGAGACAACAAAACCCAAGAAAACAAGUUUGUCAACACCAAAUGUGCACUUUUUCAUGUUGGCAUAAAGACCUUCCUUGCGAAGGGUUUGCAAAAUAGCCCUAACAUGAUUGAGAUGCUCUUUCAUGGAUUUGCUAAAAACAAGAAUGUCAUCGAAGUAAACCACAACAAACACUCCAAUAUAAGGAUGAAGCACAAAAUGCAUAAGUCUCAUGAAAGUACCGGGAGCUUCCGAUAAACCCAUAGGCAUAACCAACCACUCGUACAAGCCAAAUUUGGUUUUGAAAGCGGUUUUCCAUUCAUCACCUUCUUGUAUGCGGAUUUGAUAAUAGCCACUUUUAAGAUCAAAUUUUGAGAAAAAGGCAGCACCGCUAAGUUCAUCAAGCAUAUCAUCUAGGCGAGGAAUGGGAUGCCUAUAGCGAACGAUGAUAGAAUUAAUGGGUCUACAAUCGGAACACAUGCGAUAACUUCCAUCUUGCUUAGGUACAAGUAUAACCGGAACGGCACAAGGGCUUAAGCUUUCACGUACAUGACCGUUGUCGAUUAGUCGUUGUACUUGUUGUUGGAUCUCCUUAGUUUCUUCGGGGUUGACGCGGUAUGGAGCUUUGUUUGGUAGGGGCGCUCCGGGGAUGAGGUUGAUUCGAUGCUCAAUGCCUCAUAGAGGAGGUAGACCCGGAGGUAGCUCAUCGGGGAAAACAUCUUGGAAUUCAUGCAAAAGAGAUUAAAACACUAAAGGUAGCUCGUGAGAGGUGUUAGUUUUUGGGUCCCCAUCCUUGCACACAAGGACAAAGUGCAUAACACUCGAUGGGUUCUCACACACUUCUCUCACCUCAUUUUUGGUGGCAAAUAUAGGACUAGGUUUUUCUCUCUAGGCAAAGAGGUGCUCAAGUUUGGCUUGUGGCUCUCACUCACUUUUUGGUGGAUCACUUUCUCACUCUUCUGUCCAUGAUGGGUGGCUUGCUUGUCGGCUAUCACUUGACUAGGAGACAUAGGUCGUAGCACAUAUUCCUUCCCUUUCAUCUUGAAGCUAUAGUGAUUGGUACGCCCGUUGUGGAUGACGCCAUGGUCAAAUUGCCAUGGGCGACCAAGAAGGAGGUGGCAAACAGACAUCGGGACGACAUCACACUCCAAAGUGUCCUCGUAUGCACCAAUUUUUAAGAAGACUUGGACCGUAUGCUCAACUCGUAUAGUGCCGGAGUCACUUAGCAAUUGGAUCUUGUAAGGGUGCGGGUGCUUCAUCUUGACCAAUUGAAGCUUGGAGCAUAGUUUCUCACUUGCCAAGUUGUGACAACUACCUCCAUCGAUGAUGACCUUGAUGGACCUUCCAUUGAUGCCGGCCUUAGUGUGGAAGAUGUGGCAUCUUUGGUCUUCUUCUUGUUGAUGUUGAAGAGUCAAGACUUUGGAGACAACGAGAGCAGGGCUCGAAUCCUCAUCACAAAAGACUUGAUCAUCUUCAUCCUCGUUCACUCGUCGGUGCAUGGCCACUUGCUCAAGGGCUUCCAUCUCCUCGUCACUCAUGGAGUCAUAGGUUCCAUCAUCGUUGAGGAUCAUGGUGCGCUUGUUUGUGCAUUCGAAGGACUUGUGGCCUCGGCCGCCGCAAGUGAAACACUUGAAGGAGCUUGUCUUGACUGUCUCAUCAGUCGGAGUAGAUGAUGAAGCGCGUGGCUUGUAGUUGCUUGUAGUAGGAGGAAGACGACUUGAGCUUGUCGAAGUUUUCUUGUAACUUGACUUGUCGUCAUUGCUUGUAGAUGGCUUGGUCGAGGUAGAAGUUGGAGGAGUCGUUGAAGCUUGGUUGUUGGAGAAGCCAUAGGUCUUGGAUGAGUACUUGGCGUACUUGAAGUCAUCUUGCACUUGGCGUUCCGCCUUGGUAGCUUGAUGCACGAGCUCAGUGAGGUUGGAGUAGGGUUGGAAGUCGGCAAUCUUCUUGAUGGGAUGAUUGAGUCCAUUCAAGAAACGUGCCAUAGUUUGCUCAUCAUCUUCAGUGACAUUGGCUCGAAUCAUGUCUAUCUCCAUUUCCUUGUAGUAUUCUUCAACACUCUUUGUUCCUUGCUUGAGGUGUUGUAGCUUCUUGAAGAGAUCGUGGUUGUAGUAGGUGGGCACAAAAUGUGCUCGCAUGACAUCCUUCAUUUGAUCCCAAGUGGUGAUUGGUGGUUCACCUCUUGCUUCUUGGCGCUCAAGGACUUGUUCCCACCAUAUGAGCACAUAGUCUUGGAACUCAAAAAAUGCCAUAGAGAUCUUCUUCUUUUCCUCAUAGUUGUGCAAACGAAAGAUUUUCUCGACCUUCAGUGCCCAUGAUAGGUACUCUUCGGGAUCAUUGCUUCCAUUGAACUUGGGCAUGGUGAAUUUUAGCUUGCCAUAGCGUUGCUCUUCAUUGUGUUGUUGGCGAUGGUGAUGAUGACGCCCUUGACAUGGAGGAUAAUUAUCCUCAUGUUGCUCUUGGCGUGGAUGAAGUCCAUGAUCAACUUGCUCUUGUGGAACUUGAGGUUGUGGAGGAGCUUGUUGAGCUUGACAUUGCACUCGUGGUUGGUAGUUCCUCUCUUGGAUUUAUUCUCGAAGUGCUUCCUCUUGAUUGCGCCAUUCGCGAUUGCAUUUGGCGAUGGCUCGACUUGAUUCUUGAAGGGCACGUUGCGCCUCAAGAGCUUGUGCUUCACGUUGUUGUUGUUGAAGACGUUGAGCCCCGGCGUCUUGUUCCUCUUGGUGUUGAUGCGCUCGUUCUUCCUCUUGGCGACGUUAACGUUGUCGUUCUUGAGCUUGAGCAAACGUAACUUGAUGUGGUGGAGGACGAAGUUCUUGCUCGUCGACUUGCUUUUGUGAAUGCUUAUAAUGUAGCGGGUUGCGAGAUGCAAGACGGUCUUGAUGUGCGGCUCAUCGAAGAGUGUUCGAUGUCGGUGUACUUGAGCCGGAGAAGGUGUCGUCGGAGUGUCGACUUGAGCGGCUCCGUCUUGAGUAUGAAAAAGUAGAAGGAGGACGGUUCACCAACAAGGCACGGAUCUCGUCCAUCCUUGCAUCGUUCUCUUGCUUGUGAGCGUCGAGCUUGUUGUCGAAGUAGUCCUUUGUACGUUGCUCGGAGAGUCGCAAGUCGGUGGCGAGGUUGUCGAUUCGGUCGGUCAUAGCUUGUUGCUCUUGAUGCAACGCUCGUUGUGCACCAAAGAGGUGGCUCUUGGUGAUGAAUGAUGACAUGUCGUCGUCUUGCUCGAUGAAGAGUGGGUUGGUAGAAGUACUCGGCCUAUCCAUCAUUCCAAGAAAAAUGUGAGUGGUAGAAGGAGAAGAACUUAUACCAAUGUACCUUGACCGAUGUUGACGAUGAAUCAAGUUCACUGAAAUGCGGACAAUGAAAUAGCACUAUUGGUACCAAUUCUUGUCGUUUCUCACACCUACACAAGUAAAAGCUUAUGGUGGAGCUUGGUUAGGAUGGUGGCACAAAAUUUGAUGCAAUUGUAAGUGAGCUUCAAUAAUGUUGGAAAAGAUUCACAAAUUUGCAAAUGCAACAAGUAGACCAAGCAAGUAGUUGUACAUGGAAACACACACGCAAAUAGAUAAGUGGGAUUGUGGAAACCAAAAGUGAGCCAAAAUGUGGAAUCCACGAAAAUGCUCUUGUUGCACAAUACAAGAGAGACGCUAGCACGAUUGCACAAUAGGCGGAUACGGAACUUGUGCACAACCUACUAGGCAAAAAUGCAACGACCUCUAUCCCAAGUAUGCUAUAUGUAUGGUAUUUCGGUUAUAUGAUCCAAGAUGAUCGGAUAUGACAAUCUUAAUGUCGUAUGAUGCUAUGGUUCUUGCUUAUAAGCUCUUUGCUUAUAUUCCCUCUUUGCUUAAAAGCUUGGUUGGCUCUUUCACUUGUGAGCUCUUUUCUCAUGCAAAACUUCACGAACCAAGAUAGUAAUUGUGUAUGCGAUGACAACUUUGUGACAUAAAAGUUGAUGCCAAGAUAUGCACCACUAUGGUAUGGUAUGUAUGCUAUGGAGUAUGAUCACUAAUGUGCACAAGUCACAUUGCCGGCAAUACUCAAAGGCUAGUCUCGAUGGGUAAGCAACGCAAAAGAUGGGCUAUGAUGGUUAUCAAUGCAAUGGCAAGGUUUGGACAAAGAUGUCUGAUACGUCUCCAGCGUAUCUAUAAUUUUUUAUUGUUCCAUGCUAUUAUAUUACCCGUUUUGGAUGUUUAUGGGCUUUACUUUACACUUUUAUAUCAUUUUUGGGACUAACCUACUAACCGAAGGCCCAACCCGUAUUGCUGUUUUUUUGCCUAUUUCAGUAUUUCGAAGAAAAGGAAUAUCGAACGGAGUUCAAACGGAAUGAAACCUUCGGGAGCAUGAUUUUUGGAACGAACGUGAUCCAGAGGACUUGGAGUGGAAGUCAAGAAACAAUCGAGGCGGCCACAAGAGUGGAGGGAGCGCCCCCCUACUGGGCGCUCCCCCCUAUCUCGGGGGCCCCUCGGGAGUCCACUGUCGGUGUCAAAACCGGUAGAUCUCGGGUAGGGGGUCCCGAACUGUGCGUCUAGGCGGAUGGUAACAGGAGACAAGGGACACGAUGUUUUUACCCAGGUUCGGGCCCUCUCGAUGGAGGUAAAACCCUACUCCUGCUUGAUUAAUAUUGAUGGUAUGGGUAUUACAAGAGUUGAUCUACCGCGAGAUCAGAGAGGCUAAACCCUAGAAGCUAGCCUAUGGUAUGAUUGUUGUUCGUCCUACGGACUAAAACUCUCCGGUUUAUAUAGACACCGGAGAGGGCUAGGGUUACACAGAGUCAGUUACAAUGGGAGGAGAUCUUCAUAUCGUAUCGCCAAGCUUGCCUUCCACACCAAGGAAAGUCCUUAUCCGGACACGGGACGAAGUCUUCAAUCUUGUAUCUUCAUAGUCCGGGAGUCCGGCCAAAGGUCAUAGUCCGGCCAUCCGGACACCCCCUAAUCCAGGACUCCCUCAGUAGCCCCUGAACCAGGCUUCAAUGAAAACGAGUCCGGCGCGCAAAUUGUCUUCGGCAUUGCAAGGCGGGUUCCUCCUCCGAAUACUUCGUGGAAGAUGUUUGAACACAAGGAUAGUGUCCGGCUCUGCAAAAUAAUUUCCACAUGCCACCAUAGAGAGAAUAAUAUUUACACAAAUCUAAUCUGGCAACGUAUUCCGCGGUGUGACAUCAUGGCACGACCUAGCCUUUAUUUAUUUAUUUUACCAUUCCACCUCAGCGCGCUUAGCGAGGCGGUUCCCUUGGCACGUCUUGUCGAAGCAGAGAUCGUGUCCCCUUAUCCCGGGAUUCUCAUUAAUAUGGGCGUGGGUAACCCAACCGCGCCUUUUGGUAUGACUCUCUAAUCGAAAGUGAGUCCCAAACGGUUAUGGGGAGGGCUCUUGGUAUUCAACUCCUUUAUAAAGAGACCAAGGCUCGACUCCCUCUUCCUUCAAUCCAAUCAAAUCCGCCCCUUGCCUCGAGUUCCAACACUCAAGGUUUCUAGUUUUAGGCGCUUCGAACCUCCGACAAUGUCCGGCUCCAACCUUCAAGGCCGGUGGGUGCCUUCCUCCAUUACGGAAGAAGACGUGCGAAAGCUGAGAGAUGCCAGGUAUCUAACCGAUGAAAUCUCGCAUAGGCUGCCUGCUCAAGGGCAGGCCAUUCCUUCUCCUCAGCCCGGUGAGAGCAUGGUGUUCACAUCCCACUUCCUUCGGGGGUUAGGUUUCCCGAUUGAUCCCUUUGUGAGGGGGCUGAUGUUCUAUUAUGGGGUGGAAUUUCAUGACCUAGCUCCGGAGUCCAUCCUUCAAAUUUCGUCGUUUGUCGUAGUGUGCGAAGCCUUCCUCCAUGUCACCCCCACUUCGGAUUGUGGCUUAAAACCUUCAAAGUAGAGCCGAAGAUGAUCGAGGGGCAGCACGCUGAGUGCGGAGGAGCUAUCAUAAGCAAGAUAGCCGGCGCUCCAUGGCCCGAGGGCACUUUCCAAGAAGAGUUUGGCUUAUGGCAACGGGGCUGGUUUUAUAUCACAGCCCCCAGGGGCACCACAUGGGUGGCGCCUCCUGCUUUUCGCUCGGGUCCUCCGCCACAGCGAGCGUCAUGGGUCAAUGAAGGGCUUAUCUGGAGUCCGUCCAAAGACGUGCCCCUGCUGCAGGGCCGCAUUCGAGAUCUCCUAGAAAGAGAUAUUAACCUGACUGUAGUGGCGCAAGUUAUGCUGAUUCGCCGCACCCUGCCCUGCAAACGUCGCCCCCUUCGCCUGUGGGAAUUUAAUCCGGAAGGACCGCGAGUCCUUCAACAUUUCAUGGGCGCAACGCCCAUGGAGAUGUACAAAUUGUUCUUCGGACCACAAACUAGGUGUCCGGAUUUAUCCGAGGACGCAGGUCUGAGCUGCAAUCGCCAAGAUGUUAAGGUAAGCAACCCCAUAUUUGGACACAACAUCCGUAUUUUCAUCGUAAAGCAGCCUUUUGACAGAGCUAUCAUUUGAACAGGAGUGGAUAGCGAAGGCAAAGCUUAUCAGGUGUCCACCCCCCCUGCCCGAGACCGCGCCAGAUCUCGUGUUAACCAGGAUGCUACAGGUUACGUUUUCAGCAGAGGGCGAAGAGGGGAACCAAGGAGCUGCCGCCUCCACGAAGGAGACUGUCACGAAGGAAGGAAUCGAAGACUCCCCCAACCUGGGAAAGAAAAGGAGUGCCUCUGAAGACCCGGAGGAGAUGACCUCGAAACGGGGGAAGAAAUCUGUGUCAGAGGAUCCGGCGCCGGAGACUGCCCCGGCCGCUUUUGGCCCUCACAGGGAUCAGCUUUCCUCCGAGCCGUAAGUAUAGAGAGGGGCUUCAAAAAUUAGUGGCAUCCCUAUUUUAUUUCUGAGGAAGAUAACCGAAAUAUUACCUUGCAGUUCGGAUCUUGACCCUUCUCAGCAGAGCUCGUCUUCAGGGGAUCUCUGUCCGGAGAUGAUAGAGAGAAAAACGCCUCCCCUAGCUGCGCCGACUUACGAGGCAGGUGACCCCGAGGUGUCGUCCCGGCGGGUUUCUCCAAGUUCGGAUCUUGAAAAAGGUCGUCGGGCUAGUUCGGUGCCCUCUGGUGCACGGUCGGAGAGGCUGAGGGAUCUGCUCGGGCGUGCAUCCGUCUCAGAAGAACACCGUGUGUUGAUGAACAUGGUGAUAGGAAGGGUUGCAUCCGCGGAAAGCGGAUUGUAUGAGGCCGCCAGGAGUUUACUGACAGGCUUUGAGGUACGUGAAAAGGUGUACCUAUUGGUAGAGUUGCAUAGAAUGCGCCCUGUAUAAAUAGUAGCCCCUGAGACUCUGUGUGUCGUCAAGAGUGAUGGCGCACAGAGGAUCAAAACCCCAGGUAUAAAAUGUUACCUUUUUAUGAAGGUGGCGAGGUGUUCGGUGGCUAGCCGGACUGAUGAAUCUACCGAGCUAAAGCGGCAACUGGACGUGGCAGAUGCCGACAUCACGCUUGUAAAUAAGCGGCUAGGCGAGGCACAAGGUAUACUCCACAGAUAUCUGAUAAGAGGAGUUCGAUGCUCGUUUCUUACAAUAUAUAUGCUUAUUGCAGAUAGUGCUGCUUCCGUGGAGAAUCUUCGGGCGGAACUUGCCCGAUCCAAGGAACAAGCAAGAAAAAGUGAUGCGGCGGCCAUUAAGGCGGCUGAAGAGCUGAAAGCCGAACAGGCUGCUCACUGCCAGAGUAAGAAGGCAAUAGCUGAGAUGACUGUAAAAUUGAAGGAUGCUGCCGACCGCUGUGAAUUUCUCGAACAAGAAAAAGGGGUGGCUCAGAAGGACCUUGAGAAGAUCACUACCGAGGUCAAGGAUGCUCGCUCUGCGAUGAGAGCUAGGAAGGAGGAGCUGCGUUAGGCCGGGGAUAUCACGGCUGGAAAGCCCUAUAUGCUGCGGAUGAAGUUCGGGGAUCCUAAGUAUGCUCCGUUGGACAGUCAGUGGAGUGCGGAAAACACUUAUCUGGAUGUGGCAGCGAGUGCGGCUGACGCAACCGAACACUUCCGAGGACGAGGCGACCAUAAUUUGGAAGAACUGUUUUGGUCACAGUUCCAUAAGCCAGAGCGCCCACUUUCGGUACCCGACCGUUUGGCCGCCUUUGCGGAGCUGAACAGGUUAUCCGGACUCGCCAUGAAGUAUGUCGCGAGUCGUUUGUGGCCGGGGGAGCCGGAGCCGAAAAGUUACUUUGGAUUGGUGCAACAGUUCCUUGGUUCUGUGCCGCAUGUCGAUGUACUGAAGAGGUCGGCGUGUAUAGAGGGUGCACGAAUGGCUCUUGCCCGUGUCAAGACAUACUGGGCGGAUAUGCAGACCAGUGUUGUCGCAUCCCAGGAUUCAGACGAAGGCCGGGUAUCUGCCGAGCACUACCUUGAGGAAGUUCUUCCGAGCACUCGUUUAAUAGAAGCGCAGUGCUCGAAGGAUGUUUUGUUCGAAUAGCAGGUGCUAUUGUAAAAGAAAUAUUUUGAUAGAAUAUAAAAGCUUUUUAUACUUGUGUUUGCAAGAGUUAUAACCCCUCCUGUGCGGCCGUUAAUGUAUAUGUGUGUAUAACCUGAAAGAUGGCAGUCGUUGGCUUCAACCCCCACUCAUAUAAUGAGGGGGUGUUCGCAAAAAAUGCACCUUUUCACACUUAAUCCAAUGUCUUGGUCCUACAAAGGAGGUGAUGGCACGACGAACGAGGCAACCGGACUAUAACGCUUUAUGACUUUCACUUAGCCAUAUGAGUUUGACAUUGGAGCUACUUAAUAGCCCCUGGAGGCACCGCGCUCUCCCGAAUCCGGGGUGCGUGUGUGCCUGACCGGGAAGCGGUCCUUCGUUAAUGCAGAGGAAUUCUAGAGAUUCCGAGAGUCAUCGAGUGGUUGACCAGUCUCUCGCUAUAUCAUGACAGUCAGUUUUCGGCUUUCUCUACUGAGGUGCUCGCCUGGCCGACCCGGGGCACAAUCGUAGUAGUUCUCCUGGUGCCGCGUUAGCCGAUAUAACGGAACGUAAGGCAACAAAACACAGGAGCCGGGCAAACCCAACAUUUGACCAAAGACAUGAUUCGGAGCUGAUGCAUAUAAGGCCUAACUCGCGACGCCGAACACUCCCUAAGGUAUUUGGUCUUUAUGAAGACGGGCCGAAACAGAGCCCUUGGUGAGAAAGCCCCUUGUGUCCAGGUAUGCGCAAAAUUCUGGCGUGGCCACAUGCCAAAACGCCAAUCUCCUCCUCGAAAAACCGGGGGAUGUUUUCAACAAGAGACAGUAAAAAAGGUUUACGCAGGGUCUUAAUCUGAAAAGAAUCCUUAGAACGGGUCCCUACUACACGUCUGCGCUUGUGUCUCCGUUGUGCCAUAUCCUGGACGGGCGUAGCACGGUGUUCGUCUGUGAAAAAGAGGAACUUUAGUAAAGAGGCGUGCAGGAAAUCUAUAUUAAAAUAAACAAGAUGUAGUUGGAGCAAGAAGGGAGCCGCAUUGUCUCCUGGCGUGAACACGCGGAGCCCCUUGUACAGGGUUGUGCGGCUAUUACAUCCAUGUGUGUUGACGCCGGACUCGUCUAGCCGUGUCCGGGCUAGAUUAGUGUGCGGCUGUCCAGGCGGCCGCACCCUUACCCGUAUUUUGGGGGUCAAUUCCCCUGUGAUGAGAUGAUGCUUCAUGGGCCGAGCAUUUUAAGUGUAAGGGAUGCAUAGUGUGGUAUUGCGUUAAAGCGGGCGAAAGCUUCACGUCCCAGUAGCGCUUGAUAGCGACUUACGAAUGGGGCAAUGUGGAAGGUUAGCUUUUCACUUCGGAAGUUGUCGGGUGUGCCGAACUUGACUUCUAAUGAAAUGGAACCCAUAGUCUGGGUAUCUGGGCCCGGCGUUGCUCCUCGAAAGGAAGUUUUGCCGCGGCGUAUUAGCGCUGGAUUUACCCCUAGUUUGUGGAUUGUGUCCUGAUAUAGCAGGUUUAAGUCACUGCCACCGUCCAUAAGGACUCGUGUAAAUUGUAGUCCGUUAAUAACCGGAUUCAAGACCAAGGCAAUCCAGCCUGCGUUCCGGGCCCCUCUAGAGUAAUCCCGAUGGUCAAAGGUGAUUGGUUGUAGCAACUAGUGGCGGUGCUCCUCUGGGGCUGGCUGUGUGGCGCGUGUCUUCAUAAGCGCUGUUCUGUUUUGCCCUUUUGUCAUAUGAAGUGUCACUGUUUUGACUUCUUGUGGGAACUUCUUUUGUUCUCCGGUGUUCUGCUUGUGGGGCACGUCAUCAUCCUUGCUUGGUGCGUCGAGCCCCUUGUGUUCGGCAUUGAGUUUGCCGGACUGCUUGAAAACCCAACAAUCUCUAUGGGUGUGGUUUGCAGGCCUCCCGGGGGUGCUGUGGAUUUGACAUAUUUUAUCCAUGAUUUUGUUGAGGUUAGACAGCUUGUCCCUGUCAUCUUUGGGUGGCGGAUUUUUCUGAUUUUGCCGAGAGCUUUUGAAUCCGGCAUUGACUGUCGUGCUCGUUGGGCUGUUGUCCUUGAUUCGGCGCUGUUCUUUGUUAUGGCGCGGUUUCCUGUUUCCAUCUUUAGGUUUGGAUGUACUCGGGUCGCUGGUGCUGCUCCUUGCCAACCAGCUAUCCUCUCCUGCGCAAAAGCGGGUCAUGAGGCUUGUUAAUGCGGCCAUCGUUCUUGGCUUUUCUUGGCCGAGGUGUCUGGCGAGCCAUUCGUCUCAGACGCUAUGUUUGAAAGCUGCUAGGGCCUCAGCGUCCGGAUAGUCGACUAUCUGAUUCUUUUUAGUAAGGAAUCUAUUCCAGAGUUUCCGGGCUGACUCUUCAGGUUGCUGAGUUAUAUGACUCAGAUCGUCUACAUCUGGAGGUCGGACAUAGGUCCCUUGAAAAUUUGUCCGGAAAGCCUCCUCAAGCGCUUCCCAACUUCCUAUGGUAUUUUCGGGAAGGCUUUUAAGCCAAUGCCAAGCUAGCCCUUUGAGCUUGAGGGGUAAGUAUUUGAUGGCAUGAAGGUCAUCCCCUCUGGCCAUGUGUAUGUGGAGGAUAUAAUCCUCUAUCCAGACUCCGGGGUCUGUUGUUCCGUCGUAUGCUUCUAUGUUCACGGGCUUGAAUCCCGCUGGAAAUUCGUGAUCCAGCACCUCAUUGGUAAAACAUAAGGGAUGUGCGGCGCCCUUGUAUGCAGGUGUGCCAUGAUGUUCGGGUAUUUUUUGCAUUGUGUUGCUCGCUGGGGCUUGCUUUCUUGGGCCAUAGAUGGAUCUGGUUGGGCAAGUUUUUUGAUGCGAAUCCUUAGGGGGGUCGCUCGCUGGAUUGAGUGCGGCGUCCUCUACCGCUUUGGAUCGAUCGUUGGGUCGUCUAUCCGACCUGGUGGCUUCUUUGUUUUUUGACUGUGGGGGCUUUAUGGUCUCUUCAUCAAAUUCCGGUAGUAGUUUCCGCUUCGGAUAGCUCUUUGUGUGACGACUGUUGCCGUACUUGUGUGCGGUAUCUAGCACUUUGUUCCAUCUGAUCCUGAGUGCAUCUUCUGCUGUUUUGAUCCUCCGCUUCUGCUUUUUCAGGCUACGUGCAGUGGCGACGAGCCUUUGGUGGAGGUUCUGAUGUUCCAGCAGUUUGUCUGGCAUGAGGUCGUCCGGACUACUAUCUUUUCCUGGGAUUGGUUGUUUGGACGGUUGCUCAAUGGCAUGUUCGUCUUCCGUUGAUUCGCCCUGCUCUAUGGCUGGGUCUUUGUCGAGGUGGGGCUUUGCGUGGCGCUUGUGUCGCCGCUUUGAUUGUUUUUCGAGGGAAUGAUCCCUGUUUGCGCCCUUUUGAUCCUCGUUGUUAUUCCUUUUGGGUGUGUCCACCAUGUAUACAUCGUAUGAUGAGGUGGCUUUCCAGUUCCCUAUAGGUGCUGGUUCUUGGUCAUCUCCUUCAUCGACGUCCAUACCUGUAACACCCACGAUGCGGCUAUAUCUCCCACGUGUCGAAGCACGACUUAGAGGCAUAACCGCAUAGUGGUUUUGUCGCAAGAAGGGUCAUCUUCACACAAUCCCAUGUAAUGAACAAGAAUGGGAUAAAGAGAGUUGGCUUACAAUCGCCACUUCACACAAUACAUAAUUAAGAUCAUACAUCAUUCAAAUACACUCGUAGACCGGCUACGGUCAAAUUCAAAUGAAAAGAAGACAACCCCAAAUGCUAGAUCCCCGAUCGUCCCGACUGGGCACCUCUACUGAUCAUCUGGAAACAAUACAUAGUAACGACCAAGGGCCUCAUCAAACUCCCACUUCAGCUCAGUUGCGCCAUCUGCGCUGGUAUCCUCGACACCUACAUCUGUUUUGGUAGAAUCUGUGAGUCACGAGGACUCAGCAAUCUCACACCCGCGAGAUCAAGACUAUUUAAGCUCAUAGGUAGGAAAAGGGGUAAUAUGGUGGAGCUGCAGCAAGCACUAAGCAUAUAUGGUGGCUAACAUACGCAAGUGAGAGCGAGAAGAGAAGCAACGCAUCGGUCGAGAAGCUAGAAGUGAUCAAGAAGUGAUCCUGAAACUACUUACGUCAGGCAUAACUCAAACCGUGUUCACUUCCCGGACUCCGCCGAGAAGAGACCAUCACGGCUACACACACAGUUGAUGUAUUUUAAUGAAGUCAAGUGUCAAGUUAUCUACAACCGGACAUUAACAAAUUCCCAUCUGCCUCAUAACCGCGGGCACAACUUUCGAAAGAUAAUAUACCCUACAGGGGUGUCCCAGCUUAGCCCAUCAUAAGCUCUCACGGUCAACGAAGGAUAAACCUUCUCCUGGGAAGACCCGAUCAGUCUCGGAAUCCCGGUUCGCAAAACAUUUCGACAAUGGUAAAACAAGACCAGCAAGACCACCCGCUGUGCCGUCAAAUCCCGAUAGGAGCUGCACAUAUCUCGUUCUCAGGGCACACCGGAUAAGCUAAGCGUGCAGGUACCGACGUAAUCCAAGUUGCCAAGGAAUGGUCCGGCACGGUGCUCUAGUUUGGACCAACACUCGGAGGAUCACUGGCCCGGGGGUUAAAUAAAGAUGACCCUUGGGCUCGUGAAAACCCAAGGGAAAAAGGCUUAGGUGGCAAAUGGUAAAACCAAGGUUGGGCCUUGCUGGAGGAGUUUUAUUCAAAGCGAACUGUCAAGGGGGUCCCAUAAAUCACCCAACCGUGUAAGGAACGCAAAAUCAAGGAACAUAACACCGGUAUGACGGAAAACUAGGGCGGCAAGAGUGGAACAAGACACCAGGCAUAAGGCCGAGCCUUCCACCCUUUACCAAGUAUAUAAGGUGCAUUAAUUAAACAAGAGAUAUUGUGAUAUCCCAACAUAUCCAUGUUCCAACAAGGAACGAACUUCAUCUUCACCUGCAACUAGCAACGCUAUAAGAGGGGCUGAGCAAAAGCGGUGACAUAGCCAAACAACAGUUUGCUAGGACAGGAUGGUUAGAGGUUUGACAUGGCAAUAGGGAGGCAUGAUAAACAAAGGCAGGUAGAGCUAACAUAGCGAUAGAGCGAGUACUAGCAAGCAAAGAUAGAAGUGAUAUCAAAGGUAUGGUCAUCUUGCCUGCAAGGUUCUCAGAGUUGUCGAAGGCUUGAUCCUCGUUAGCGUACUCAACAGGUUCCUCGUGCACGUACUCGUCUCCCGGCUCUACCCAAAGCAAGAACACAAGCAAAGGAACCACAAUAAAUCACGGUGCAAUGCACAAGCAACAUGAUGCAAUACAUGUCAUGAUGUGUGAGAUGUGAUAUGCAAUGAGUAUGCGUGCUUUGGGAGGAAAAAGGAUGAACAAGGCAUUAACUUGGCAAACCAAGUAUGCCGCUGGAAAGAUGAGAUGAUUUCGGUUGAAAUCGAUAUAAGGAUCACCAGAAACAGAUGCAUGGUUUGCAAAUGGCAAGACAAGAAUGACACAAAUCUGCGAUUAACAGCACGAUGCUACUUAGCAUGCAACAAGAAACUAGGCUACAACACCCCAACAUCAAAACAAAGCAUAUGGCAGUGAUCUACAGAAGAUGCUUAACAAAAGAGGAACACUGAGCUACGGCUAAAUCACAUCAUAACAGGUUCAAACAAGCAUGGUGAAAGUAAGAAAAAAAUAUCAGGUUGGUCAUGGCAUAAACAGCAUCACAAAUCAAUGUUCAGAGCAAGUUAUCAACAUGCUACAGGAACUUAUAAUAGCAAAACAAGGCAUGACAUGAAUCUACUCAAGGCAUAGAUCAAAAGUCCCUUACUGACCAUAAGCCAAAAAGGAUCAGAAAAUAUGAUGGCACCCAUCUAAACAUAGCAAGUUUCGUUAACAGAUUCAACAGAGUAUGGCAUUGACAGAAUUACGAAGGCAUCUUUGUGAGCUCGAUGCACUCACUACAGAGCAUUUCAUGAUAAACUAAGCAUACAUACAUCAAGAAGACAUGGCAUAGAAGCUAUACAUGGCAAGAACAACAUCAUAGCAUACACGGAUCAACUACAACAACCUUGGCAAAAUUGAAUAACAUGUAAACAAUCUGCCAGGAAACAUUUUGAAGCAAAAGUAGAGCACGAACAUGACAUGCUAGACUACUCCAUAAUUGCAACCAGGACCAUGGAUGGAUAGAGCAUAACCAUAUGUUCAAAACACCCUUACUGAAGUAACUCAAAAUAUGCAUGGAUCUCUCUGUAGCAUCAUGUUUACAUGGCAUCAAAAUAACAGCAGAACAGGGACUAAAAUCAGCAACAUCACGAGGCCUAGUUUGCAUGCUUGUGCUAGUCACCACACUGAUCACAAAAAUACAUGGCAUACACUCCUGUAAAAGUGGCAUGGCAUAGUUCAAAAUGUAUAUAGGGCUCAAGUUCAUAAGAUGCACACAUCAAUCAUGGAAAAAAUGACAAAAGUGCAUAUUCUGAUAAGAAUCUGAAACUAACAUCACAUAGCCCUCUUCCAACAGCAUUUCGGGCAUCAAGAUGAGCUCAAAUGAAAAUGAUGCAAUGAGAUGAAAUGAUGUACUCUUCGAGGCGAACAAUUCGGUAUGCUACACGCCCAAAACGGAGCCAUGGGUGCAAAGUUGUGGGGCGAUGAACAUGCAACAAAAAUACUGACAGAAAAGGACUUGGACGAAAUCGGGGGAGAAGAAAGUCAACCGAGGUCUUCUCAGAUCGGAUCUGGGCGCGUGGCUCGAGGACGUCGCCGGAGUCGACGACGGACGACGGCGGGGAAGGUCCGGGGCAGAGCGGCGGAGGCGGCCGGCGCCGGAGAGGAGGACGGGCGGCGGAGGCGGCCUCGGGCGCGGGCGGCGCGGCGAGCUCCGNNNNNNNNNNNNNNNNNNNNNNNNNNNNNNNNNNNNNNNNNNNNNNNNNNNNNNNNNNNNNNNNNNNNNNNNNNNNNNNNNNNNNNNNNNNNNNNNNNNNNNNNNNNNNNNNNNNNNNNNNNNNNNNNNNNNNNNNNNNNNNNNNNNNNNNNNNNNNNNNNNNNNNNNNNNNNNNNNNNNNNNNNNNNNNNNNNNNNNNNNNNNNNNNNNNNNNNNNNNNNNNNNNNNNNNNNNNNNNNNNNNNNNNNNNNNNNNNNNNNNNNNNNNNNNNNNNNNNNNNNNNNNNNNNNNNNNNNNNNNNNNNNNNNNNNNNNNNNNNNNNNNNNNNNNNNNNNNNNNNNNNNNNNNNNNNNNNNNNNNNNNNNNNNNNNNNNNNNNNNNNNNNNNNNNNNNNNNNNNNNNNNNNNNNNNNNNNNNNNNNNNNNNNNNNNNNNNNNNNNNNNNNNNNNNNNNNNNNNNNNNNNNNNNNNNNNNNNNNNNNNNNNNNNNNNNNNNNNNNNNNNNNNNNNNNNNNNNNNNCCGGCGGCGGCGGCGCGCGGGCUCGCGCGGGCCCGCUUCGGGCCCCUCGGGCCGCGAUGUUGGGAGACGCGGACGGGACAGGUGUCACGCUGCGGUUGGACGCGGGCGGCGGCGCGAUUCGUCCGGCGGCGGCCGGACGUGUCCGGUGGCGAUAGGGACGAUUUCGUCUAGGGUUUGCCCGUGAAUUUCGGGGAGAGGCUAUAUUUAUAGGUAGAGGGAGCUAGGAGUGUCCAAAUGAGGUGUAGUUUUCGCCCACACGAUCAUGAUCCAACGACGGAGAGCAUGGAAGUGACUUAGAUGGGUUAUUGGGCUGUUUUGGAGGGUUGUUGGGCUGCAACUCAAAAGAGGCCUUUACGGUUGUGCGGUUAACCGUUGGAGUACCAAACGAGCUCCAAAUGACCCGAAACUUGACAGGCGGUCUACCAGUGCUAUACCAGGGCCACUUGGCAAGGCUCGGUCCAUUCCGAGAACGUUUAACACCCGCACACGAAAAAGAGACAAGAGGGGUGCGCCGGUGCAUGUGGGAGUGUCGGAUUGUGAAACGAACAACGGGGAAAAUGCUCGGAUGCAUGAGACGAACACGUAUGCAAAUGAGAUGCACAUGAUGACAUGAUAUGAGAUGCAUGACAUGACUAAAAUGCAAAACGAAAGACAAAAACCCAACCACGGAGGGAAUAUCGUAGCACAUAGCCGAAAAUGGCAAGAGUUGGAGAUACAAAGGUGGAAAGUUACAUCCGGGGUGUUACAACACUCCACCACUACAAGAGGAUCUCGUCCCGAGAUCUAGGACUGAAAGAACUCCGGAUAUUCGGAACAGAGGUGAUCCUCGCGCUCCCAGGUGGCUUCUCAGUCGGAAUGGUGUGACCACUUCACUUUCAGGAAUUUGAUUGACUUGUUGCGAGUCUUGCGCUCGGUUUCUUCAAGAAUAGCAAUGGGGUGCUCAUGAUAAGAGAGAUUUGCUUGGAGGUCGAUCUCUUCGAAGUUGAUAGUGCGCUCAGGAGUCUUGAAGCACUUGCGAAGCUGUGACACGUGAAACACAUCGUGCACGUUCGCAAAGUUGGAUGGAAGCUCAAGUUGAUAGGCGAGGUCGCCUCUUUUGCCAAUGAUCUUGAAAGGAUCCACAUAUCUAGGAGCAAGCUUCCCUUUGAUACCGAAGCGACGAGUGCCUUUCAUUGGAGAGACGCGGAGGUAGACAUGGUCUCCGAUUUCAAAAUCCAAGUCACGGUGCUUGCUAUCAUAGUAACUCUUUUGGCGCGAUUGCGCGACUUUGAGAUUCUCACGAAUGACUUUGCACAUUUCUUCGGCUUUUGUGAUCAAGUCGUUGCCAAGAAGUUGGCGUUCACCUAUCUCGGACCAAUUGAGAGGAGUACGACACUUUCUGCCAUAGAGAAUUUCGAAUGGGGCCUUGCCCGAACUCGCUUGGAAGUUGUUGUUGUAGGAGAACUCGGCAUAUGGAAGACAAUCUUCCCACUUCAUACCGAAAGAGAUGACACAAGCCCUGAGCAUAUCUUUAAGGAUUUGAUUGACUCGCUCGACUUGGCCACUUGUUUGAGGAUGGAAAGCUGUGCUGAAACGAAUGUUGGAGCCCAUGGCCUUCUGAAAGGAGUCCCAGAACUUAGAAGUGAAGAUGCUUCCACGAUCUGAAGAUAUCAAUUGUGGAAUGCCGUGCAAGGAGACAAUUCUGGAGGUGUAUAGCUCUGCCAGCUGAGCUGCUGUGAUAGAUUCUUUGAUAGGAAGAAAAUGAGCCACUUUAGGAAGCUUGUCAAUGACAACGAAGUUAGCAUCAUUUCCACGCUUGGACUUAGGAAAACCAGUCACGAAGUCCAUCUCGAUAUGGUCAAACUUCCAUUUCGGAAUAGCAAGAGGUUGGAGGAGACCAGCUGGUCUUUGGUGUUCUGCUUUCACCCUUCUGCAGACAUCACAUUCAUUCAUGAAUUGAGCAAUCUCUCGCUUCAUUCGAGUCCACCAAUACGACUGCUUGAGGUCAUGGUACAUCUUUGUACUUCCAGGAUGAAUGGAUAGGAGGGAAUUGUGUGCCUCAUUCAUGAUGACUUUUCUCAGAUCACCUUUAGGAACCACAAUUCGAUCCUCGAAGAAAAGAGUAUCUUUGUCAUCCAAGCGAUAGCACUUGUAUUUGGGAAUGCCCUUGUCAAUACCACGUUUCACCUUCUUCACCAUGGUAUCCAGGAGUUGUGCCUCAUGAAUUUGGUCUUCCAAAGUAGGAGAGACUAUGAGGUUGGCAAGAAAGCCUUGAGGAACAACUUGAAGAUUCAGCUUGCGGACACAAAGAUCCGGUUGAAAUGGCUUGAGAAUUAGACUAUUGCAAUAAGCCUUUCUGCUCAGAGCAUCUGCAAUCACAUUCGCCUUGCCAGGAGUAUAUUCAAUACUCGGAUUGUACUCUUGAAUCAUUUCGACCCAUCGAGUUUGCCUGAGGUUGAGGUUGGGUUGAGUUAAGAUAUACUUGAGACUCUUGUGAUCGGUGAAAAUGUCCACUUGCCUUCACAAUAAGAGAUGUCUCCAUGUUAUCAAUGCAUGGACAACUGCCGCCAACUCAAGAUCGUGAGUGGGGUAGUUCUUUUCGUUGGGCUUCAACUGACGAGAGGUAUAGGCCACAACUUUUUUCUCUUGCAUCAACACAGCACCGAGACCUUGAAGGGAAGCAUCACAGAAUACUUCGAAUGGCUUGGAUUCAUCAGGAGGAGUCAAGACAGGAGCUGUGACUAGCUUCUCUUUGAGGGUGUUGAAAGCGACGUCACACUCAGGCGUCCAGACAUACUUGACAUCCUUCUGGAGGAGGUUGGAAAGAGGCUUUGCAAUCUUAGAGAAGUUCUCAACGAAUCUUCGGCAAUAGCUUGCAAGACCAAGAAAACUGCGGAGCUGCUUGACAUUCUGAGGAGGUUCCCAAUUCACAACUGCAGACACCUUCGCCGGAUUAACAGCAAUGCCCUUGGCAGAGAUGAUAUGACCAAGGUAAAGAACUUCAUCAAGCCAGAACUCACAUUUGGAAAACUUUUCAUAGAAUUGAUGCUCUCUGAGCUUGUCGAGCACCAAUCGCAAAUGUUUGGCAUGAUCCUGCUUAUUCUUGGAGAAGACCAAGAUAUCAUCGAGAUACACCAAAACGAAUUCAUUGGUGUAAGGGUUGAAGAUAAAGUUCAUCAUGCGAGAGAAUGUUGGAGGAGCAUUGACAAGGCCGAAAGACAUGACAGUAUAUUCAUAAGAACCACAGCUUGUUCUAAAUGCUGUCUUGGGUAUAUCUUGUUCACGAAUGCGAAUCUGAUGAUAACCCAUAUGAAGGUCAAGCUGGAGAAUACUUUAGCACCUUUGAGUUGCUCGAAAAGCUCAUUGAUGUUGGGAAGUGGAUACUUGUUCUUGAUUGUCUUCUUGUUCAAUGGACGGUAAUCGACGCAAAGUCGGUCCAUGCCAUCCUUCUUCUGUACAAAAAGAACUCCACAACCCCAUGGGGAUGAACUCGGUCUGAUCAAACCCAGACGCUCUUGUUCAUCGAGCUGCUUCUUCAAUUCCUUCAGCUCCUUCGGUCCAAGCUUGUAAGGACGCUUGCAAACGGGUUCAGUUCCAGGCUCAAGAUCGAUAACGAACUCGAUUGGCCGAUAAGGAGGCAUACCCGGAAGCUCUUCUGGAAAGACAUCUUGGUACUCACAAACGACUGGAAUUUGAGAGAUAGCAUCCAACUCGCCCUUCUCAUUGAGAGAAAACAACCGAAUGGUUUCAUCACGAGCGGCAUAGAUGAUAACAUCCUCAGAAGAGUGUGUCAAUUGAAUUUUCCUGGCAGCACAAUCAAGCUGAGCCUUGUGCUUAGAAAGCCAGUCCAUCCCGAGAAUUAGAUCAAUAUCAGAGUCGCCAAGAACAAAUGGUUUAGAAAGAAAUUUAUAAUCGCCCAUCUUGAUAGAAACAUCCGGAAUCAUUGUGGUAGCCCUCAUAGAAGAGCCCGGAGAAACAACUCCCAUGGGUUUUUCCAACAUUUCCGAAAUGAAAUCAUGCUUUGCAACAAAUGAUCUAGACAUGAAACAAUGCGAAGCACCGGUAUCAAAUAAAACUUUUGCAGGAAUAUCAUUGACUGGAAGAUUACCCAUUAUCACGUCAGAAGAAUCCUCUGCUUGCGCUGCAUUCAUCAUGUUCACCUUUACAGACUUUGGAUUAUGCUUGACCACAUCAUUGCUUGAAGAUCUCACAGGAGGAGGAGGAGGAAGGCGCCUUUGAUUGAAGCACUUGUUCGCGUAGUGACCUUUCUGCUGGCACUUGUUGCAAGUCACUUCUGAGAGCGGACGAUGAUACGGAGCAUUUGACCUUGGAGCUUGAGGCUGAGACUUGUUCUGAUAGCCUGGAUUGGGUGGGUGGGAAGAUCCACGACCACCUGAGUUCUUCUGUUGGUAAGGCUGACGAAACGGAGGAGGAGGAAGGUAGAACUUCUGCUGCUUAGCUGCCACUUGUGAGGAAGAAGAAGAUUGCACUACAUCCCUGAUUCUCUUCUUAGAAGCCUCACACUUGAGCUGAGCACCUUCUUGCUUGAGUGCCAUAUUGUAGAAUUGAUCAAACUGAGUAGGCUCAACAAGAACGAGAGCUAACUGCAGAUCCUCUCUAAGGCCACCUCUGAAUUGAUAGAUCAUACUCUUCUCAUCAGGAACAUCUUGCUUAGCGAAGCGAGCAAGUUUCUGAAACUGCUUGUUGUAUUCGUACACUGACAUGUUGCCUUGCUUGAGAUUGUGGAACUCCUCUCGCUUGCUCUCAACAACACUGGUAGGAAUAUGGUGAGCUUUAAAGUCCCGACCGAAAUCAGUCCAAGUAAUCACUCGACCUCCUCUGGAAUCCUUGUAUUGCUGGAACCAAUCAGCUGCUUGAUCCUUGAGCUGAAAAGAAGCGAACUUGACGUAGUCCUCAGGCCUGACAUUUCUGCAUUCAAAAUGCUUGUUGAUAUCCACGAGCCAAUCAUCGGCGUCUGUGGCCUCGGCACAGUAGCUGAAAGACUUCGGCUGAUUUGCAAGGAAUUGGUUGAGGGUAGGAAAUAGAGGCUGAUGAUUGAACUGCCCUUGACCUUGAUUCCCUUGGUUGCCUUGGCCUUGGUUGCGCUCUUGCAUGAGCUGGAUCAUCAUCUGGGCAUGGGCGUUUGAGGCUGCCAUCAAAGCUUGCCAUGCCUCUGGAGGCGGAGGUGGAGGUGGAGGGUUCGCCUGAUUCCCAUCAUUGCGAUCCGGAUUCUGACACGUUGGCGGAGCCAUCCUGAAGAGGGUGACAUCCGUUAGCAUCUUGAUAGACAGAUAGACAAGUUGAAUCAACGGAUAGAAAUUUCAACAUAUAGUCUUCACAAUAAACAUUCGAACAUAGAUGAACGAAUGAAUUCCAAAGCAAACAUCACACGUCCAUUAAGGUGAGAAGCCACUUGAUAAGAGAUUGAUGAAUAAAAUAAACAAGGUACAACUGGAACAAAUAAGUGGUAAGGAUUACCCAAUCACAAACCAAAUAUCUGCGGGAAGAAAUGCUAGAGCUACUUGAAUCCCACCUAUAAACUCCCAAAACUUUCUGGUUAUGCAAUCAGGUGUUGGGGAUACAGGGGAAGCAAUAUAUCUCACCCAAACUAACAAUCCCUACAUCCAGCUAUAUCCAUCCGUCAACACAUAACCAAGAAACCUUCGGAAAUCGUGUACCUCAACCUUCGAAAAGCAUCCGUUAUACGAGUUAUGGCAAUACCCCCGAACUCCCCAGUACUGGGUGACGUCGAGGUUAUCUCACCAACAACUGCAUAAAAGAUAUUUUCGAUGUCGGCAAAACUCAGGUAUUCCAGAACUGCAACGAUAAAAUUGUGACGACAACACCUCGGAGCUCAACUCCCCGGGACACUGCCACAACCCCUAAAUGUCAGGAGGCACCAAGAACAAUGUUCUCGUCACAAAACCAUCGGAACGAUUCCAAGAUACCCGCGUGAUCCUAAAUUUUUUUUAGUGAAAUUUGAGAAGAGGAAAGUCAAAACAUCUACGUCAGGAGACCUCACCAGAGCGACGAAGGGACUGAGGAGUAAAAAGAAUCCUACUCUCCGAUAUAUAUAAUCCUAAGACUCAAAACAUUUUUGUUCUAGACUCAACAACGCCAGUAAACAAUCAAGCAAGGGGCUCCUAAGUCGGGGAUGGCUCUGAUUACCAACUUGUAACACCCACGAUGCAGUUAUAUCUCCCACGUGUCGAAGCACGACUUAGAGGCAUAACCGCAUAGUGGUUUUGUCGCAAGAAGGGCCAUCUUCACACAAUCCCAUGUAAUGAACAAGAAUGGGAUAAAGAGAGUUGGCUUACAAUCGCCACUUCACACAAUACAUAAUUAAGAUCAUACAUCAUUCAAAUACACUCAUAGACCGGCUACGGUCAAAUUCAAAUGAAAAGAAGACAACCCCAAAUGCUAGAUCCCCGAUCAUCCCGACUGGGCACCUCUACUGAUCAUCUGGAAACAAUACAUAGUAACGACCAAGGGCCUCAUCAAACUCCCACUUCAGCUCAGUUGCGCCAUCUGCGCUGGUAUCCUCGACACCUACAUCUGUUUUGGUAGAAUCUGUGAGUCACGAGGACUCAGCAAUCUCACACCCGCGAGAUCAAGACUAUUUAAGCUCAUAGGUAGGAAAAGGGGUAAUAUGGUGGAGCUGCAGCAAGCACUAAGCAUAUAUGGUGGCUAACAUACGCAAGUGAGAGCGAGAAGAGAAGCAACGCGUCGGUCGAGAAGCUAGAAGUGAUCAAGAAGUGAUCCUGAAACUACUUACGUCAGGCAUAACUCAAACCGUGUUCACUUCCCGGACUCCGCCGAGAAGAGACCAUCACGGCUACACACACAGUUGAUGUAUUUUAAUGAAGUCAAGUGUCAAGUUAUCUACAACCGGACAUUAACAAAUUCCCAUCUGCCUCAUAACCGCGGGCACGACUUUCGAAAGAUAAUAUACCCUGCAGGGGUGUCCCAACUUAGCCCAUCAUAAGCUCUCACGGUCAACGAAGGAUAAACCUUCUCCUGGGAAGACCCGAUCAGUCUCGGAAUCCCGGUUCGCAAAACAUUUCGACAAUGGUAAAACAAGACCAGCAAGACCACCCGCUGUGCCGUCAAAUCCCGAUAGGAGCUGCACAUAUCUCGUUCUUAGGGCACACCGGAUAAGCUAAGCGUAUAGGUACCGACAUAAUCCAAGUUGCCAAGGAAUGGUCCGGCACGGUGCUCUAGUUUGGACCAACACUCGGAGGAUCACUGGCCCGGGGGGUUAAAUAAAGAUGACCCUUGGGCUUGCGAAAACCCAAGGGAAAAAAGGCUUAGGUGGCAAAUGGUAAAACCAAGGUUGGGCCUUGCUGGAGGAGUUUUAUUCAAAGCGAACUGUCAAGGGGGUCCCAUAAAUCACCCAACCGUGUAAGGAACGCAAAAUCAAGGAACAUAACACCGGUAUGACGAAAAACUAGGGCGGCAAGAGUGGAACAAGACACCAGGCAUAAGGCCGAGCCUUCCACCCUUUACCAAGUAUAUAAGGUGCAUUAAUUAAACAAGAGAUAUUGUGAUAUCCCAACACAUCCAUGUUCCAACAAGGAACGAACUUCAUCUUCACCUGCAACUAGCAACACUAUAAGAGGGGCUGAGCAAAAGCGGUGACAUAGCCAAACAACGGUUUGCUAGGACAGGAUGGUUAGAGGUUUGACAUGGCAAUAGGGAGGCAUGAUAAACAAAGGCAGGUAGAGCUAACAUAGCGAUAGAGCGAGUACUAGCAAGCAAAGAUAGAAGUGAUAUCAAAGGUAUGGUCAUCUUGCCUGCAAGGUUCUUAGAGUUGUCGAAGGCUUGAUCCUCGUUAGCGUACUCAACAGGUUCCUCGUGCACGUACUCGUCUCCCGGCUCUACCCAAAGCAAGAACACAAGCAAAGGAACCACAAUAAAUCACGGUGCAAUGCACAAGCAACAUGAUGCAAUACAUGUCAUGAUGUGCGAGAUGUGAUAUGCAAUGCGUAUGCGUGCUUUGGGAGGAAAAAGGAUGAACACGGCAUUAACUUGGCAAACCAAGUAUGCCGCUGGAAAGAUGAGAUGAUUUCGGUUGAAAUCGAUAUAAGGAUCACCGAAAACGGAUGCGCGGUUUGCAAAUGGCAAGACAAGAAUGACACAAAUCUGCGAUUAACAGCACGAUGCUACUUAGCAUGCAACAAGAAACUAGGCUACAACACCCCAACAUAAAAACAAAGCAUAUGGCAGUGAUCUACAGAAGAUGCUUAACAAAAGAGGAACACUGAGCUACAACUAAAUCACAUCAUAACAGGUUCAAACAAGCAUGGUGAAAGUACAAAAAAAUAUCAAGUUGGUCAUGGCAUAAACAGCAUCACGAAGCAAUGUUCAGAGCAAGUUAUCAACAUGCUACAGGAACUUAUAAUAGCAAAACAAGGCAUGGCAUGAAUCUACUCAAGGCAUAGAUCAAAAGUCCCUUACUGACCAUAAGCCAAAAAGGAUCAUAAAAUAUGAUGGCACCCAUGUAAACAUAGCAAGUUUCGUUAACAGAUUCAGCAAACAGAGUAUGGCAUUGACAAAAUUACGAAGUCAUCUUUGUGAGCUCGAUGCACUCACUACAGAGCAUUUCAUGAUAAACUAAGCAUACAUACAUCAAGAAGACAUGGCAUAGAAGCUAUACAUGGCAAGAACAACAUCAUAGCAUACACGGAUCAACUACAACAACCUUGGCAAAAUUGAAUAACAUGUAAACAAUCUGCCAGGAAACAUUUUGAAGCAAAAGUAGAGCACGAACAUGACAUGCUAGACUACUCCAUAAUUGCAACCAGGACCAUGGAUGUAUAGAGCAUAACCAUAUGUUCAAAACACCCUUACUGAAGUAACUCAAAAUAUGCAUGGAUCUCUCUGUAGCAUCAUGUUUACAUGGCAUCAAAAUAACAGCAGAACAGGGACUAAAAUCAGCAACAUCACGAGGCCUAGUUUGCAUGCUUGUGCUAGUCACCACACUGAUCACAAAAAUACAUGGCAUACACCCCUGUAAAAGUGGCAUGGCAUAGUUCAAAAUGUAUGUAGGGCUCAAGUUCAUAAGAUGCACACAUCAAUCAUGGCAAAAAUGACAAAAGUGCAUGUUCUGAUAAGAAUCUGAAACUAACAUCACAUAGCCCUCUUCCAACAGCAUUUCGGGCAUCAAGAUGAGCUCAAAUGAAAAUGAUUCAAUGAGAUGAAAUGAUGUACUCUUCGAGGCGAACAAUUCGGUAUGCUACACGCCCAAAACGGAGCCACGGGUGCAAAGUUGUGGGGCGAUGAACAUGCAAAAAAAUACUGACAGAAAAGGACAUACGAAAUCGGGGGAGAAGAAAGUCAACCGAGGUCUUCUCAAAUCGGAUCUGGGCGCGCGGCUCGAGGACGUCGCCGAAGUCGACGACGGACGACGGCGGGGAAGGUCCGGGGCAGGGCGGCGGAGGCGGCCGGCGCCGGAGAGGAGGCCGGGCAGCGGAGGCAGCCUCGGGCGCGGGUGGCGUGGCGAGNNNNNNNNNNNNNNNNNNNNNNNNNNNNNNNNNNNNNNNNNNNNNNNNNNNNNNNNNNNNNNNNNNNNNNNNNNNNNNNNNNNNNNNNNNNNNNNNNNNNNNNNNNNNNNNNNNNNNNNNNNNNNNNNNNNNNNNNNNNNNNNNNNNNNNNNNNNNNNNNNNNNNNNNNNNNNNNNNNNNNNNNNNNNNNNNNNNNNNNNNNNNNNNNNNNNNNNNNNNNNNNNNNNNNNNNNNNNNNNNNNNNNNNNNNNNNNNNNNNNNNNNNNNNNNNNNNNNNNNNNNNNNNNNNNNNNNNNNNNNNNNNNNNNNNNNNNNNNNNNNNNNGCGGAGAGUGCGGGCGCACGGGGCAGCGGGCAGACGGGCCGGCGGCGCGCGGGCUCGCGCGGGCCCGCUUCAGGCCCCACGGGCCGCGACGGUGGGAGACGCGGACGGGACAGUUGUCGCCCUGCGGGUGGACGCGGGCGGCGGUGCGAUUCGUCCGACGACGACCGGACGUGUCUGGUGGCGACAGGGACAAUUUCGUCUAGGGUUUGCCCGUGAAUUUCGGGGAGAGGCUAUAUUUAUAGGUAGAGGGAGCUAGGAGUGUCCAAAUGAGGUGUAGUUUUCGCCCACACGAUCGUGAUCCAACGACGGAGAGCAUGGAAGUGACUUAGAUGGGUUAUUGGGCUGUUUUGGAGGGUUGUUGGGCUGCAACUCAAAACAGGCCUUUGCGGUUGUGCGGUUAACUGUUGGAGUACCAAACGAGCUCCAAAUGACCCGAAACUUGACAGGCGGUCUACCAGUGCUAUACCAGGGCCACUUGGCAAGGCUCGGUCCAUUCCGAGAACGUUUAACACCCGCACACGAAAAAGAGACAAGAGGGGUGCGCCGGUGCAUGUGGGAGUGUCGGAUUGCGAAACGGACAACGGGGAAAAUGCUCGGAUGCAUGAGACGAACUCGUAUGCAAAUGAGAUGCACAUGAUGACAUGAUAUGAGAUGCAUGACAUGACUAAAAUGCAAAACAAACGACAAAAACCCAACCACGGAGGGAAUAUCAUAGCACAUAGCCGAAAAUGGCAAGAGUUGGAGAUACAAAGGUGGAAAGUUACAUCCGGGGUGUUACAAUACCGUCGAUGUCUUUGGAGUCAAGGUCGAGCAUGUCGGUUAGAUCGUCGACAGUGGCUAUAAAGUGGGUGGUGGGUGGGUUUCGAAUUUCUUCGUCGUCCAUAUCCCAACCCUGCUGACAUAAUCCGGCCAGGGCUCUUUUGACAGAGAAAGAGAUUUUAGGGAGUUCAGGAUAUUGCCAAAGGGCGAGUGCUGAAAGAUGUCCGCGGCGGUGAACUCCAUGAUCGGAGCCCAAUCGGGUUCAAUCGGAAGGGGUGCGGAAGAUUCGGAGUCCGGAACAGAGUCCGGCACCUUGGAGUCACGGGCCUUGCAAAGGACUAGGCUGGUAUUCGACUCUAUCGCCGUAGAGAUUGCGGCUCCUGGGGUGGCGUCCAACCAUCUGUCCCUGGUUAGUGCAGUCGGCUACGAACUAAUGGUCGGAGCGGACUCCUGAGCGGCACUCCGGGCGCUGUCCGGCGGCAGAGCUAGAUCGUGCCCAUCAAGACAGUGCGGCGCGCUUGGCCGUGGCUCGAAUCCGUCGGAGAUCAAGUCCCCGCGAAUGUCGGCCGUGUAGUUUAAGCUUCGAAAUCUGACCUGAUGGCCAGGGGCGUAGCUUUCGAUCUGCUCCAGAUAGCCAAACGAGUUGGCCCGCAGUGCAAAGCCGCCGAAUACGAAGAUCUAUCCGGGGAGAAAAGUCUCACCCUGGACCAUGUCGUGGUGAUGAUCGAAGAAGCCAUCGGGCCUAAAGGCGACGACACAGAGGAACUCUCAAUGAAAGCACCAAUGUCGGUGUCAAAACCGGCGGAUCUCGGGUAGGGGGUCCCGAACUGUGCGUCUAGGCGGAUGGUAACAGGAGACAAGGGACACGAUGUUUUUACCCAGGUUCGGGCCCUCUCGGUGGAGGUAAAACCCUACUCCUGCUUGAUUAAUAUUGAUGGUAUGGGUAUUACAAGAGUUGAUCUACCGCGAGAUCAGAGAGGCUAAACCCUAGAAGCUAGCCUAUGGUAUGAUUGUUGUUCGUCCUACGGACUAAAACUCUCCGGUUUAUAUAGACACCGGAGAGGGCUAGGGUUACACAGAGUCGGUUACAAUGGAAGGAGAUCUUCAUAUCGUAUCGCCAAGCUUGCCUUCCACGCCAAGGAAAGUCCUUAUCCGGACACGGGACGAAGUCUUCAAUCUUGUAUCUUCAUAGUCCGGGAGUCCGGCCAAAGGUCAUAGUCCGGCCAUCCGGACACCCCCUAAUCCAGGACUCCCUCAUCCACCGACCUACUUCUUCCUCCUAUAUAUACCCACGUACCCCAAGAACAUCAGAGGCGACCGUGAAAAACUAUUUCCACCAUCGUAACCUUAUGUAUCCACGAGAUCCCAUCUUGGAGCCUUCGCCGGCGCUCCGCCGGAGGGGGAAUCAACCAUGAAGGGAUUCUACAUCAACACCAUAGCCUCUCCGAUGAGUUGUGAGUAGUUUACCAUAGACCUUCGGGUCCAUAGUUAUUAGCUAGAUGGCUUCUUCUCUCUCUUUGAAUCUCAAUACCAAGUUCUCCUCGAUCUUCUUGGAGAUCUAUUCGAUGUAACUCUUUUUGCGGUGUGUUUGUCGAGAUCUGAUGAAUUAUGGGUUUAUGAUCAAGUUUAACUAUGAGAAAUAUUUGAAUCUCCUCUGAAUUCUUUUAUGUGUGAUUAAGUUAUCUUUGCAAGUCUCUUUGAAUUAUCAGUUUGAUUUGGCCUACUAGAUUGAUCUUUCUUGCAAUGGAAGAAGUGCUUAGCUUUGGGUUCAAUCUUGCGGUGUCCUUUCCCAGUGACAGCAGGGGCAACAAGGCACGUAUUGUAUUGUUGCCAUCGAGGAUAAAAAGAUGGGGUUUAUAUCAUAUUGCAUGAGUUUAUCCCUCUACAUCAUGUCAUCUUUCUUAAUGCGUUACUCUGUUCUUUAUUAACUUAAUACUCUAAAUGCAUGCUGGAUAGCGGUUGAUGAGUAAUGGUAGUAGAUGCAGGCAGGAGUCGGUCUACUUGUCACAGACGUGAUGCCUAUAUACAUGAUCAUGCCUAGAUAAUCUCAUAAUUAUUCGCUUUUCUAUCAAUUGCUCGACAGUAAUUUGUUCACCCACUGUAAUACUUAUGCUAUCUUGAGAGAAGCUACUAGUGAAACCUAUGGCCCCCGGGUCUAUCUUUUAUCAUAUAAGUUUUCAAUCUACUUUUAUUUGCAUCUUUACUUUUCCAAUCUAUAUUAUAAAAUACCAAAAAUAUAUUUAUCUUAUCAUAUUAUCUCUAUCAAAUAUCACUUUCGCAAGUGGCCGUGAAGGGAUUGACAACCCCUUUAUUACGUUGGUUGCGAGUUCUUGUUUGUUUGUGUAGGUGCGUGGGACUUUUGAGGAGCCUCCUACUGGAUUGAUACCUUGGUUCUCAAAAACUGAGGUAAAUACUUAUGCUAUUAUUGCUGCAUCACCCUUUCCUCUUCAAGGAAAACCAACGCAAGCUCAAGACGUAGCAAGAAGGAUUUCUGGCGCCAUUGUCGGGGAGGUCUUCGCUCAAGUCAAUACAUACCAAGUACCCAUCACAAACUCAUCUCCCUCACACUUACAUUAUUUGCCAUUUGCCUCUCGUUUUCCUCUCCCCCACUUCACCCUUGCCGUCUUAUUCGCCCUCUCUUUCCCAAUCUCCUCUCUCUUUCGUUUGCCUUUCUGUUUGCUUGUGUGUUGGAUUACUUGUCGCGAUGGCGCAAGAUAAUACCAAAUUAUGUGAUUUCUCCAAUACCAAUAAUAAUGAUUUCCUUAGCACUCCGAUUGCUCCUCUUAAUGAUGUUGAGUCUUGUGAAAUCAAUGCUGCUUUGCUGAAUCUUGUUAUGAAAGAUCAAUUCUCCGGCCUUCCUAGUGAAGAUGCCGCUACCCAUCUAAACAACUUUGUUGAUUUGUGUGAGAUGCAAAGGAAAAAAGAUACGGAUAAUGAUAUUGUUAAAUUGAAGUUAUUUCCGUUUUCACUUAGAGAUCAUGCUAAAGUUUGGUUUUCGGCUUUGCCUAAGAAUAGUAUUGAUUCAUGGAAUAAGUACAAAGAUGCUUUUAUCUCUAAGUAUUUUCCUCCCUCUAAGAUCAUCUCUCUUGGGAACAAUAUUAUGAAUUUUAAACAACUUGAUCAUGAGCAUGUUGCCCAAUCUUGGGAAAGAAUGAAAUUGAUGAUUCACAAUUGCCCUACUCAUGGUUUGAAUUUAUGGAUGAUCAUACAAAAUUUUUAUGCCGGAUUGAGUUUUGCUUCUAGAAAUCUUUAGGUUUGGCCGCGGGAGGCAUGUUUAUGGAAAUCACCUUAGGAGAAGCUACAAAACUCCUUGAUAAUAUUAUGGCUAAUUAUUCUCAAUGGCACACCGAAAGAUCUUCUAGUAAAAAAGUGCAUGCUAUAAAAGAAAUUAAUGUUUUGAGUGGAAAGAUGGAUGAACUUAUGAAAUUGUUUGCUACUAAGAGUGCUCCUAUUGAUCCCAAUGAUAUGCCUUUUGUCUACUUUGAUUAAGAAUAAUAAUGAAUCUAUGGAUGUGAAUUUUGUUGGUAGGAAUAAUUUUGGUAACGAUGCUUAUAGAGGAAACUUUAAUCCUAGACCGUUCCCUAGUAAUUCCUCUAAUAGUUAUGGAAAUUCCUACAAUAAUUCUUAUGGUAAUUUUAAUAAGAUGCCCUCUUAUUUUGAGAAUAGUGUUAAAGAAUUUAUGAUCUCUCAAAAGAAUUUUAAUGCAUUGCUUGAAGAAAAAUUGCUCAAAAUUGAUGAUUUGGCUAGGAACAUUGAUAGACUCUCGCUUGAUGUUGAUUCUUUGAAACUUAGAUCUACUCCUCCUAAGCAUGAUAUCAAUGAGUCUCUCAAAUCUAUGAGAAUUUCCAUUGAUGAGUGCAAAGAAAGAACCGCUAGAUUGCGUGCUAAGAAAGAUUGCUUUAUAAAGGCGUGUUCUUCUAGUUUCCAUGAAAAUAAUGAUGAAGAUCUUAAAGUUAAUGAUGUUUCCCCUAUUAGAUCUUUGUUUUGCAAUAUGAAUCUUAAUAAUGAUGGGACUGGAGAUGAGUCAACUUUAGUUAAAAGGCGUCCCAAUGAUUCUAAGUUUUUAGAUCUUGAUGCUAAAUUUGGUAAAAGUGGGAUUAGAGAGGUCAAGACUUUAAAUAGUAUUGAACCCACUAUCUUGGAUUUCAAGGAAUUUAAUUAUGAUAAUUGUUCUUUAGAAGAUUGUAUUUCCUUGUUGCAAUCCGUUGUUAAUUCUCCUCAUGCUUAUAGUCAAAAUAAAGCUUUUACCAAACAUAUUGUUGAUGCCUUGAUGCAAUCUUUUGAUGAAAAACUUAAUUUGGAAGUUUCUAUACCUAGAAAACUUUAUGAUGAGUGUGAACCUACUAUAAAGAUUAAAAUUAAAGAUCAUGAGUGUUAUGCUUUAUGUGAUUUGGGUGCUAGUGUUUCCAUGAUUCUGAAAACUUUAUGUGAUAUUCUAGGUUUCCAUGAUCUCGAUGAUUGCUCUUUAAAUUUGCACCUUGCGGAUUCCACCAUUAAAAAGCCAAUGGGAAGGACCAAUGAUGUUCUCAUUGUUGCAAAUAGGAAUUUGGUGCCCGUAGAUUUUAUCGUUCUUGAUAUAGACUGCUGAUAUGUCCAUUUUACAUCAUGCUUUUAUAUCAAUAUUUAUUGCAUUAUGGGCUGUUAUUACACAUUAUAUCUUAAUACUUAUGGCUAUUCUCUCUUAUUUUACAAGGUUUACCAUGAAGAGGGGGAAUGCGGGCAGCUGGAAUUCUGGCUGGAAAAGGAGCAAACGUUGGAAACCUAUUCUGCACAACUCCAAAAGACCCGAGACUCCACGAAACAACCUUUUGGAAUUAAUAAGAAUUUAUGGGCCAAAGAAAUAGGCUAGGGGGACCACACCCUGUCCAGGAGACAGGGGGCACGCCCCCCCUAGGGCGCGGCCCCCUAUCUCCUGGGCCCCCUGGUGGGCUUCCGGCGUCCAUCUUCUGCUAUAUGAAGGGUUUUGUCUUGGAAAAAAUCGGGGGCAAGCUUAUGGGACGAAACUCCACCGCCACGAGGCGGAACCUUGGCGGAAUCAAUCUAGGGCUCUGGCGGAGCUGUUCUGUCGGGACACAUCCCUCCGGGAGGGGGAAAUCAUCACCAAUGUCAUCACCAACGAUCCUCUCAUCGGGAGGGGGUCAAUUUCCAUCAACAUAUUCACCAGCACCAUCUCCUCUCAAAACCCUAGUUCAUCUCUUGUAUCCAAUCUUGUAUCAAAACCACAAAUUGGUACCUGUGGGUUGCUAGUAGUGUUGAUUACUCCUUGUAGUUGAUGCUAUUUGGUUUACUUGGUGGAAGAUCAUAUGUUCAGAUCCUUUAUGCAUAUUAUUACUCCUCUGAUUAUGAACAUGAAUAUGCUUUGUGAGUAGUUACGUUUGUUCCUGAGGACAUGGGUGAAGUCUUGCUAUUAGUAGUCAUGUGAAUUUGGUAUUCGUUCGAUAUUUUGAUGAGAUGUAUGUUGUCUUUCCUCUAGUGGUGUUAUGUGAACGUCGACUACAUGACACUUCACCAUUAUUUGGGCCUAGACGAAGGCAUAGGGAAGUAAUAAGUAGAUGAUGGGUUGCUAGAGUGACAGAAGCUUAAACCCUAGUUUAUGCGUUGCUUCGUUAGGGGUUCAUAUGGACCCAUAUGUUUAAUGUUGUGCUUAGGUUUACCUUAAUACUCCUUUUUGUAGUUGCGGGUGCUUGCAAUAGGGGUUAAUCAUAAGUGGGAUGCUUGUCCAUGUUAGGACAGUACCCAAGUUCCGGUCCACCCACAUAUCAAAUUAUCAAAGUACCGAACACGAAUCUUAUGAACGUGAUGAAAACUAGCUUGAUGAUAAUUCCCAAUGUGUCCUCGGGAGCUCCUUCUUCAUUAUUAGAAUUUGUCCAGGCUUAUCCUUUGCUACAUAAAGGAUUGGGCCGCCUCGUUGCACUUUAUUUACUUUAUUUACUUUUUGCUUGUUACUAUUUAUCUGAUCACAAAACUAUCUAUCACCUACUAUUUCAGUGCUUGCAGAGAAAACCUUACUGAAAACCGCUUAUCAUUUCCUUCUGCUCCUCGUUGGGUUCGACACUCUUACUUAUUGAAAGGACUACGAUAUAUCCCCUAUACUUGUGGGUCAUCAAGACUCUUUUCUAGCGCCGUUGCCGGGGAGCGUAGCGCUCUUGGUGAGUGGAACUUGGUAAGGAAACAUUUAUAUAGUGUGCUGAAAUUUUCGGUUACUUGUCACUAUGUGUAAGUGCAUCUAGUGCCACCCCUAGUUUGGUUUUGGAGUAUUGACGACAAACGUGGUUGAGGGACUAAUGUGUUUGUGAGAAUUGCAGGAUAACACAGGUAGUAGUCCCUCCUUGAUUCGGUUUACCUACCGGAGAUGACCCCUAAAAAUGUAUGAAGACACUGAAGAUAAUGGUGGUACGUGAAGAUAUUCACAUUGAAGACUAUGACAGAAGAAGACAUUAAGUGAAGAUUAUGGAGCGCGAAGACUUAGUAGUUUCGUUGUUUCUUUUCUUCUUUGUUGAGUCAUAGGAACCACCGCACUGUUAUGUGGGGUCCAAGUGAACAAAGUCAGAGUGACUGAAGUGAUGCUCAACCAAAAUCCUAUGUCUUCGAGCGAAGACAAUGAGAGAAAAUCUUAUCCAGAGUUGGAUAAGUCAGCUUUACUUGUAGCCCAAGUCAAGCUGUCGCGUGUGUUUGAAAUCUGACCGUUGACACGUGUCAGUUCCUUAGUGACCCAGGGUCAUUUUGGACAAAUCAGGUCGGGUUGCCCGGUGGCUAUAAAUAGCUCACCCCCUACACCAUAAAUUGGUGGCUGCUUAGAGUUAGUGCAUGCCUUUUGUCAUUGAGAGCAACCCACCUCCGAAGAGUUUGAGAGAGAAAUCCUUGUGAGGACAAAGCCCAAAACACCUAGAGCCCAAAGAGUGUUUGGCAUCACUGAAGUCUUUCUGUCUGCGUGACCUGAAGACUUGUUACACUUGAGGACUGUGAAUCCUCCAGUCGGUUAGGCAUCGCGUUCUGAGCAUCCAAGAGUAGCUGUGGAUUGCCGGUGAACGAAGUCUGUGAAGGUUUGGAAGUCUACCUUGAAGACUUACCAGAGUGAUUGGGCGAGGACUGUGUGUCCUUAGCUCAAGGGGAAUAAGGUGAAGACACGGUCUUCUGAGUUCAAUCUCAGCCUCCCUAACCAAACGUACAGUUGGCACAGCAACUGGAACUGGUUGAACAAAUCCUUGUCUUCACAACGCACUGGUUCUAUCUCUUACUCUCCUUACUUACAGUUCGUCUUUGUGAAGUCAUUGCCUGAUUGCUAUGCCUGUUUGACUUCACUGAGUGACUACUUGUUCUGAUUGGCUUCAUACUAUCUUCCAUCCUGAUCCUACUACCUAGCUGUUAUUAUUUAUCAUGCUUUAGCUUCAUACUUGUCUGACUAUGGCUUGUCUAGUGUAGUUCAUCUUCCACUGCAUGUUUAUAGGUCCAAUUUUCGUGUUUUUCUUUGAAACUUCCAUGUUUUGAAGACUUUCAUAAAAAUUGCCUAUUCACCCCCUCUAUUCGAUAACUAGCACUUUCAAUUGGUAUCAGAGCAAGGUACUCCCUUGUUCUGUGUGAUUCGGUUUAACCACCUGGAGUUUCAGCUAUGUCGACUGCAGGGAUAAUCAAAGUCUCCGCUGCGUGCCCUUUCUUCAAUGGCACUGAAUAUCCCUACUGGAAGAAUAAGAUGCGAAUGCAUCUUGAAGCCAUUGAUGUCGAUCUAUGGUAUGUCGUCAAGAACGGCGUUCGCAAGACUGGUGAAGGUGUCUCCCCUACUGAUGUUAAGAAGUUCAUCCAACUCGAUUCUACUGCGAAGAACAUCAUCUAUGGUCAUCUGACCAAAGGGCAGUAUGGCCGUGUGAGUGCUUUGGAAACUUCGAAGCUAGUCUGGGACUGGCUCUCCAAGGUCAAUGAAGGUGUUUCAACUCAGAGAGAUCAAAGAAUCAGUGUCCUAUGCAACCUCUACAACCGCUUCAAGAGAAAUGACAAUGAAAAUGUCCAGCUUACGUUUGAUCGUCUCACUGACAUCACAAACGAGCUUCAGGCUCUCGGCGCCACUAAGAUCACCAAGCACGAAAUCGUCAAGACACUUCUGAGAUCUCUUGACAACUCAUUUGACACUCUAGAUCUUAUGAUUCAAGAACGCCCUGACUUCAAGACACUCGAUCCAUCUGACAUAUUUGAGAGGCUCAACACACAUGAGUUCCAACUAUCUGAGAAACGAGAUAUCUAUGGUCCCAACUAUGCCCGAACUCGCGCUUUGAAGGCAAAGGCUGUUUCCUCAUCUGAAGAAGAAUCUGACUGCAGUUCUGGUGAAGCUGAAGACCUUGGAAAGGAGCUUGCUAUGCUUGUGAAGAAGUUCCAGAAGUUCACUAAGAAGAAAGUCUUCAGAAAGUAUUCACGAUCCAGCUCAAGAAAUGAUGAAGCUUCUUCCCAAGACCACAAGAAGAGAACCUGUCACAAGUGCAAGAAACCUGGCCACUACAUCUCUGAGUGUCCACAGUGGGACAAUGAGAAGAAAAAUAAGAAGAGCAAGGAAUAUGAUUCUGAUGACAACAAGAAGAAGAAAUACGCAAAAUCUUCUUCCAAGUCCUCUUCCAAGUCUUCAUCACACAAGAAAAGUUCGUAUGGCAAGGCUCGUGCUUUUGUUGGCAAGGAAAUGGAUUCAGAGGAGGAGUUUGCUUCUGAGUAGGCAGAAGUGGUGGAGUCUGAGGAGGAGUCUGACUCUGGCGUUGCAAGUCUGGCUUUAGCGCCAGCCUACGUUGCCAAGUCCAUCUUCAACACUGAAGACAAUGCAUCCAUCACCAAUGUUGAUGACAGUGACAAGGACGACUCCGCUCCCACUUACUGCUUCAUGGCACGUGGUGCCAAGGUAAACUCACGCGAUGCUUACUUUCAAACAUCAAGUGAAGAUGACUGAGGGAGUCCUGGAUUAGGGGGUGUUCGGAUGGCCGGACUAUGACCUUUGGCCGGACUCCCGGACUAUGAAGAUACAAGAUUGAAGACUUCGUCCCGUGUCCGGAUAAGGACUUUCCUUGGCGUGGAAGACAAGCUUGGCGAUACGAUAUGAAGAUAUCCUCCCAUUGUAACCGACUCUAUGUAACCCUAGCCCUCUCCGGUGUCUAUAUAAACCGGAGAGUUUUAGUCCGUAGGACGAACAACGAUCAUACCAUAGGCUAGCUUCUAGGGUUUAGCCUCUCUGAUCUCGCGGUAGAUCAACUCUUGUAAUACCCAUACCAUCAAUAUUAAUCAAGCAGGAGUAGGGUUUUACCUCCACCGAGAGGGCCCGAACCUGGGUAAAAACAUCGUGUCCCUUGUCUCCUGUUACCAUCCGCCUAGACGCACAGUUCGGGACCCCCUACCCGAUAUCUGCCGGUUUUGACACCGACAUUGGUGCUUUCAUUGAGAGUUCCUCUGUGUCGUCGCCUUUAGGCCCGAUGGCUUCUUCGAUCAUCAACCACGACGCGCUCCAGGGCGAGACUUUUCUCCCCGGACAGAUCUUCGUAUUCGGCGGCUUUGCACUACGGGCCAACUCGUUUGUCCAUUUGGAGCAGAUCGAAAGCUACGCCCCUGGCCAUCAGGUCAGAUUUGGAAGCCUAAACUACACGGCCGACAUUCGCGGGGACUUGAUCUUCGACGGAUUCGAGCCACGGCCGAGCGCGCCGCACUGUCUCGAUGGGCACGAUCCAGCUCUGCAGCCGGACAACGCCUGGAGUGCCGCUCAGGAGUCCGCUCCAACCAUUAGUUCGGAGCCGACUGCGCUAACCAGGGAUGGACGGUUGGACGUCGUCCCAGGAGCCGCAAUCUCUACGGCGAUAGAGCCGAAUGCCAGCCUAGUCCUUUGCAAGGCCCGUGACUCCAAGGUGACAGACUCCGUUCCGGACUCUGAAUCUUCCGCACCCUUUCCGAUCGAACCCGAUUGGGCUCCGAUCAUGGAGUUCACCGCCGCGGACGUCUUUCAGCACUCGCCCUUCGGCGAUAUCCUGAACUCCCUAAAGUCUCUCUCUUUGUCAGGAGAGCCCUGGCCGGACUAUGGUCAGCAGGGUUGGGAUACGGAGGACGAAGAAAUUCGAAACCCUCCCACCACCCACUUUGUAGCCACUGUCGACGAUUUAACCGACAUGCUCAACUUUGACUCCGAAGACAUCGAGGUAUGGACGCCGAUGAAGGAGACGACCAAGAACCAGCACCUAUAGGGAACUGGAAAGCCACUUCGUCAUAUGACAUAUACAUGGUGGACACCCCCAAAGUAGGGGAUGGCGAGGAACAAACGGAGGAUGACCCCUCCAAGAAGCAACCCAAGCGCCAAUGUCAGCGGCGCCGCUUUAAAUCCCGCCAAAGCAAGAACGGUGAAUCCGGCACCGGUGAUAACAACACGCCGGACAGUGCCGAAGAUAACCCCCUCCAGCAGGAUUCAGUGCAGGAGGACGAAGGAGCCAGCCCUCAUGAGAGAGCGGCCGAAAGAGAGGUUGAGGACGACAACUAUAUGCCUCCCUCCGAAGACGAGGCAAGCCUCGAUGAUGACGAAUUCGUCGUGCCAGAGGAUCCCGUCGAACAAGAGCGUUUCAAAUGCAGGCUUAUGGCCACGACAUGCAGCCUCAAGAAAAAACAGCAGCAGCUUAGAGCUGACCAAGACUUGCUAGCCGACAGAUGGACCGAAGUCCUGGCGGCCGAAGAUUAUAAACUCGAGCGCCCCUCCAAGAGCUACCCAAAGCGCAGGCUGCUACCCCAACUUGAGGAGGAAGCAACUAGACCUACAUUUCCAGCAUACGAUGCGCCCGAUCGGCCACCCCGUGGCCGUGACAGAGAGACCUUUGGGCCCUCGACCCAAGCCACAUACCGGCACCGCUCAAAACAUAACAGAGUACGGGGAGACGCAACAGACCUGCGAGAGAUACUGGAGGACAAGGCAAGGCAAUCAAGAUCGAUCUACGGAUCGCGUGGGCGCCCCACAUCACGUGAUGAUAACCGCCACACUGCAUAUGAUAAAUACGACCAGGCCGAAUACAACAGACCAAGCUCAUCCGAGUUGUGCCGUGAUAUAGCCUAGUACAGGGGCACCGCACACCCACUAUGCUUCACAGACAAAGUAAUGGAUCAUCAAAUCCCCGAGGGUUUCAAGCCCGUAAACAUUGAAUCAUAUGACAGCACAACUGAUCCCGCGGUAUGGAUCGAGGAUUACCUCCUUCAUAUCCACAUGGCCCGUGGUGAUGAUCUACACGCCAUCAAAUACCUCCCGCUCAAGCUUAAAGGACCAGCUCGACAUUGGCUUAACAGCCUGCCAGCAGAGUCAAUUAGUUGCUGGGAGGACCUGGAAUCCGCAUUCCUUGACAACUUCCAGGGCACUUACGUGCGACCACCAGACGCUGAUGACCUAAGCCACAUAAUCCAGCAGCCAGAGGAAUCGGCCAGACAAUUCUGGACACGGUUCCUAACCAAGAAAAAUCAAAUAGUCGACUGUCCGGACGCCGAGGCCCUUGCUGCCUUCAGGCACAACAUCCGAGACGAAUGGCUUGCCCGGCACCUAGGACAGGAAAAUCCAAAAUCUAUGGCAGCCCUCACGACACUCAUGACCCGCUUCUGCACGGGCGAAGACAGCUGGCUAGCUCGUAGCAAUAACAUAACCAAAAGCCCUGGUAAUUCGGAUACCAAGGACAACAAUGACAGGUCACGUCGCAACAAGCACAAGCGCCGCAUUAACGGCGACACUACUGAGGAUACGACAGUCAAUGCCGGAUUCAAAGUCUCUAAACCCGGUCACCAGAAGAAGCCAUUCAAAAGAAUCCCUCCAGGCCCAUCCAACUUAGACCGGAUACUCGAUCACUUGUGCCAGAUACACGGCACCCCCGAACAACCAGCCAACCACACCAACAAGGACUGUUGGGUGUUCAAGCAGGCAGGCAAGUUAAGUGCCGAAACCAGAGACAAGGGGCUGCGUAGCGAUGACGAGGAGAAGCCCCGGCCGCCAAACAAUAGAGGAUAGAAGGGCUUCCCCCGCAAGUGCAGACGGUGAACAUGAUAUACGCAACCCACAUCCCCAAAAGGGAGCGGAAGCGUGCCCUCAAGGAUGUCUAUGCAUUGGAGCCAGUCGCCCCAAAGUUCAACCCAUGGUCCUCCUGCCCGAUCACCUUCGAUCGACGGGACCACCCCACUAGCAUCCGUCACGGCGGAUUCGCCGCCAUUGGUCCUAGACCCAAUCAUUGACGGAUUUCACCUCACUAGAGUCCUCAUGGACGGCGGCAGCAGCCUGAACCUGCCUUAUCAGGAUACAAUGCAAAAAUGGGUAUAGAUCCCUCACGGAUUAAAACCACAAAGACAACCUUUAAAGGCGUCAUACCAGGUGUAGAAGCCAGCUGUACAGGCUCGGUAACACUCGAAGUGGUCUUCGGAUCCCCGGAUAAUUUCCGAAGCGAAGAGUUAAUCUUCGACAUAGUCCCAUUCCGCAGUGGCUAUCACGCCCUGCUCGUACGAACCGCAUUUGCAAAAUUCAAUGCGGUGCCGCACUACGCAUAUCUCAAGCUCAAGAUGCCAUGUCCUUGCGGAGUCAUUACGGUAAAUGGAAACACUGAACGCUCUCUCCGAACGGAGGAGCACACAGCAACCCUGGCGGCGGAAGUACAGAGCAGCCUCUCAAGGCAUCUCCCCAAUCCGGGUGUUAAACGAUCGGACAACAUCAAGCGCGCCCGAAGCAACCUCCAACAAAGCCGGCUGGCACGUUCCGAGCGAGCAUAGCAGUGCGGCCCCAACCCCAGCCCUCGCCAGACGGUGAUUUCGGUACCACGCUUACAUAAUUACGCUUUGAAAAUACCAUGGGCAUAAGGGGAGGGGCACAACUAUGGCACGCCCACAAUGUGGCUCAACAGCACAUAGGGGCUCCCUAUUCCGCUGUUUUCUUUUUUUUUGUACACUUCAAGACCCAACUAUUCGGAAGGCCUGUCCGGCAAUAAACUCGCCGAACACACGAUGCAACAGCCAGGGCGGGAACAAGCUGCGUCAUAUGUCCAGGUGGUCUCUAUAACGAGCUAAAUACCCGUUUCGCUUAAAUUUACGCAGCUUGCCCUUGGAGGGGGACAUGUCAAAUAUUCCCAUCCCUUGCUUAUCGCACUAUUUGUAUCGUUCUGCUUUCAAAGCAGCUCUUUUUAAUAAACAAUAUAUAGCUCUUAUCUAUUAUUGCAUUCAUCUGUUUUUAUACAAAUAUGUUCAGUCACGACAUUAUGCAACCGUACACUUUGGUACGGCCAAUACACCAGGGGCUUAAGCACCCCAUAACAUGGUGUGAGAAGACCGAACACUCUCACGAAUGCGGCACCCCGAACUUAUAGCACUAUAUGCAUCGGCUCCGAAUCAUGUCUUUGGUCAAUAGUUGGGUUUGCCCGGCUCCCAUGUUUUGGUACCUUACAUUCCGCAAUGUUGGCUAAGGUAGCGCUGGGAGAACUACUGCGAUUGUGCCCCAGUUGAGCUGGGUUAACACCUCAGUAGAGAAAGCUAAAACUGACCGUCAUGAUAGUGCGAGAGACCGGUCGCUGUUCGCGAGGUUUUUUUGAGUCCUUAAAGACUUAUGCCGCUUAGAGCGAGGAACCGGACUUAUCCAGCCUAGGCAUGGAUAGCGCCCUGAACUCGGUCUUCCGAAUACUAGGGGCUUCGCCGAAAUGUAAAAUUAUAGAAUUCUAUGGCUAAGUGAGAGUGAUAAAGCAUUAUAAGUCCGACGGCCUGGUUCGUUGUGCUGAGCGCCUCCCUAGAUGGACCCAAGAAUGGGAACAAGAGCGCUCAGGUUUAUCCCGAACACCCCAGCACUCGUGGCAUGGGGGUCGAAGCCGACGACUUGCAUCUCUCAGAUUUUUGGUAAACGGCCGCAUAGAAGGUAAUAUUUUAAAUAAAUAAGCGUUGCUUAACGCAUAUGAACAAAGUUUUCAGCGUACAGGAUAACAGAUGCAAGACUACUCAAAAAAUACAUCUUUAGUGCACUCGUCCGCUAUACGGCGAGCACCCUUCAGGACGCCCUUAUAAUACAUCUCGGGCGUGCGAUACUCCUUGCCCUACGGUGGCGCGUCCGUCAAAAGCUUCUCAGCGUCUAGCUUGCCCCAGUGCACUUUAGCACGGGCAAGAGCCCGACGGGCACCUUCGAUACAGACGGAGCGCUUGACAACUUCAAUCCACGGACACGCGUCCACCAGCCGCUGCACCAGACCGAAGUAGCUCCCAGGCAUGGCUUCUCCAGGCCAUAGCCGAGCUAUAAGGCCCUGCAUGGCCUGUUCGGCCACCUUGUGGAGCUCGACCAGCUGCUUCAGCUGGUCGCUCAGGGGCACCGGAUGUUUGGCCUCAGCAUACUGAGACCAGAACACCUUUUCCGUCGAGCUCCCCUCUUCGGCUCGGUAGUACGCGGCGGCAUCAGACACACUACAGGGCAGAUCGGCGAAUGCUCCUGGAGAGCUCCGGAUCCGGGUAAGUAACAAAUAAUUUACUUUUAUAUUCUUGCUUUGCACAAAGUAUGCCUUACCCGCCGCUAUCUUCUUCAUCGCCUCGAUCUCCUGGAGGGCCUUCUGGGCUUCGGCCUUAGCGGUUUUGGCACUCUCAAGAGCCAAGGCGAGUUCGGACUCUCGAGUCUUCGAGUCGCGCUCCAAACUCUCGUGUUUUUCCACGAGAGCCUGGAACUCUUGCCGCACCACCGCCACCCGCGCCUCCUGCUUCUCUCGCUCGGCGCGCUCUAGGGCCGCACUGUUUUCGGCCUUGGAGACCGCCUCCUUCAGCGCCGCCACCUCGGCCGUGACCCCUGCAACAUUUAAGUUGGUCCUGUCAUUAUUUGCAACCAAGUAUUUUUAUAUACAUUUACAUACGGUAUUACAUACCCUCCUUGUCCUCGAGCUGCUUCUUGGCACGGCCGAGCUCGCUCUCGGACCGCUCGAGGCUUCCCUUCAAUACAUUAACCUCCGCAGUCAAUGCGGCAGAGGUCAGCAGCGCAGCCUGCAUUCCCAUAUUGACAUAUUUUUAUUAGACUCCUACGUAUAUCUUUUUAGAUCCUCAGCUCGGCUUUUCUUUCCCGAAUGCCGAACCGAGCAUCAGGGGCUACUGUCUAUGCGGUAACAUUUUUAUAUGUUUUAAACACAUACCUCGAAGCCUGUUAACAGACUUGUGCAGGCUUCUGUCAGCCCGCUCUUGGCGGACUGAACCUUCUGAAUCACCGCACUCGUAACAGUGCGGUGCUCUUCGUCGAUGGAGGCGCCAUUAAGCGCCUCCAGCAAAUUGUCCAGCGCCUCCGGAUGGAUGGAGGUCGCCGGCGGCGUUGGCUCACCCUUCUUAUGAAGGCGCCGCCUGUCGGACUCUGGAACCGUUGGUGGUUCCGGAGCAGUGUCCGGCCUUGGGCCGGACUUAGAUCCCUCCGGGGCUUUGCCCCCUGUGGGCAUGGAGUCUGGGAGGUCGCCUUGGGGCACCUCCAGGACCACCUCCUCCUGGUUCGGUCCAUUUUGGGACUCCGCCUCGGCGUCGUCCACAGGGAGCAGGGAGGAAGCCGUCGGAAGUGAAGCGCUAUUCACGUCCGACGAAUUCAGAGAGCCGCUUGACGAAUCGCCGAGCUAGACUCUGGGUGGACUGCAAAAUUAAAAUUCGGCAUCAGAAGCUAUCAAAUACUAGAGGGGUGCCAUGAGUCAUUCGGGUAGCCGGACACUUACGAUUUUGCCAGGGGCUUGACCUUGGAUGGCCGUUCCUCCCCGCCGUCUUCGGCAUCGGAGGCAUAGUCCGGCAGAAGGGUCUUCCCCUUCUUGGCCCCCUCGGCCUCCCCGGUUGGGGCAGCCUUCCUUUUCUUUCCUCCCCCCGUUGGAGGGGGAGAGGCCUCUUCUUCUUCCUCCUCCUCCUUGUCUUCCGAGGCGGAGGGUGCGUCGGGGUCGUCGGGCGAUUAAUACGACACCACCAGGCGCCGGGAGCUCUUUCGAGUCCCCGUGGACUUCUUCUUGGCCUUCUUCUCUGGCACCACGUGAGGUGCCGGAACCAGCAGCUUCGUUAAACGAGCGUCCGCUGGGCCUUCAGGCAAAGGAGCCGGACAGCUGAUCAGUCCGGCCCUCGUCUGCUAGUCCUAGCAAAGGGAUGGGGGGUUUAGAUCCCGCAUACAAUCAAAUCUAUGAAAAACAGAUACCCCGUAAUGGGAAAAUUAGCUCACCGCGCUGGCUUGGUGCUUGGUGCAGAAUCCGCGAUCCUCGGUGACGGGAGGUGGGACCUCAGAGCUCUUGAAUAGCACCUUCCAGGCAUCCUCGUGCUUUGUGUCAAAGAGCCAGGACAGAGUCUGGUGCUGUGCCGGGUCGAACUCCCACCAGUUGAAAGCCCGUCGUUGACACGGGAGAAUCCGGCGGAAGAGCAUGACCUGGACUACGGUGACAAGUUUAACCUUCCUACUAAUCAGGUCUUUGAUGCAGGUUUGAAGGGUAGUCACUUCUGCCGGACUACCCCACAACAGGCCCGUCUCUUUCCAAGACGUGAGCCGUGUGGGAAUGCCAGAUUGGAAUUCGGGGGCCGCUGCCCAUUCAGGGUCACGUGGCUCGGUGAUGUAGAACCACCCCGAUUGCCACCCUUUGAUGGUCUCUACGAAGGCGCCCUCGAGCCAUGUGACGUUGGGCAUCUUGCCCACCAUGGCGCCUCCGCACUCCGCUUGGCGUCCGCCCACGACCUUUGGCUUGACGCUGAAAAUCUUCAGCCAUAGGCCAAAGUGGGGCUCGAUGUGGAGGAAGGCCUCGCACACGACGAUAAACGCUGAGAUGUUGAGGAUGAAGUUCGGGGCUAGAUCAUGGAAGUCCAGGCCGUAAUAGAACAUGAGCCCCCGGACGAACGGGUGAAGAGGAAAGCGUAGUCCGCGGAGGAAAUGGGGGAAGAAACACGACCCUCUCAUGGGGCCCAGGGGUGGGGAUGAGCUGCCCCUCGUCUGGAAGCCGGUGCGUAAUGUCGUUGUGCAGGUAUCCGGCUUUCCGCAGCCUUUUGAUGUGCCCCUCCAUGACGGAGGAGGCCAUCCACUUACCUCCCGCUCCGAACAUGGUUGGAGUAGGUCGAGGCGAGAUGUGCGGGCUUGGGCGUUGGAGCUCGAGUGUGCAAGGACGAAUAAGCAAAGGAGGAAGAAGGCGUGAAUGGAAAGGGUAGAUGCUUAUCCCCUUAUAUGGGCGGCCAAAACUACGAGCCCCCACCGGCCUAAUAAAACUCGCUUAUCUCCCAAGCGCCGCGGUUAAUGGCGCGGCUGGGUUACCCACGCCCGUAUUGAUGAGAAUCCCGGAAUAAGGGGACACGAUCUCUGCUUCGACAAGACGUGCCAAGGAAACUGCCUCGCUAAACGCGCUGAGGUGGAACGGUAAAAUGAAUAAAGGCUAGACCGUGGCAUGAUGUCACGCCGCGGGAUACGUCAGUAGAUUAGAUUUGUGUAAAUAUUAUUCUCUCCACGGUGGCAUGUGAAACUUAUUUUGCAGAGCCGGACACUGUCCUUGUGUUCAAACAUCUUCUAUGAAGUAUUCGGAGGAGGAACCCGCCUUGCAAUGCCGAAGACAAUUUGCGCGCCGGACUCAUCGUCAUUGAAGCCUGGUUCAGGGGCUACUGAGGGAGUCCUGGAUUAGGGGGUGUCCGGAUGGCCGGACUAUGACCUUUGGCCGGACUCCCGGACUAUGAAGAUACAAGAUUGAAGACUUCGUCCCGUGUCCGGAUAAGGACUUUCCUUGGCGUGGAAGGCAAGCUUGGCGAUACAAUAUGAAGAUCUCCUCCCAUUGUAACCGACUUUGUGUAACCCUAGCCCUCUCCGGUGUCUAUAUAAACCGGAGAGUUUUAGUCCGUAGGACGAACAACGAUCAUACCAUAGGCUAGCUUCUAGGGUUUAGCCUCUCUGAUCUCGCGGUAGAUCAACUCUUGUAAUACCCAUACCAUCAAUAUUAAUCAAGCAGGAGUAGGGUUUUACCUCCACCGAGAGGGCCCGAACCUGGGUAAAAACAUCGUGUCCCUUGUCUCCUGUUACCAUCCGCCUAGACGCACAGUUCGGGACCCCCUACCCGAGAUCCGCCGGUUUUGACACCGACAAUGACUCUGAUUGUGAAUCCAAACCUAGCUACAAAAAACUUGCUAAAAUUGCAUCUGAACAACAGAAAGCUAUGGAACAUAUUCAAAAACUGUUAGACAAAAGCGAUGACCUGUUGAACGCGGAAAUGACUAAGACUCAGUCCUUAAUUGAAGACAUAAAAAAUCUUCAUGUGAAGUACCAGGAACUUGAAGGUCGUCAUGAAACCCUCUCAACAUCUCAUGAAAGGCUUUCCUACGAUUAUCUUCAAAGGAAGCAGGAACUUGAGAAAUUGAGAUCGGAUCAUGAAGAUCUUCAAAAGUAGAACGAGUCACUUCGCGCUCAACAGAUCAGUCCCGCUCAGGAAGGAUUUGAACCACCAUGUUUAAAAUGCAUUGAGCAUGAUAACGCUGUUUCUAUUGCUGGAUGUUCUACUGCUCCUGUUGCAAUAUCUUCAACUGUUAAUGUGGUAACUAACCCCUCUGUUGAGGAUACCACUACUAUUGCUGAUGAGAAUGCCAGGUUGAAGACACUUAUUGAGACAGGGAUGUACAAAAUCCUCAAGGGGCAUCAAACAUUGUGUGAUGUCCUCAAAAAGUAGAUUCUGAACCGAAACCCUAGAAAAGAGGGUAUUGGGUUCGAGAGGAAAAUGAAUGUUGAUGGAUCGUACUGGAAGCUAGAGCAGUACCCCAAAACCACAUGGGUUGCUGCAAAGGAACCUUCAGUAGAUCCAUCCACCUUAUCUGGCUUCACUUGCGCUAACCCUAUUAUCAUUGAUGAAUCCUUUGAUGCAAACUAUAAACUAUUUAAGAAUCAGAAUGGUGAAGUGUUUGCCAGGUAUAUUGGUACUAACUGCAGGAAUGGACCACCUAUGAAGAAGAUCUGGGUACCUAAGCAGUGUAUUGAGAAUCUUCCUGUGAAUGUCAUCAUGACACCACCAAGGAAGAAGACAAACCCCAUACCUAUGGCUUCAUUUGGUCCAAAGGCUUCAUACAGAUACAUGACUCACCUGAGUCACCCUAGCGCCAAUGUUUUGCAGGGAAACCAUACUCAGACUUAUGAAUAUGAGCGUGUGUCUUCAAACCGCUAUGUUCAUAGAACUAAGAACUUUUCUGCUUAUUCAUAUGAGUAUCAUGCUUCUCCUGCAAGGCUAUUUGCUAGGGCUCCGAAGCCGAAAUUCUCAGAUGCUGCACUUAGACUCAUUGCUUCUAAGCCACCCCUGAAGAUGUGGGUGGUUAAGAAGAAUUAACUUUCUUUUGCAGAGAGAGGUCUCCAGCCUGAAAUCAAAGGCGUCCGAUGCUAUUGCUUGGGACCUAAAACAUAUUAUGGGACGCAAGAUAAAAUGCUCAAAUGAUCUUACUAUGUAUUUCACAUCUAAAUUGCUUGCCAGUCAUACUAUCAGUCCUAACCUUGAUCUAAAACUUGAUAAUCCUCCUGUGCGUCAAAUGUUUAUGCUUCACAACACUCCUUGUGAAGCCUAUCCUCCUAACUGCACUAUAGGGUACGACACCUCAUGCUUCAGAAUGGAUUAUGGACAGUGGAUGGACUAACCACAUGACUGGUGAUCGAAGUCUUCUUACGGACUCAACCUUACGUCCAUGUGAUAAAAGUCACAUCACAUUCGCUGACAUUGGUAAAAGAAAGGUAUUGGGCCAAGGUAGAGUUGCAAUCUCAAGGGAUCAACACAUGGACAAAGUGAUGCUUGUUGAAUCCCUUGGUUUCAACUUAAUGUAUGUCUCAAUGCUUUGUGACUUAAACAUGAUUGUGCUGUUUAGAAAAUAUCGUUGCCUUGUACUAACGGAAUCUGACAAGUCUCUAGUAUUCGAAGGGUACAAGAAAGAUGAUACGUACAUGGUAGAUUUCUCAGCAGGACCACAGAUGCCCGUAUGUCUUCUAGCAAGUCUUCAGAGUGCUGGCUCUGGCAUCAGAGGCUAGGGCAUGCUGGCAUGAGGAACCUACACACUCCUGCUAAGAAGAAGCACGUCAUAGACUGAAGUGCAGGACGUCUUCAGACGCUUCGCCAACCGUGCCAUGAACAACUAUGGCAUCAAGAUCAAGCACAUUAGGAGUGACAACAGCACCGAAUUCAAGAACACAGGCCUCAACCUCUAUCUUGACACCCUAGGCAUCACUCAUGAGUUUUUUGCUCCUUACACACCUCAGCAGAAUGGCAUCAUGGAGUGCAAGAAUAGAACCCUUAUUGAGAUGGCUCGGACGAUGCUUGACGAAUACAAGACUCCAAGAAAAUUCUGGCCUGAAUCCAUUGAUACUGCAUGCCAUGUCAUCAACCUUGUUUAUCUUCAGAAGCUUCUGAAGAAAACAUCCUAUGAGCUUCUAACUGGUAAGAAGCCAAACGUAAGCUACUUCAGAGUAUUUGGUGCUAGGUGCUGGAUCAAGGAUCCACAUCACACUUCAAAAUUUGCACCGAAAGCACAUGAGGGUUUUAUGCUUGGUUAUGGAAAGGACUCGCACUCCUAUAGAGUCUUCAACCUCUUUCACUAUAAAGUGGUUGAAACUGUGGAUGUGCGGUUCGAUGAAACUAACGGUUCACAAAGAGAGCACCUGCCAAAUGUGCUAGAUGAAGUACCUGCCAGUGAAUCAAUCAAGCUAAUGGGAACUGGAGAGAUCAUACCAUUAGAUGCCCAGCCUGAAGAGGAACUCAUUAUUUCUGCACCUGAUCAGCCUGAAGACAUUGCUCAGCCUGAAGACAAUCCUUCAAAUGAUGACAAUGUUCAGCAGGAGCAAAAUCUUCGUCCAGUUCAUCCUUGUGUUGCAAAUGAAGUUCAAAUUGAGAAGAUAAUCGAUAGCAUCAAUGCACCUGGUCCACUCACUCAUUCAAGAGCAACACAGCUAGCAAAUUUCUGUGGGAACUUUGCAUUUGUCUCAAUCUCUGAACCCAAGAAAGUUGCUGAAGCCUUCAUGGAACCUGAGUGGAUUCAAGCUAUGCAAGAAGAGCUACAACAGUUUGAGCUAAAUAAUGUAUGGGAACUUGUCAAGCGUCCUGAUCCUCACAAGCACAACAUAAUAGGCACAAAAUGGAUAUAUUGCAACAAACAAGACGAGCAUGGUCAAGUAGUCAGAAACAAAGCAUGGCUCAUUGCUCAAGGAUACACACAAGUUGAAGGAAUUGACUUCGAUGAAACAUUUGCUCCAGUGGCUAGGCUUGAAGCCAUUCGCAUACUGCUAGCUUUCGCAAAUCAUCAUAACAUCCUUCUGUACCAAAUGGAUGUGAAGAGUGCCUUUCUCAAUGGAAAGAUUGAAGAAGAAGUGUAUGUUGCACAACCUCCUGGCUUUGAAGACCCAAAAUAUCCUAAUAUGGUAUACAAGCUCAACAAGGCACUGUAUGGCCUCAAACAAGCCCCAUGUGCUUGGUAUGACACACUCAAAGAUUUCCAGAAGAGCAAAGGCUUCAAACCUAGUUCUCUAGAUCCCACUCUCUUCACGAAGACAUAUGAUGGUGAACUGUUUGUGUGCCAAAUCUAUGUGGAUGACAUUAUCUUCAGUUGCACCAACAAGAAAUAUAGUGAUGAAUUUGGUUAUAUGAUGCAAGAACAAUAUCAAAUGUCCAUGAUGGGAGAGCUGAAGUUCUUUCUCGAUCUUCAAAUCCGUCAGCAACGCAACGACAUCUUCAUAUCUCAAGAAAAAUACCUCAAAGAUUGCUUGAAGAAGUUUGGAAUGCAAGACUGUUAAGGAUACGCGACGCCAAUGCCAACCAAAAGUCAUCUAAGCCCCGACGCCAAUGGUAAAGAUUUCGAUCAAAAGGUAUACCGCUCCAUGAUUGGCUCUUUACUUUACUUAUGUGCAUCUAGGCCAGAUAUCAUGCUUAGAGUUUGCAUGUGUGCCCGAUUCCAAGCGGCACCAAAGGAGUCGCAUCACUUAGUUGUGAAGCAAAUUCUUCGAUAUUUGGCUUACACCCCAACACUAGGAUUAUGGUAUCCAAAGGGCUCAGAGUUUGAUCUGGUUGGAUUUUCGGAUGCUGAUUAUGCUGGUGACAAGGUGGAUCACAAGUCUACAUCAGGCACAUGUCACUUUCUGGGUCGAUCUCUUGUCUGUUGGUCUUCAAAGAAGCAGAACUGUGUAUCACUCUCAACUGCUGAAUCUGAAUACAUUGCUGCUAGAUCUUGCUGCGCUCAGCUUCUGUGGAUGAAGCAAACUCUUAAGGACUAUGGCAUCCAUCUGAAGCAUGUGCCACUCUACUGCGACAAUGAAAGCGCUAUCAAGAUUGCCAAUAACCCGGUUCAGCACUCGAAGACAAAGCACAUUGAAAUUCGUCAUCACUUUCUUAGAGAUCAUGUUAUGAAAGAAGAUAUUGAUAUCAUUCACAUCAAGACAGAAGAUUAGUUGGCUGAUAUCUUCACUAAGCCCUUGGAUGAGAAAAGGUUUUGCAAGUUGCGGUGUGAGCUAAAUAUCUUGGAAUCCUCGAAUGUCCUGUGAUUAGGCACACAUCCUAACACUUAUGCAGUUUGAUGACUUAGAUGUGCAACACACGAAGUAAUGUAUAUCUUCAAUCAAUGAAGACAUACACUCUAAGUGUGAAUACAUUAAUGUGGAAAUUGACUUCAGAGCACCACGAUAAUUGUGCGUCGUGUCUGGGUCUAAUACUUCCUAUACGGUGGGUAACGCCACCACCAAACUCUUCUGAAGUGUUUCCUCAUGGCGUCAUAUUUGCAAAGUCUUCGCAAUUGAUUUAACUUCAACAUGAAUUUGAUUUCGUGAUUACUGAUUUGGCUUUACUCUGUUAUAUAUAUACAGUAUUCUGUCCUCUACAACAUUCACUUAUGGCUAUGUCUUCUUUCUUGAAUUUUUUGAACUAAGUGAAUGUGAUCGGACCCUAACCUCUCUAUGCUUUGUACCUCAAGCUCUAUCUAUCCAAAUCAUAUGCAUUCUGUUGAAACUGUCGAAUGUCUUCUCUGCGUCCUUGUCAGCAGAAGAUACAGAGACAAACAUUUAUAUCUAGCUUUAAUGACAUAUCCUUUUUUCCUGAAACCCAGAGAAUUCGGAACGACCACCCCGACAAUCCAGGCGUGCGUGGGACGUGGAACAACUUUCAAUGAGUUGCAUGUUCGCCACGUGUCCAUCAGAUGUGAACCGCCAGGGGCACCUGCGUAAUUGCACUGUGCUGUCUCUAUCCUUAUAAAUGCCUGUCUCGUCUCGGUCAAAAUCCUUCUUCCUCCUUCUCCACCUCUCACAAACCCUAGCGCCUACGCUAGCUCUCGACGACACCGACGACGAAGCGCUUAGCUGCCGCGACAUCCUCGACGCCGUCCUCACGCCGGCUGCGGACCUCGUCUUCUCCGCCGUCACCGUAGGUGUCUUCCGUCGCCAAGUUAGGGCACGAGAGAUCGAACUGCUCGGCAUCCAUCUUCGCUCCGUCUAGCAGUUCUUUGUGUGGUAAUAAAAGUUUACUUUUUACCGUCUUUUUGAUCUAAUAGAUUCAUCCCUUUCUACCAAAAGUGGUUUCUAGAUCUUCGAACAUGAAUCUAUCUCUUUAUGCUUCUCAUAUUAUGCCUAGUAUAUUCACUUAUGCUUCUUCACAAGUUAGAUUCCUCACUUGUACUUAUUCUUGGAUUUGUACAACUCUGGAACCAACUCUCAUCAUAUAAGUGAAUGUCUUCGCGUUAUGAGGUCAAUGUCCUCAAACUGAUUUAUCUUCAAAAUCUUCUGAGAAUGCAUAUGACCUCUUCCCCUUCCUUCGCACCUUUAAUGCUAUCACAGGUACAUGUCCGUGGGAGAAUCCCUUGGUUCUCAUAGUCUGCAUUCGUUUGCAGAAUUCUUGCAGAGUCACAUCAACUCACCUGAAGCAAGUUCCUGUCAGUCCAGCCGAUUGAAACCAUUGCACGUACUCAAGCCUUUCAGUUUACACUUCAUGGCAACUGGAAAGUCAGCAAGGAAGGGAGGCAGACAGCGUCGUGGUGACACUUCCAAGGAUUUACCUCCUGAUUUGCACGAGAUGUACAAAACUGAUCCAGAAGGAACCUAUACUGAACGCAAGAAUCGAAUCCAAUGGAUUCGAAGAUAUUGGGCAGAAGAGUGGUUCAGAUACCGCUUCAUCACCAAGGAAUAUGCAGAGAAGAAUGCCAUCAAGGCACCCUGGAGCGAUAUUCUGUACAUAAAUCUUCCACCCAGGAAUCAGGCUGAAGCUAUUGAGAAAGGCUUCUAUCCUUGCAUGGUACGCGGACCACAACCUGAGAAUGCUGACCUGUCUUCACUACUCUGGUGUCGUGAAGACAGUCUGUUCAAGCGCAACUAUCAGUUCGCCAAAAAAUCAGCUACAACAAACAAGAAGGAUCUAGGGCUUGACUUCAACCCUGGUCCCUCCUCACCUUGGGACAAUGGCACCCGUGAAGCCAAUGAAAAUAGGAUUGGCCCCUUCUACAACCUUGCUGGCCUCAUCACUCACAUUACUAAUUCGAGGUGCCAAAGUGGAUCAUUCUGAUGAUGAUGAUGAUGCUGACACAGACGAAGCUCCAGCUCCUCCUCCAAAGCCUAAGAAGCAAAAGAAGACUAAAGCUUCAAAGUCAUUUGCUGCUCCAAAAGCUUCAAGAGUGAAGCCAUUGGCAACUGCCCCUUCUGCUCCAAGCAAUAACUCUAAAGAUCUCUCUCGCAUCUCCAAGAGGCGUGAGAAGCCACAGAAGACACCAGUUCAGAAACUGAGUCAUGCACUGACGCCUGCUGCCAUUCUGAGGAAUGAAUCUGAACCCAUCGACUUGUCUUCUGAUGAAGAAUUUGGUGAAGAUGCUCUGGAACAGCUGAACAAGAGCAAGCAAGAGGCGGAGAUCUUCAACGAUCUGCCCCUCUUUGAUGUAAACAUUCUGAAGAACUUCAUUGAUGAGUGGUUUGAUAAUCAGGAUCUCAUCUUUGAUGACCUUCAGCUUCCCAUUGGCAUCAGCGUUGCUUUCCAAGGCGCCAUUGCUCCUGAGCUUGCUCUAGCUCAGCGCAUUGUCGAACUGAAGCAAAAGAUAGACUUCGAGAAGGAACAGUUCAAGAAGCAUGUCGCCAGGCUGAAUGUGGCUGAUGUGCAAAAGUUCAAGGUGAUGCUUAAUGACCUCAAGGAGUCGUUUCGGAAGAAACGCGAGGAAGCCAAAGGCUCAAGAGAGCGCAUGAAAGCACUCGCUGACAAAUGCGUUCAAGCCUACAAUGAAGCUGAAAAGCGCAAGGCACUUGGCCGCCCUGGCAUUGAUCCCUCAAUGGCUGCCAAGAAAAAGAGGUCAUCUGAAGCCCACACUGAAGCACCACGGCAGGAAAAACCACACAUUGUCUUCCCUGCCAGCAUGCGCGGCUCAGAGCCCAAGGCUCCUUCAGUGGCUUCUGAACAGAAGAAGACCAAGGCAGCUGAAGCCGAAGCCAGGAAGCGAAAAACCAAGCACACCAUUGAUGAAGAACCACCCCCUAAGAAGAGAAAAACCAAGAGAAGAGAUCGGGCUGCUCCUACAGAGCCCCUUGUUGUUGAACCCCUUGCUUUNNNNNNNNNNNNNNNNNNNNNNNNNNNNNNNNNNNNNNNNNNNNNNNNNNNNNNNNNNNNNNNNNNNNNNNNNNNNNNNNNNNNNNNNNNNNNNNNNNNNNNNNNNNNNNNNNNNNNNNNNNNNNNNNNNNNNNNNNNNNNNNNNNNNNNNNNNNNNNNNNNNNNNNNNNNNNNNNNNNNNNNNNNNNNNNNNNNNNNNNNNNNNNNNNNNNNNNNNNNNNNNNNNNNNNNNNNNNNNNNNNNNNNNNNNNNNNNNNNNNNNNNNNNNNNNNNNUUGAAUGAUUGUUCAUGAGCCUGCUUCCACAGAGGCUCCUGAAGCUCAAGAAGUCCCAGUCGCCGACCCCAUCGCGACUGAAGAUAUUGCUCAAGAUGAUGCAGUUCUUCCUCAGAUCGAGCGCCCAACGGUAUCAUCGCCUGUUCGAACGAAUACUGAGCUUAUCAGUAUUGGUCGUCCUUUGACGCCAAUCUCACAAGAUGCAUCGUGGGCUGAUCGCCCCCAGCAAGCUACCCCACAUCAAGACUCACCAAGUACACCCCAGCCGUCAAGUGUGCCCGUCAUCAGCCCCAUGUCCAAUGAUGACAACUACAUGGAGACAUCACCAUCACUAAAGGCGUCGCCCGUAUUUCAACGGCUUCGCAAAGGCCUGAAGCCAUCUGCCUCCAUCACCACCAUCACAGAAGAGGGCUCCAACUUGUCAAGCUCAGUGGCACGUCAAGUGUUCCCUGAAGACCAUCCUUCUGUGACGGUCCCUGUGUCUGAAGCCAAUGCUACUGAAGACCCUCCGGCUGCAUCAGCUGGAGCAACACAAGAAGAAGAGCGUGUCGCUACCCCCUACAACAUAAGAAGAAGUGCAUGAAGAGAACCAAUCCAUGCCAGAACCUCCAGCUACUCAAGUGGAGGGUGAGAAUCCUGAGGCUGCCACAAAUGACAUUCCUGAAGCCAAUGAAGUUGUCAUGGAUGAAGCCAAUGUGGAGCCUAUAGUGGCCAAUGCACCAGUGGCCAAUGAAGCCAAUGAAGCCCAUGAAGCAGAUGAAGUCAAUGCCGCACCUAACACAAAUCUGCAGCCUGAAGUCAAUGCCACUGCUCUUGUUCCACCUCCAAGGCCACAUACUAUCGAGCAAGCAUACAACUAUGGACAAGUUGUCACUGUCAGAUGGCCUAUUCUGAUUCCUCCACCUGUUGUUGGUCCUUAAUUUGAUUACCAUGUCGAGCACAGGCCUCAGGUUCAGAAGCCAAAGCCAAGACUGCCCAGAUUUCCAGGUACUGCCUCUUCACCAGGAUCCUUCAAUGUCAACGGCUUCAUUGCACACAACACCUUCUUUGACAGCGAAAAGAACCCUUACACCAAGCCCAAGAUCUUCUGAUCGGUUCUGGAGCUAUCAACAGUGCAACUAUUACUCAUGCAUUCUGUACAACCAAGGCCGCAUAUUUCCGCAUAUGCGCCUUGAUACUGAAGCCAUAGCUAGCCUACCCUGCUUGGAAGAAGCUCUCGAUUGCUUCAGAGAGGCUGGCUUACUGCAUUUUGUCACUGACAAGGAGCACUGGAAUGAAGAGUUGCUGCUCCAAUUCUGUGCCACUCUGCAUAUCAGAGGCUACAACAGGGAUCCUAAGACUUGGGUCCUUGAGUGGAUGACAGGAAAUGUCCAUCACGAAGCCAAAGCAUUUGAUGUCACUAAGCUUACUGGCGUUCCCACUCCGGGUGAUCUCUAUGAGCCUGGUUGUCAGCUUCACACUGCAGCUGUGGAAAGCAUCUUUCACAAGCCAGAACCCAACAUGAGCCAGAUGCUAAGUACGAUGAAGCCAUUACCUCCAGAUGCAGAAUAUCCUACAGAGUUCUUUGUUGAAGACCUUGAGUAUGUGCCACACACAAUCUAUCACAUCAUAAGGCGAACUCUAUGGCCUAUCAAAGGACAUUCUCCAAAGGCUAAGCUAGAAGGUGCAAUGAAGACAUUGGUCUUCCAUAUUCUUCAUGGAAAAAGCUUCAAUGCAUAAGAUUUCUUCAUCCGACAACUUGCUGCAUCAGGAUCUGACAUUUUUGGCUUGAAGUUCUAUGCGCCAUGGAUCAUGCGUCUGAUCAAGCUUCACACUGCUUUCAACUAUCAGCCAUCUGCACGCAACCACAUUGUCUUCUUGCCAGAUGUUGAUAUGUCUUUUGAAGCCAUCUAUCCAGAGCCUGACAAAGAGCCACUGUAUCUUCAUAAUGUUGAUCGUCAGAGCUUCACCCAGCCCAUUGAAGGUGUGUUGGCUGCCACUCGAGUCUAUCCAUUGGCUGGUACUACACGUGCACCUCAUCGUGCCCCAACCGAAGCCACUAACAGCACAAUUGCUCAACGGUCUCGAAAGCGAUCUCGUGUUCUCAAUGACCGAGAGCUUCUCGUUGGCCUGCAUCAGAAACAGGACAGGCAUCAUGAUUGGCUCAAGCGCCAGAUGCAGAGCAUCAUGACUGACGUCAAUCGCAUUCACAAUCUUGAAACCAAGAAUGCCUUUGUCGCGCAUGAAACUUGUCGACACACAUGGAAAGGGCUGAUGCUUAUGUGUGCUGAGGAAGAUCUUCAGGAUGAUGGCUUCUCAGAGCGAUUCAAGUUUGAUUCUACUCUGCCCAGAAAUGUUGUUCUGCGGCGCACUCCAUCUCUUGAAGACUCAGAGUUCUCCUCUUCUGUUGCAACUAUGAAUGCUCGUGUGAUCGAUGAUCAAGAUGAUGCUACUUCACCACCUCCAACACGCAUCAACACUGCUCCAAGUUCGUCUACACCGCCAAAGCUCGACACCAACCCUGCAUCCUCUCCUACUCCUUCUGGGAACGAGUAGAGGCUCAAUGUCUUCAACCCUUUUUGGUCCUUACCGACAAAAGGGGGAGAAGCUAUGAGUUGAUAGUCUUCAAGCGGGAUCAUAUGGGCGGUUGCAUUAUAUUUUGCCUAGUGUUUACAACUCGUGCUUUUGAUACAUUUGGUUCUCUGAGUUGUAAUACUUAAACUUGAUGGUCGUCUGCUACUUAUUUGCUAUUUUGUGAUGUGAUGAUAAAUUCCGCAUGUGCGAUGAUAACUUCCGCACUUAAAUCAUUUUGUAGACGUCCAUUUUCCAUUAUGCAUGUCAUUAUCUUCUUUACAUCGAAUCAUGCAUGAUGAAUUGUCUUCAUAAGUUGAAGAGGAUCUCCACAAGUAGAACCUGCCAUGUGCAUUUGCAUUCCAAAAGCAAAUUAUUAAUAUGCACAUCUUCAGGGGGGAGCUUUUUGCUACUUACGAAGACAAUACCUCAUCCUUUACAAUUUCACAUAUUUAUAUCCCCGUUGAAAACUUCAACCAGUUUGUCAUCAAUCACCAAAAGGGGGGAGAUUGUAAGUGCAUCUAGUGCCACCCCUAGUUUGGUUUUGGAGUAUUGACGACAAACGUGGUUGAGGGACUAAUGUGUUUGUGAGAAUUGCAGGAUAACACAGGUAGUAGUCCCUCCUUGAUUCGGUUUACCUACCGGAGAUGACCCCUAAAAAUGUAUGAAGAAACUGAAGAUAAUGGUGGUACGUGAAGUUAUUCACAUUGAAGACUAUGACAGAAGAAGACAUUAAGUGAAGACUAUGGAGCGCGAAGACUUAGUAGUUUCGUUGUUUCUUUUCUUCUUUGUUGAGUCAUAGGAACCACCGCACUGUUAUGUGGGGUCCAAGUGAACAAAGUCAGAGUGACUGAAGUGAUGCUCAACCAAAAUCCUAUGUCUUCGACGAAGACAAUGAGAGCAAAUCUUAUCCAGAGUCGGAUAAGUCAGCUUUACUUGUAGCCCAAGUCAAGCUGUCGCGUGUGUUUGAAAUCUGACCAUUGUGACACGUGUCAGUUCCUUAGUGACCCAGGGUCAUUUCAGACAAAUCAGGUCAGGUUGCCCAGUGGCUAUAAAUAGCCCACCCCCUACACCAUAAAUUGGUGGCUGCUUAGAGUUAGUGCACGGCUUUUGUCGUUGAGAGCAACCCACCUCCGAAGAGUUUGAGAGAGAAAUCCUUGUGAGGACAAAGCCCAAAACACCCAGAGCCCAAAGAGUGUUUGGCAUCACUGAAGUCUUUCUGUCUGCGUGACCUGAAGACUUGUUACACUUGAGGACUGUGAAUCCUCCAGCCGGUUAGGCAUCGCGUUCUGAGCAUCCAAGAGUAAUUGUGGAUUGCCGGUGAACAAAGUCUUUGAAGGUUUGGAAGUCUACCUUGAAGACUUACCAGAGUGAUUGGGCGAGGACUGUGUGUCCUUAGCUCAAGGGGAAUAAGGUGAAGACACGGUCUUCUGAGUUCAAUCUCAGCCUCCCUAACUAGAUGUACAAUUGUCACAACAACUGGAACUGGUCGAACAAAUCCUUGUCUUCACAACGCACUGGUUCUAUCUCUUACUCUCCUUACUUACAGUUCAUCUUUGUGAAGUCAUUGCCUGAUUGCUAUGCCUGUUUGACUUCACUGAGUGACUACUUGUUCUGAUUGGCUUCAUACUAUCUUCCAUCCUGAUCCUACUACCUAGCUGUUAUUAGUCAUCAUGCUUUAGCUUCAUACUUGUCUGACUAUGGCUUGUCUAGUGUAGUUCAUCUUCCGAUGCAUGUUUAUAGGUCCAGUUUACGUGUUUGUCUUCGAAACUUCCAUGUUUUGAAGACUUUCCUAAAAAUCGCCUAUUCACCUCCCCUCUAGUCGAUAACUAGCACUUUCACUAUGGAAACUAAUCCUUUGAGGGGCUUGUUUGGGGUAUCUUCACCCCAACCAGAAGAGCAAAGAGAUGCUCCUCAACCUACUGAACCUUAUGAAAAUAUUCACUUUGAGAUUCCUUCGAGUAUGAUAGAAAAACUGCUAGCUAAUUCUUUUGUAGGAGACGGAACAUUGCAUCCCGACUUACACCUUAGCUUUGUGGAUGAAGUUUGUGGAUUAUUUAAGCUUGCAGGUAUUCCCGAUGAUGUUGUCAAAAGGAAGGUCUUCCCUUUAUCUUUUAAGGGAGAUGCAAUGACAUGGUAUAGGCUAUGUGAUGAUACGAGAUAUUGGAAUUAUAAGCGAUUGAAGUUGGAAUUUCACCAGAAGUUCUAUCCUAUGCAUCUUAUUCAUCGUGAUCGUAAUUACAUAUAUAAUUUCUGGCCUCACAAAGGAGAAAGCAUCGCUCAAGCUUGGGGGAGGCUUAAGUCAAUGUUGUAUUCAUGCCCCAAUCAUGAGCUCUCUCGGGAAAUGAUUAUUCAGAAUUUAUAUGCUCGGCUUUCUCUUGAUAAUCGCAACCUGCUCGAUACUUCCUGUGCUGGUUCCUAUAUGUUGAAGACUAUUGAUUUCAAAUGGGACUUAUUGGAAAGAAUUAAACGCAACUCUGAAGAUUGAGGUUCCGGCGAUGGUAAGGAGUCAGGUAUGACACCUAAGUUCGAUUGUGUUAAAUCUUUUAUGGAUACCGAUGCUUUCCGUGGAUUUAGCUCUAAGUAUGGACUUGACUCUGAGAUAGUAGCUACUUGUUGUGAAACUUUUGCUACCCAUGUUGAUCUCCCUAAAGAGAAGUGGUUUAAUAUAAUCCUCCUGUUGGAGUGAAAGUAGUUGCACCUAUUACAGUCGAAGAGAAGACCAUUACAUAUAGUGAUCCUAUUGUUCCUACUGCUUAUGUUGAAAAACCUCCUUUUCCUAUUAGGAUAAAAGAUCAUGCUAAAGCUUCGACUGUUGUUCGUAAGAGCAAUAUUAGAACUCAUACACCUCCUGAGCAAAUCAAAGUUGAACCUAAUGUUGCUAUUGUUAAAGAUCUCUUGUUUGAUAAUAUUGAUGGGCAUGUUAUUUAUUUCUAUGAUGAAACUGCUAGAAUUGCCAAACCUUGUGCUAAAGAUAAACAUAGACCUGUGGUAGGCAUGCAUGUUAUUUCUGUUAAAAUAGGAGAUCAUUGUUAUCAUGGCUUAUGUGAUAUGGGUUCUAGUGCUAGUGCAAUACCUAUUGACUUAUACAAAGAAAUUAUGCACGAUAUUGCACCUACUGAGUUAGAAGAUAUUGAUGUCACAAUUAAACUUGCAAAUAGAGAUACUAUUUCGCCAAUGGGAAUUGUUAGAGAUGUUGAAGUCUUGUGUGGGAAAACUAAAUAUCCUACUGAUUUUCUUGUUCUCGGCUCCCCACAAGAUAGCUUUUGUCCCAUUAUAUUUGGUAGACCCUUCUUGAACACCGUUAAUGCUAGGAUAGAUUGCGAAAAGGAUGUUGUUACUAUUGGUCUAGGUGAUAUGUCUCAUGAGUUCAACUUUUCUAAAUUUCGUAGACAACACCGUGAAGAGGAACCAUCUAGUAAGGAUGAAAUUAUUGGUCUUGCUUCCAUUGUUGUUCCACCAACUGAUCCGUUAGAAAAAUAUUUGCUAGACCAUGAAAACGAUAUGUUUAUGAAGGAAAGGGAAGAAAUAGAUGAAGUGUUCCUUAAACAAGAACCUAUGCUGAAACAUAACCUUCCCGUUGAAAUUCUUGGGGAUCCCCCUCCACCUAAGGGUGAUCCCAUGUUUGAACUCAAACCCUUACCUGAUAAUCUUAAGUGUGCUUAUCUUGAUGAAAAAGAAAUAUAUCCUAUUAUUAUUAGUGUUAACCUUUCAGAGAAAGAAGAAGAAAGAUUAUUGAAAACUCUGAAGAAGCACAGAACUUCUAUUGGAUAUACUCUGGAUGAUCUUAAGGGCAUUAGUCCCACACUAUGUCAACACAAAAUUUCAGUGGAGAAAGAUGCCAAACCAGUUAGAGAUCCUCAAAGACGAUUAAAUCCCAAAAUGAAGGAAGUGGUAAGAAAGGAGAUACUAAAACUCCUUGAGGCAGGUAUUAUUUAUCCCGUUGCUGAUAGUGAAUGGGUAAGCCCUGUCCAUUGUGUCCCAAAAAAGGGAGGUAUUACCGUGUUUCCUAAUGAUAAAAAUGAAUUGAUUCCGCAAGGAAUUAUUAUAGGUUAUAGGAUGGUAAUUGAUUUCCGUAAGUUAAAUAAAGCUACUAAGAAAGAUCAUUACCCUUUACCUUUUAUUGAUCAAAUGCUAGAGAGGCUAUCCAAACACACACAUUUUUGCUUUCUAGAUGGUUAUUCUGGCUUCUCUCAGAUACUUGUAUCAGCGGGGGAUCAAUCUAAAACUACUUUUACUUGCCCUAUUGGUACUUUUGCUUGUAGACGUAUGCCUUUUGGUUUAUGUAAUGCACCUGCUACCUUUCAAAGAUGCAUGAUGGCUAUAUUUUUUGAUUUUUGUGAAAAGAUUUGUGAGGUAUUCAUGGAUGACUUCUCCGUCUACGGAUCCUUUUUUGAUGAUUGUUUGAGCAACCUUGAUCGAGUUUUGAGAGAUGCGAAGACACUAGUCUCGUCCUAAAUUGGGAAAAGUGUCACUUUAUGGUUAAUGAAGGCAUUGUCUUGGGGCACAAGGUCUCCGAGAGAGGUAUUGAAGUGGAUAAAGCCAAAGUUGAUGCUAUUGAAAAGAUGCCAUGUCCUAAGGACAUAAAAGGUAUAAGAAGUUUCCUUGGUCAUACCGGCUUUUAUAGGAGGUUCAUUAAGGACUUUUCUAAAAUCUUUAGGCCUCUGACUAAUUUAUUGCAAAAAUAUAUUCCUUUUGUUUUUGAUGAUGAUUGUGUAGAAGCAUUUGAAACACUCAAGAAAGCUUUGAUUACUGCACCUAUUGUUCAGCCACCUGAUUGGAAUUUACCUUUUGAAAUUAGGUGCGAUGCUAGUGAUUAUGCUGUAGGUGCUGUUUUAGGGCAAAGAGUCGAUAAGAAAUUGAAUGUUAUCCAUUAUGCUAGUAAGACUCUUGAUACUGCCCAGAGAAAUUAUGCCACUACUGAAAAAGAGUUCUUAUCAGUUGUGUUUGCAUGUGAUAAGUUUAGACCUUAUAUUGUUGAUUCCAAAGUUACUAUUCACACUGAUCAUGCUGCUUUUAAAUAUCUUAUGGAAAAGAAAUAUGCUAAGCCUAGACUCAUUAGAUGGGUUCUCUUGCUCCAAGAAUUUGAUUUGCAUAUUAUUGAUAGAAAGGGAGCUGAGAACCCCGUUGCAGACAACUUGUCUAGGUUAGAGAAUGUUCUUGAUGACCCACUGCCUAUUAAUGAUAGUUUUCCUGAUGAACAAUUAGCGGUUGUCAAUGCUUCUCGUACUGCUCCUUGGUAUGCUGAUUAUGCUAAUUACAUUGUUGCUAAAUAUAUACCGCCUAGUUUCACAUACCAGCAAAAGAAAAAGUUCUUUUAUGAUUUAAGACAUUACUUCUGGGAUGAUCCACACCUUUAUAAAGAAGGAGUAGAUGGUAUUAUUAGACGUUGUGUGCCUGAGCAUGAACAGAACAAAUCCUACACAAGUGUCACUCUGAAUCCUAUGAAGGACACCACACUGGAGAUAGAACUGCACACAAGGUAUUACAAUCUGGUUUUUAUUGGCCUACUCUUUUCAAAGAUGCUCGUAAGUUUGUCUUAUCUUGUGAUGAAUGUCAAAGAAUAGGUAGCAUUAGUAGACGUCAAGAAAUGCCUAUGAAUUAUUCUCUUGUUAUUGAACCAUUUGAUGUUUGGGGCUUUGAUUAUAUGGGAUCUUUUCCUGCCUCCAAUGGUUAUACACAUAUUUUAGUUGCUGUUGAUUACGUUACAAAGUGGGUAGAAGCUAUUCCAACUAGUAGUGCUGAUCAUAACACUUCUAUUAAAAUGCUUAAAGAAGUUAUUUUUCCGAGGUUUGGAGUCCCUAGAUAUCUUAUGACUAAUGGUGGUUCACACUUUAUUCAUGGUGUUUUCCAUAAGAUGCUCGCUAAGUAUGAUGUCAAUCAUAGAAUCGCAUCUCCUUAUCACCCACAGUCUAGUGGUCAAGUAGAGUUGAGCAAUAUAGAGCUCAAAUUAAUUUUGCAAAAGACUGUGAAUAGAUCUAGAAAGAAUUGGUCCAAAAAACUUGAUGAUGCAUUAUGGGCCUAUAGAACUGCAUACAAAAAUCCUAUGGGUAUGUCUCCAUAUAAGAUGGUUUAUGGAAAAGCAUGUCAUUUACCUCUUGAACUUGAACAUAAAGCAUAUUGGGCUAUUAAAGAGCUCAAUUAUGACUUCAAACUUUCCGGUGAGAAGAGGUUGUUUGAUAUUAGCUCACUUGAUGAAUGGAGAACCCAAGCAUAUGAGAACGCCAAGAUUUUCAAAGAAAAAGUCAAACGCUGGCAUGAUAAGAGGAUACAAAAGCGUGAGCUUAACGUAGGAGAUUAUGUGUUAUUGUUCAACUCUCGUUUAAUAUUUUUUGCAGGAAAACUUCUCUCAAAAUGGGAAGGUCCCUACGUUAUCGAGGAGGUCUAUUGUUCUGGUGCUAUAAAAAUCAACAACUUUGAAGGAACAAAUCCGAGGGUGGUAAACGGUCAAAGAAUUAAACAUUAUAUUUUAGGUAAUCCUAUCAAUGUUGAAACUAAUAUUAUUGAAACCAUAACCCCUGAGGAAUACAUAAGAGACACUUUCCAGAAUGUUCCAGACUCCGAAAAGGCAUAGGUACGUGGUACGGUAAGUAAACCGACCCCAAAACAACUCUAAUGUCAAUUUUUAUCAGUUUUGGAUUAUUUAAAGAUUUUAGGAAGAAAGAAGUAGUCCGAAAGGGACACGAGACUCCCACGAGAGAGGAGGGCGCCCCCCCCUGUAGGGUGCGCCCCCUGUUUUGUGGGCACCUCGUGUGCCUCCCGGACUCCGUUUUCUUGUAUGUUACGUAUUUUGGUCGGUAAAAAUUCAGUAUAUAUACUCCCGAAGGUUUUGACCACCGUAUCAUGCAAAUAUCCUCUGUUUUCGUUUCGAGCUGUUUCUGUUUCAGAUCUGGAGCAUCAUGUCAUCUCCAAGUGCUCCCAAGGACAAGUUUUUCGAGAGGGUUAUUAACCCCUAUCUUGCGGAGGUGCUGCAUCACCCUCAAACCAUUGAGAUGCGUGAGGGGGUGUUGCACAUCCGCGAUGUGGAGAGACCAAUGCGUAUCGGGAGCGUGGAGACAAAGCUCGAAGCUAUGGAGCAAGAAGUUUUCAAGUGUCAAGGGAUGGUGGAGCGUGGACUCAAUGCCAACCAUAUGAUGAUCACGGAGUUCACCAACAACCACAAGCUGGAUGCCAAAGUCAUUGGGGAGACCAUCUUCAAGCUUCAAGAGAAAAUCGAGCACCUCCAAGCCCAGAUUUAUGACCUACAAAACCAGAACUGUGAGUAUGAAUAUAGAUUCAAAAGGAUGAGUUUGGCUGCAGAUUUAAGGAUCCCGGAGACUCGAUCAUCCUUUUAUGAUGGAGAGCCUAUGCCUUGGAAGACGGAUUACAGGUCUGCAUCGUCAACAACUCCUACUUCACCACCCCCGAAGAAAUAAUCACAUGGGUAUGGGCACUCCCCUUGGCAACUGCCAAGCUUGGGGGAGGUGCCCCAGUAUCGUAUCACCAUCACACUCCUAUUUUUACCGCUUUAUUUAGUUCGAUCCUUUUAGUAGUAUCUUGAUCUAUUAGUUCGAAGUUUUGAUAUCAAGUAGUUUUGAGUUUUGCUUUGUGAUCUCUUUAUGUAGUUGAGUCCGUGUGCUAUCUAUAAUAAAUAUUAGUGUUGAGUCAAGGGCUUUGCCAUGUUGCUAUGAUCUUGUGAAAGUAGAAAGAACAAAAAGGUUCAUAUUGAUCUUAUGGAUAGUGAUAACUUCACACAUAGAAAGUAUGAGGCAUAAAAAUUAUUGAGAGUUGAUGAACGUAGCCUUGGUCAUCGUUGCAAUUAAUAGAAAGUGAUAAGGGAAGAGGGGUUCACAUAUAAAUAUAUUAUCCUGGACAUCUUUUAUGAUUGUGAAGCACUCAUUAAGUAUGACAUGCUAAAAGAGUUGACGUUGGACAAGGAAGACAACGUAAUGGUUUAUGUUUUCCGACAUCUCAGUUAAAGUACAUUGUCAUUGACCUUCCAAACAUGUUGAGCUUUCCUUUCCCCCUCAUGCUAGCCAAAUUUCUUGCACCAAGUAGAGAUACUACUUGUGCUUCCAAAUAUCCUUAAACCCAGUUUUGCCAUGAGAGUCCACCAUACCUACCUAUGGAUUGAGUAAGAUCCUUCAAGUAAGUUGUCAUCGGUGCAAGCAAUAAAAAUUGCUCUCUAAAUAUGUAUGACUUAUUAAUGCAAAGAAAAUAAGCUUUGUACGAACUUGUUGUGGAAGUAAUAAAAGCGACGGAUUGCAUAAUAAAGGUCCACAUACAAGGGGCAAUAUAAAGAGAUGUUCUUUUGCAUUAAGAUUUCGUGCAUCAACCCUAAACGCACAUGACAACCUCUGCUUCCCUCAGCGAAGGGUCUAUCUUUUACGUUAUGUUUUACUUUAUGCUUGAGUCAAGGUGAUUCUCACCUUUCCCUUUUUAUUUUUAUCCUUUGGCAAGCUCCUCGUGUUUGAAAGAUCAUGAUACAUAUAUCCAAUUGGAUGUAAGUUGGCAUAGGCUAUUAACUGCAAUCUUUCUUGUCCUAUUAUUCUUGGUAGACCUUUCCUUAGAACGAUUGGUGCGAUUAUUGAUAUGAAGGAAGGGAAUAUUAGAUUCCAAUUUCCAUUAAGGAAAGGCAUGUAGCACUUUCCAAGAAAGAAAGUUAAAUUACCUUAUGAAUCUAUCAUGCGAGCUACUUAUGAAUUGAGUGCCAAAGAUGGCACUACUUAGAUCUAUCCUCGCUUUUAUGCCUAGCUAGGGGCAUUAAAUGAUAGCGCUAGUUGGGGGGCAACCCAAUUUUAUUUGUGUUUUUUGUUUUUGUUUCUGUUUAGUAAUAAAUUUUCUAUCUACCUUCUGUUUAGAUGUGUUUUUAUGUUUUAUUUAGUGUUUGUGCCAAGUAGAACCUAUAGGAUAACCUAUGGUGAUAGUUAAUUUGAUUCUGCUGAAAAACAGAAACUUUGCGCGCACGAAAAUAAUUUUAGUAAUUCACAGAAACGUGCUUUUGUGUUGAUUAUUUUUUCUUUAGAUCAAUAGAUAAAUUACACAGGACUUCCUAUUUUGGUAGGAUUUUUAGAGUUCCACAAGUAUUCUAGAGUUACAGAUUGCUACAGACUGUUCUAUUUUUGACAGAUUCUAUUUUUCGUGUGUUGUUUGCUUAUUUUGAUGCAUCUAUGGCUAGUAUGUAAGGGUAUGAACCAUAGAAAAAAGUUGAAAUACAGUAGGUUUAACACAAAUAUAAAUAAAGAAUGAGUUCAUUACAGUACCUUAUGUGGUGGUUUUUCUUUCUUUCACUAACGGAGAUUAUGAGAUUUCCUGUUGAGUUUUGUGUUGUGAAGUUUUCAAGUUUUGGGUAAAGAUUUGAUGGACUAUGGAAUAAGGAGUGGCAAGAGCCUAAGCUUGGGUAUGCCCAUGGCACCCCAAGAUAUUCAAGGAUAGGCCAAAGCCUAAUCUUGGGGAUGCCCCGGAAGGCAUCCCCUCUUUUGUCUUCGUUUAUCGGUAACUUUACUUGGAGCUAUAUUUUUACUCGCCACAUGAUAUGUGUUUUGCUUGGAGCGUCUUGUAUGAUAUUAGUCUUUGCUUUUUAGUUUACCACAAUCAUCCUUGCUGUACACACCUUUUGGGAGAAGCCCACUUGAUUAGAAUUUAUUAGAAUACUCUAUGUGCUUCACUUAUAUCUUUUGAGCUAGAUAGUUUUUGCUCUAGUGCUUCACUUAUAUCUUUUAGAGCACGGUGGUGGCUUAAUUUUGAAGAAAUUGUUGAUCUCUCAUACUUCACUUAUAUUAUUUUGAGAGUCUUUUAGAACAGCAUGGUAUUUGCUAUGGUUAUAAAUUUGGUCCUAGAAUGAUGAGCAUCCAAGUUGGGUAUAACAAAAACUAUCAUAGAAAGUGCAUUAUACACUAGGAUCAAUUUGAUGCUUGAUAAUUGUUUUGAGAUAUAAAGGUGGUAAUGUUAGAGUCAUGCUAGUGGGUAAUUAUGAAAUUGAGAAAUACUUGUGUUGAAGUUGGCAAGUCCCGUAGCAUGCACGUAUGGUAAAAGUUAUGUGACAAAUUUGUUGCAUGAGGUGCUCUUUUAAUUGUCUUCCUUAUGAGUGGAGGUCGAGAUCGCGCGAUGGUUAACUCCUACCAACCCUUCCCCUAGGAGCAUGCAUAGUAGUACUUUGCUUCGAGGGCAAGUAGACUUUUGCAAUAAGUAUAUGAGUUCUUUAUGACUAAUGUGAGUCCAUGGAUAUACGCACACUCACCCUUCCAUUUUGCUAGCCUCUAUUAUGCCACGCAACUUUCGCCGGUAUCAUGCACCCAUUAUUUACCUUCCUCAAAACAGCCACCAUACCUACCUAUUAUGGCAUUUCCAUAGCCAUUCCGAGAUAUAUUGCCAUGCAACUUUCCACCAUUCCGUUAUUAUGACACGCUCCAUCAUUGUCAUAUUGCUCUUUGCAUGCUCAUGUAGUUGCCAUUGUAUUUGUGGCAAGGCCACCCUCAUAAUUUUCAUACAUGUCACUCUUGAUUCAUUGCAUAUCCCGGUACACCGCCGGAGGCAUUCAUAUAGAGUCAUAUUUUGUUCUAAGUGUUGAGUUGUAAUUCUCGAGUUGUAAAUUAAUAAAAGUGUGAUGAUCUUCAUUAUUAGAGCAUUGUCCCAAGUGAGGAAAGGAUGAUGAAGACUAUGAUUCCCCCACAAGUCGGGAUGAGACCUUGGAGUUUAAAAAAAAGAGGCCAAAGAGCCCACCAAAAAAAAAGAAA